AACUACAACAUCCUCGGCAAAAUCGCUAACAAGUAGACAAUCUGCCCAGAUUCACGAAAUGACAAAAGUAGAGCUCGAUUGACUCAAGCUAGGGUGCUCCAUAAUUGCAAACAAAGGCAUGGAUGGAUAGGGCACUACAAGAUUAACAAAAGAUCCUUACUAGUCAUCCUCAAAAGAGGCACGAAUCACUAGGAAACAACAUGAACAUAUGGCCAUAUGAGAUAAACAGUCCAAGGACUUAGUGGAAAUGCUAAGUCCCUGAAAUCGGCAUUACCAAGUGCACCACUUUGCAAGCUCGUGCUAGGCACCACACACAUCACAAAAUACAUGGGUUGCACCUCUAGAAAGAUGGCAAACCCUUAACAAAACAUAUGUAGAGCUCAUGGGCAUAUCAUGCACACAAUAAUCAUGGCAAAAAUGACAAAUAUCUAAAUGGAGCAGCAGAUCUGACAAUUAUCUCAAGUAGCACUCUUCUAACAGCAUUUCGGGCAUCAAGAUGAACUCAAAUGAAAAUGAUGCAAUGAGAUGAAAUGAUGUACUCUCUGAGACGAAUAUUUUGAUAUGCUAUAUGCCCAAAACGGAUCUACGGAUGCGGAGAUAUAGCAUGAUGAACAUGGGCAGUUGAAACAUGGCAAUCUCGGGGACUUAGGGAAAUUCUACCUCCGCGAAAAGUCAACGGGACGGAGGGAUCCGGGAUGACGAGAUCCGGAUCGAGCGAGGGUGCGUUUGGUUCGGGGGAGUGGUGGAUCUCAUCCCACUCCCCGGACCGGAUCUGGCCUGCUAGGCCGGCGGGAGGCCUCGGCUCGCUCCCGAGCAAGGCCAUGGCGAUGGGGCGGCUGAAUGGCGGCGGGAACGGGCUCGUUCGGCCGGCCGGUGCCGGAUCUGGGCACGGCGGCGGUGUGGGCCACGACUCGCCGGAGUCCGGCGAGCGGGGAAAGGCGGAGCAGCGGACGGCGGGACCGGCGGACGGAGGCGCGCCGCGGCGGCGCUGGAGACGGCCGCUGGAGAAGAAGGGCGGCGGAGGUUGCUGCCGGCGAAAGGAGCCAUGGGCUCGGGCGGCGGGCGACGCCCUGGCGGGGGAGGCGACGCGGUCGGGCUUGCGCGGGCCCGCAAUGUGCUCGGCGGGCCGCGCGGUGGAGGAGGGAAGCAGCGACACAUGGCGGCGCGCGAGUGGAGGAGGGAGGCGGCGGUGCUGAGGUGGCGGCUCCCGAUUGGCCCGGGUGAGGUAAUGGCGGCGCGGACAUGUCCGCCGACCGGAUGGACAUGUCCGGUGAUGCGAGAGGAGCGGGGCUAGGGUUCAUCCGCGAAAAUUUCGGGGAUGGCCACAUAUAUAUAGGUAGAGGGAGCUAGGAGAGUCCAAAUGAGGUGCGGUUUUCGGCCACGCGAUCGUGAUCGAACGACUAAGAUGAUAGAAGGGGUUUAGGUGGGUUUUGGGCCACUUUGGAAGGGUGUUGGGCUGCAACACACACGAGGCCUUUUCGGUCCCUCGGUUAACCGUUGGAGCAUCAAACAAAGUCCAAAUGGUACGAAACUUGACAGGCAGUCUACCUGUAGUAAACCAAGGCCGCCUGGCAAGUCCCGGUCCAAUCUGGAAAUGUUUAAUCCCACACACGAGAAGAAGGUAGAAAUGACCACCAGAGGAGAACGGAAUGCCGGAUUGCAAAACGGACAACGGGGAAAAAGCUCGGAUGCAUGAGACGAACACGUAUGCAAAUGAAAUGCACAUGAUGACAUGAUAUGCAAUGCAUGACACGCAAGCAAUGACAAGGCAACAACAACGAAUAACUAGAGGACACCUGGCACAUCGGUCUCGGGGCGUUACAUCACGCCACCUGGAACACCACAGUGUAAUGGUGUGUCCGAACGUCGUAACCGUGCUUUAUUAGAUAUGGUGCGAUCUAUGAUGUCUCUUACCGAUUACCACUAUCGUUUUGGGGUUAUGCAUUAGAGACAGCUACAUUCACGUUAAAAAGGGCACCAUCUAAAUCCGUUGAGACGACACCGUAUGAAUUGUAGUUAGGCGAGAAACCUAAGCUGUCGUUUCUUAAAGUUUGGGACUGCGAUGCUUAUGUGAAAAAGUUUCAACAUGAUAAGCUCGAACCCAAAUCGGAGAAGUAAAUCUUCAUAGGAUACCCAAAAGAAAAUGUUGGGUACACAUUCUAUCACAGAUCCGAAGGCAAGAUAUUCAUUGCUGAGAAUGGAUCCUUUCUAGAGAAGGAGUUUCUCUCGAAAGAAGUGAGUGGGAGGUAAGUAGAACUUGAUGAGGUAACUGUACCUGCUCCCUUAUUGGAAAGUAGUUCAUCACAGAAAUCUGUUUUUGUGACUACUACACCAAUUAGUGAGGAAGCUAAUGAUGAUCAUCAUGUAACUUCAGAUCAAGUUACUACUAAACCUCGUAGGUAAACCAGAGUGAGAUCCGCACCAGGGUGGUACGGUAAUCCUGUUCUGGAGGUCAUGUUACUUGACCAUGACGAACCUACGAACUAUGAGGAAGCGAUGAUGAGCCCAGAUUCCGCGAAAUGGCUUGAGGCCAUGAAAUCUGAGAUGAGAUCCAUGUAUGAGAGCAAAGUAUGGACUUUGAUUGACUUGCCUAAUGAUCAGCGAGCCAUUGAGAUUAAAUGGAUCUUCAAGAGGAAGACGGACGCUGAUAGUAGUGUUACCAUCUACAAAGCUAGAAUUGUCGCAAAAAGGUUUUCGACAAGUUCAAGGUGUUGACUACAAUGAGAGUUUCUCACUCGUAUCUAUGCUUAAGUCUGUCAGAAUCAUGUUAGCAAUUGCCGCAUUUUAUGAAAUCUGGCAAAUGGAUAAACAAAACUGCAUACCUUAAUGAAUUUAUUAAAGAAGAGUUGUAUAUGAUGCAACCGGAAGGUUUUGUCAAUCCUAAAGGUGCUAACAAAAUAUGCAAGCUCCAGCGAUCCAUCUAUGGACUGGUGCAAGCAUCUCGGAGUUGGAAUAUACACUUUGAUAAGUUUAUCAAAGCAUAUAGUUUUAUACAGACUUGUGGUGAAGCCUGUAUUUACAAGAAAGUGAGUGGGAGCACUACAACAUUUCUGAUAAGUAUAUAUGUAUGACAUAUUGUUGAUCGAAGAUAAUGUAGAUUUAUUCUGCAAAGCAUAAAGGAAUGUUUGAAAGGAGUUUUUCAAAGAAAGACCUCGGCGAAGCUGCUUACAUAUUGAGCAUCAAGGUCUAUAGAGAUAGAUCAAGACGCUUGAUAAGUUUUUCAAUGAGUACAUACCUUGACAAGAUUUUGAAGUAGUUCAAAAUGGAACAGUCAAAGAAGGAGUUCUUGCCUGUGUUACAAAGGUGUGAAGUUGAGUAAGACUCAAAACCCGACCACGGCAGAAGAUAGAGAGAGAAUGAAAGUCAUUCCCUAUGCCUCAGCCAUAGGUUCUAUAAAGUAUGCCAUGCUGUAUACCAGACCUAUUGUAUACCCUGCCCUGAGUUUGGCAAGGGAGUACAAUAGUGAUCUAGGAGUAGAUCACUGGACAUUGGUCAAAAUUAUCCUUAGUGGAAUAAGGAUAUAUUUCUCAAUUAUGGAGGUGACAAAAGGUUCGUCGUAAAAGAUUACGUCAAUGCAAGUUUUGACACUGAUCCAGAUGACUCAAAGUCUCAAUCUGGAUACAUAUUAAAAGUGGGAGCAAUUAGCUAGAGUAGCUUAGUGCAGAGCAUUGUUGACAUAGAAAUUUGCAAAAUACUUACGGAUCUGAAUGUGGCAGACCCGUUGACUAAACUUCUCUCACAAGCAAAACAUGUUCACACCUUAGUAUUCUUUGGGCGUUAAUCACAUAGCAACGUGAACUAGAUUAUUGAAUCUAGUAAACCCUUUGGGUGUAAUGUGAACUAUGGGUGUUAAUCACAUGGUGAUGUGAACUAUUGAUGUUAAAUCACAUGGCGAUGUGAACUAGAUUAUUGACUCUAGUGCAAGUGGGAGACUGAAGGAAAUAUGCCCUAGAGGCAAUAAUAAAGUUAUUAUUUAUUUCCUUAUUUCAUGAUAAAUGUUUAUUAUUCAUGCUAGAAUUGUAUUAACCGGAAACAUAAUACAUGUGUGAAUACAUAGACAAACAAAGUGUCACUAGUAUGCCUCUACUUGACUAGCUCGUUUUGAACCAAAGAUGGUUAAGUUUCCUAGCCAUAGACAUGAUUUGUCAUUUAAUUAACGGGGUCACAUCAUUAGAGAAUGAUGUGAUUGACUUGACCCAUUCUGCUAGCAUAACACUUGAUCGUUUAGUUUGUUGCUAUUGCUUUCUUCAUGACUUAUACAUGUUCCUAUGACUAUGAGAUUAUGCAACUCCCGUUUACCGGAGGAACACUUUGUGUGCUACCAAACGUCACAACGUAACUGGGUGAUUAUAAAGGUGCUCUACAGGUGUCUCCAAAGGUACUUGUUGGGUUGGCGUAUUUCAAGAUUAGGAUUUGUCACUCCGAUUGUUGGAGAGGUAUCUCUGGGCCCUCUCGGUAAUGCACAUCACUUAAAGCCUUGCAAGCAUUGCAACUAAUGAGUUAGUUGUGGGAUGAUGUAUUACGGAACGAGUAAAGAGACUUGCCGGUAACGAGAUUGAACUAGGUAUUGAGAUACCGACGAUUGAAUCUCGGGCAAGUAACAUACCGAUGACAAGGGAACAACAUAUGUUAUUAUGCGGUUUGACCGAUAAAGAUCUUCGCAAAAUAUGUGGGAGCCAAUAUGAGCAUCUAGAUUCUGCUAUUGGUUAUUGGCCGGAGACGUAUCUCGGUCAUGUCUACAAAGUUCUCGAACCCGUAGGGUCCGCACGCUUAAAGUUUUGGUGACGAUUGUAUUAUGAGUUUAUGUGAUUUGAUGUACUGAAGGUAGUUCGGAGUUCCCGAUGAGAUCGGGGAAAUGACGAGGAGUCUCGAAAUGGUCGAGACGUAAAGAUCGAUAUAUUGGACGGCUAUAUUCGGACAUUGGAAAGGUUCCGAUUGAUUCGGGUAUUUUCGGGGGUACCGGAGAGUUACGGGAAUACGAGGAAGAAGUAAUGGGCCUCAUGGGCCAAGCGGUGGAAGAGAGGAGGCAGGGCGCACGGCCCCCCCUAGCCCAAACCGAAUUGGACUAGGGGGGCGGCUCCCUCUUUCCUCUUUUUCCUCCCUCUCCUUCCUUCUCCAUCUCCUCCUUCCUUUCCUCCUCCUAGUAGGAGUAGGAAAGGGGAGUCCUACUCCUACUAGGAGGAGGACUCCUCCUCCUGGCGCGCCCAUAGAGGGCCGGCCGGCCUCCCCCUUGCUCCUUUAUAUACGGGGGCAGGGGGCACCUCUAGACACACAAGUUGAUAUGUUGAUCUCUCCCAGCCGUGUGCGGUGCCCCCCUCCACCAUAUUCAACCUCGGUCAUAUCGUAGCGGUGCUUAGGCGAAGUCCUGCGUCGGUAGCAACAUCAUCACCGUCAUCACGCCGUCGUGCUGACGGAACUCUCUCGUGAAGCUCUGCUGGAUCGGAGUUCGCAGGACGUCAUCGAGCUGAACGUGUGCUGAACUCGGAGGUGCCGUGCGUUCGGUACUUGGAUCGGUCGGAUCGUGAAGACGUACGACUACAUAAACCACGUUGUGCUAACGCUUCCGCUUUCGGUCUACGAGGGUACGUGGACAACACUCUCCCCUCUCGUUGCUGUGCAUCACCAUGAUCUUGCGUGUGCGUAGGAAAUUUUUGAAAUUACUACGUUCCCCAACAGACUUCCCCCGCGUGCGUUCUCCUCUUCCUCUCCUCUGCGCCACGCCGGCUUCCGAUCCCGCGCCUCCAACCCCUGAUCCAUCGACGCUGCCGGAGUGCCCUUCGGCGGAGAGAAGGCCCAGGGCGACACCGGCCCCCAAUCCCAUGUGUCGAGCCCCUGCUUCGUGCAUGGUGCUGGAGCACCCUUCAUCGCCGAGGAGGCGCAGCGCGACAAGGCCACCGCCGGUGCUCCCUGGCGCGACACGACCUCCGCUGGCGUUGGUUCUCCAAGCACAUCCACUCCGACGAUGCCCAGGUGAUCCAUUCUCCUGCCUAGAGAUGCUGGUCUAUCUUCCCUUUCGGUUCUAGGUUUUCGUGUUUACAUUGAUUUUGUGUCGGAUUUAUCAUUGCAGGUCCUCUGUAGUUGUUGUUUGUUUCGUUUGUCGAAGCUUCGGCCAGCCUGCUGUCCGUUGCCGUGUCAAGAUGUUGCAAGGUUCGUGGUUGGCGAGCUCUUCCUUUUCCUUCCUGUCUAGCAGAGUUAUUAGUUGUUAUGUGCAGCUCCUGUAGCUUUUUGGAUGUGUUGACUGCCCGAAUCUUUUUCUUGGAUGCAUUGGUUGCUCGAUCCUAGUUCUGAUCGGAUUCCUUUGGAUGGAUUAGGUGUUCGGUUCUGUUUGGAUCCCUGGUAUUUGUUGUUGCUUUGCAGGAGACUAGGCCUCGUGCCUAUAUCCGGGGUAGAUUUUUGUUGCCUUUCUUAAUUUCUCUGGUGCUGGGAUGCAUUAGGUGCUCGAAUAUUGUUGUUGUUGUGUAGGAGGUUGUUGCGGUCUGCCUAGAUUCCUAUAUUUUUGUUACCUUUUUUUUGUCUGCUGCCUGAUUUGUCCUUAUCAGUGGUGACAAGGGAAGGGAAAGGUUUGGCACUGGCUCGCUAAGUUACUUACCUUGAACAUGAUAAUAAAUAUAACAUGGUUGUAGUUGUUAGUAAUUAAUUUCACCCAUGUAAUAAUCCAUUUUCCUAAAGCUAAAUGUUUUAUCUUCCAUAUUGUUGGUGUGUGACAGGUUAAAAUGGCAUGGACGAGUACUCAUUUAUUCAUGGAGCUAGCGCAGAGCAUCCUUUUUCGAUAGAGGGAUUUCGGCAUCAAUCCUUGGCCUUGCUCCUGAUUAUGUAUGGGAAGUGGGAGUGCUAAUUAGGCAUUGGAUGUAUACUUUGCCUAUGAAGCUUAGUGGAACUGCUCAAAUUUACCUCAAAUAUAGUUAUAAGGUUACAUUCUUCUUCACUCAUAUAUGAUCUUUUUUAUGCACUCUUGUUUCAUUUAUGGAUUUGGUGUAUCCUCAAGUAUGUAAAUCCACAAGGUAUAUAAUUAGUACAGGAUUAAGCACAAAUUAUUGAGAGCUGAUGUUGAACAAUGCACUUGAACUUUGAGCGAUCUGUCAGCCAUUGUUCAAAUCACAUCUUUAUGUGCUUAGGAUUAGGAGGAUAUAUAUGAACCCAACUUCGACACAGGUUUUGCAUUGGCUGCAUAGGCCGCUGCCCCGCUCAUUAAGUUUGCUAUCCAUCUUACUCACAUUGUUGGUUGUGGUUGCCAUCAUCAAUAUAUUACAGGUUCUUCAUUUCCUUCUGUUGUGCCACCCUGCAUUCUUAACUAUAUGCUCUUUAUGGAAAUCAUAUAGGUUAAUGAAAAAGGCUAUCUCAUUGCAGGAGACAUGUUCAGUUUUUUUUUUUAAGGAUAAACUCUUCAUGCCCCUACUACAACAAGAGGAGAUAGCUCAAGGUAAAUAAAAACUCAAAAGAUUCAGCUUCUAGGUGUGUUCCACCUGGGUGAUACUAAUUCAGGUAGAAUUCCUCUAGGUGUAUUUUGUAUGUUUUGGUGUUUUGGAAUAGUAGUAUCUAGCACCGUGAUAAUACUGCAUACUGAUUAUACCUCCUUUGAUACUUGUCUUUAGCUUUGUACAUCAGAUGAUUCAACAUUUUAUUUUGUAUUCUAGGCAAUUUAAUAAUUAUAAGAGUAAAUCCUACAAUUGCAGGCUUACAAACAGUUCAUGAGGCUUCCUUCGAUAUUUAUUUUUUGCACAUAUCUCUGAAUCUAUAGCAGUUCAGAUGUUUUCGCCAUGCUAGGCCAAGCAGACCAAUGGCAUUCUUAACAGUAUAAUAGAAUGCUGAAUGGGAAUGUCAUAGUUUAGUCUUAUGCCUUAAUUUAUUUCUUUGUUUUUCAUAUCUGUAUUGUGAACAAUGUUGACCGGCACCAUCACCUGCUACAGGAGCUUAAUUUAUUGGGAACUGCAUGUCCGUAUUGGUAAAAUCUCUAAUCCAUUUUUCAGAUGCACUUCUGGUAUUGUUCUGCAAUCUGUUUACACAUCCGGGACUGCUGUUGUUGUUGCUUGUGGUUGUCUCAUGAUCUUGGCUGUUGGUGGCUGGUACCAGCUCAGGUGCUACUCUAUUCUUGUCGCUUCCUUCAUGCCUUUCUAUACGCACGCUCGAUCUUUUUUCUUUUGUAUGAUGUUAUCGUAGGAUAUUGUUGUUGGAACUGCUGUUAUUGUUGCUACGGGUUGCUCAUGAGCUUAGUUACUUUUUUAGGUUGCCCUGCUGGAUGCCAUUUUUAGGUUGUUGUGUACCUACGGAUAGUUCGUUGUUCUGCAAUACCAUAUUUAGUCGUACUUUGUUUACAUGAUUGCUGCUACAUUCCAGAAACAAUGGUCUGUUGGUUGCAGAAUUAUGGUGGCUAGCUGGGACAACUAAUUCAUUUCUUGAUCUUGAUCAAAGAUAACUGGAUUAUUGCACUGCUUUAUCCAGAAAUAUGAGACAAAGGGAGCCACCGGUGCUCUCAGCGAUUGGCGCAUUUUGACCGUCGGAUCAAUUUGCUUGAUGGGUUUCUGGGCGUCCGGUCGAGCGGUGGAAGGACGUCGGCCUUCGGAUCGAAUCCCCCUCCCCUGUAGCAUGGUUGAUCCCGUUUGGCUCGCCCCGUCGAUUACUCCUUCCAUUUGACCGGUUGUCGCUGACCUGGGGGGUCCCGGCAGGUGGGCCGUGCCCGUCAGCGAGCGGGGGUGUGGGUGCAGCCGGUGCGUUCGGUCGUGCGCGCGCCUGCGGUAAAUAUCUCGUGCCACCACACGUAAAUCUUGCCCCCCCCCCCCGCCGAGGGCUUUUUCGUCAUUUCCUGUCCAGGCAGCGUGCGUGGUGGACGGUGGUUGGCUCCGUGCGGCUAUGUGGUGGGGGAGGGCGGCUGGCUCGCUUCUCGUCCGGCCCCUUCGUUCCCUUCUCUCGGUCUCUCCUCCCCGUCCCCCCCCCCCAAAUCUGAAUCUUCCUUGGCCGCUUCGGUGCCAUUGGUGUUCGUGCUCGUUGGUGGGAUGUGUUGGGGAACGUUGCAGAAAACAAAAAUUUUCCUACGGUUUCACCAAGAUCCAUCUAUGAGUUCAUCUAGCAACGAGUGAUCGGAUGCAUCUACAUACCUUUGUAGAUCGCGAGCGGAAGCAUUCAAAGAACGGGGAUGAGGGAGUCGUACUCGACGUGAUCCAAAUCACCAGAGAUCCUAGCGCCGAACGGACGACACCUCCGCGUUCAACACACGUACGGUCAGCGUGACGUCUCCUUCUUCUUGAUCCAGCAAGGGGGAAGGAGAGGUUGAUGAAGAUCCAGCAGCACGACGGUGUGGUGGUGGAUGCAGCAGUACUCCGGCAGGGCUUCGCCAAGCUCUAUGGCGGAGGAAGAGGUGUUGGAGAGGGAGAGGGAGGCACCAAAGGGAUGGGUGUGAAGCCCUCCCUCCCCCCACUAUAUAUAGGGGGCCUAGGGGGGGCGGCCCUAGGAGAUCCAAUCUCCUAGGGGGGCGGCGGCCAAGGAGGGUGGAGUGCCCCCCAAGGCAAGUGGGGAGCCCCCCACCCUAGGGUUUCAACCCUAGGCGCAAGGGGUGGGCCUUGGGGGUGCACCAGCCCACUAAGGGCUGGUUCCCCUCCCCACUUCAGCCCAUGGGGCCCUCUGGGAUGGGUGGCCCCACCCGGUGGACCCCCGGGAACCUUCUGGUGGUCUCGGUACAAUACCGGUGACCCCCGAAACUCCCCCGAUGGCCGAAACUGCACUUCCUAUAUAUAAUUCUUCACCUCCGGACCAUUCCGGAACUCCUCGUGACGUCCGGGAUCUCAUCCGGGACUCCGAACAACUUUCGGGUUACUGCAUAUUCAUAUCUCUACAACCCUAGCGUCAUCGAACCUUAAGUGUGUAGACCCUACGGGUUUGGGAGACAUGUAGACAUGACCGAGAUAGCUCUCCGGUCAAUAACCAACAGCAGGAUCUGGAUACCCAUGUUGGCUCCCACAUGCUCCUCGAUGAUCUCAUCGGAUGAACCACGAUGUCGAGGAUUCAAGCAACCCCGUAUACAAUUCCCUUUAUCAAUCGGUAUGUUACUUGCCCGAGAUUCGAUCGUCGGUAUCCCAAUACCUCGUUCAAUCUCAUUACCGGCAAGUCACUUUACUCGUACCGUAAUGUAUGAUCCCGUGACCAGACACUUGGUCACUUUGAGCUCAUUGUGAUGAUGCAUUACCGAGUGGGCCCAGAGAUACCUCUCCGUCAUACGGUGUGACAAAUCCCAGUCUUGAUCCGUGUCAACCCAACAGACACUUUCGGAGAUACCCGUAGUAUACCUUUAUAGUCACCCAGUUACAUUGUGACGUUUGGUACACCCAAAGUACUCCUACGGUAUCCGGGAGUUACACGAUCUCAUGGUCUAAGGAAAAGAUACUUGACAUUGGAAAAACUCUAGCAAACGAACUAUACGAUCUUGUGCUAUGUUUAGGAUUGGGUAUUGUCCAUCACAUCAUUCUCCUAAUGAUGUGAUCUCGUUAUCAAUGACAUCCAAUGUCCAUAGUCAGGAAACCAUGACUAUCUGUUGAUCAACGAGCUAGUCAACUAGAGGCUUACUAGGGACAUGUUGGUGUCUAUUUAUUCACACAUGUAUUACGAUUUCUGGAUAACACAAUUAUAGCAUGAAUAAAAGACAAUUAUCAUGAACAAGGAAAUAUAAUAAUAAUGCUUUUAUUAUUGCCUCUAGGGCAUAUUUCCAACAGGAUGGUGCAAGGCGCAACUCAGACGUGGUUCCUCACCGGUUGGACGGCGUUCAGGCGAAACCCCGGUGCCCACUGAGUACUGCCUUGGCUACAACCUCCCUCGCUGAGGUCCAUCUUCCCCUGCUCUCCUUAGGCUAUUGUAUGGGACAUGGCCAGGCUAUGAUGAUCAGUUAUGGAUGAUAUAGGCAUGCUCUCGAGUAAUCGAGGCACUUGUGGGUAUUAAUUUGGAUCCUCCCUCGUUUCUUUGAAUUGUUUUGACCACGUUCUUAUUUUAGUGGCUCUGUCCUUGGAUGGUCAUUUUUGAUUAGUGAUAACCAAGGCAGUUUCACCCUCGUAAGAACAUAUUGAUCUGGUGAAACUUGUAAUAAUAAAUAAGACCCGCGGCAAGUUCCCUGGCUCCUCGGAUCUCAGGCACUUUUGGCCGUCGGAUCGAUUUCCUGAUGUGAUUUUGGCCAUCGGAUCUCGAUCCGGUUUGAUCUCGGCCGUUGGAUCGAGCCCGGGCUCCUAUAGCAAUGAAUAGUUACUCCCGCGGUGAGAUAUCUCGUGCCACCGCGUUUGAAUCACGUGCCCCGUCGGUCGGAAGCCAUUCUUGCUAGGGCGGUGAUGAUUAGCCAUGGCUGAAAUAAGUGUGCCUUUGAGCAAUCGAGGGACCUGUGGGUAUCAAGUUGGAUCCUUCCUUGUCUCUAGAAUCCUUUUUGAUCCUGUGAUACUUAUUGUUCUGUCCUUGGAUGGUCAUUCUUGUUGAGUGAUAACCAGGGCAGCUCCACUGUAUAAACAGAUUGAUCUGGCGAUAGGAGAUGAUGGGGGUAGAUUAUAUGAUCGAGGAAAGGCGAAUCUGAGCCCACUAUGCAUGGAACCUUGAACCCUUCUUAUUUGUAUUUAAAGGUGUUGCUUAUUUAUGCUCCAGUGUUUAUAGCCGUCUUAUGUAAAGAUUUCUUCUCUCUCAUACCUUUGUUGCAUAUACGUUGUUCUUGAUCUUUUAUUGUUUGUUGUUGGUCCUUGAUCUAAUCUGGUUAAGAGUAAGUUGCACUUUGUUAUUCUGGGAUAAGCGAUGGUUCGCAAUGCUAUUGGUUCUUCAUGAGUUCAGAGGAGGAUUUCUGAUAUGAGUCAUGCCAGUAAGCUUUCUUGCAGGUACCCACACUUCUCUCUUCCUCCUGAUUAGCCUGAUCUCUUUUCUAUACGUGUCUACAAGUUGUGUGUCUACAAGCUGUGAAUUACAUAUGUUAGUGAAAUGUAGGUGUUUGUAUUAGCACAAUGCUUUAAUCAGUAGGGUCUUUCCCAUCUAUGAUCAAGGUUGAUUGCGUCAGCUCUGUUGUGGCUUUCAUGUAUAUGACAAUGGAAUGAUGUUAAAUUAUGGUAUCGAGGCUUAUUUUUUAAGCAUGCCUAGGGUUUUGUUCCUGUUUGUGUUGAUCUGAACAUGUGCUCUGUUCAUGUAGAAGAACUCAUAUGAAUCUGUCUUAGGGAAAUAAUUGAGUACAUGUGAUCAGUAUGUUAGCCAAAACUGAACAUUUGAUCUCUAUUGAACUGAAAGGAUUGUAUAUUUGAUCUUUGUUUAACUGAAAAGAUUGAACCCUUACUUUUGAUCUCUGUUUAAGUUUAAAAAAUCAGCUGUUCCACAAACCUUCUAUAGUUCAGAAACUGAAUCUUUAGAUGUACUCUGUUUUAGUGCACAAACUGAAUUAGUACAGAAACUGAAAAGACUGAACCUUUACUUUUGAUCUCAGUUUAAGUUUAAAAAUUCAGAUGUUCCACAAACCUUCGAUAGUUCAGAUACCGGACCUUUACAUAUACUCUGUUUUAGUGCAGAAAAUGAAUUAGAAUAGGAACUGAAAAGACUGAACAUUUACCGUUGAUCUACGUGUAAGUUUAGAAGUUCAGCUAUUCCACAAAUAUUCUUUAGUUUAGAUACUGAAUAUUUAGAUACACUCUGUUUUAGCGUAGAAAAUGAAUUUUAGCGCACAAACUGAAUUAGCGCAGAAACCAUUGCAAAAACUGAUUUUUGAUUUCUUUGCUUUCUUUAAGUGCAGGAAUUUAUUUAUUUUCUUUCCGGAGCCGCGGCCGCCGCCCUGUGACCAGAAGCAUUGGGGAUCUCGAGAGGGAAUUUUGUAGUUGUGGCCAUUUUAAAAAUAGACCUCUGUGAAAUCUAUGUACUCCUGAUACUAUUAUAUCAUGCUACAUUUCCUGUGAUAUAUCAAAUAUCUAUCCUUUGUCCUAAACAAGAGGCCUUACGUUUAUACUGAGCAAUACUAAUUUGGUCAGUAUAUAAUAUUGCAAUGCUUAUAACCCUUUGGUCAGUGGCCCAUCUGAAUUGAGAUGCAUCAUAGUUAUCUUAAUAUUAUUUGUUCUGUUUCUUACUCACUGAUCCAUCCCACACAAUAAGUAUUCUUCCUGAGAACUAUGCUCAGAUAGUUGAAUAUAUUAUUUUGUACUUAAUUGUUGAAAGAUGGAUUUGUAUUACUAAUGCUGAGAUGGGCAUUACAAUUUUCUUUCAAGGGAACAGACCAAACCAAACUGCGACUUUAUUUGUAAAUAUUUGAAAUUUAUAUUAUGUCUCUUAUGUGAUCUCAGAGGACUUAAUUUUUGUGUGGGGACCUCAAGCUACCUUUAGUGACUUACAAGAUAUCAACCAACAAGAGUUUUCCCUGCUUUUGGAGCCUGCUAAGCUAUCAACAAACAAAGAGGUUGCCCGUUCUCUUGCUAAUGAAAUAUGUAUUUACUAGAAUUUUUGUUAUUAUCAGAAGAGGGUUAUAUUUUUAUGGGAGGCCGCAUUUGUAAUGGUUCGGUAUUUCUAAAGGGGUACAUUUCUUUGUAGGUACUAUGCUGAGACUGAAGAGGAUGCUAGCCAGCGGCCCAUCUCUCUUGCCAUCACCGCUGAGCCGCCAUGUCUCCUUCAGAGGCUUAUUGUAUUGCUACAUGUUUAUGCUUCUUAUCCACACACCCAUUGUAGUGUAGGUUUGUGUUCUUGGAUCUCUUUCCCUCCAUUUCUUAUUUUUGGUGAACGGGUGAGCUAAUCGGGCUAUUUUCCUCUAGGUCUGCCGCGGCAAUUGAAUGCUUCAAAGGAUUUUAAUGGAGUUCAUUGUGGCUGAGUCGCGAAUCUCCAGCUUGCUUCCAUGUCUUUUCUCACUAGAGACACCUCCUGCCGGCGACGGCGAUGACCGCUACCCUGCUCCUCUCCCGGCAAUGUCUACCUCUCCUGUGAAGUUAAGGCCAUCUUUGCCUCUUCCUUCAGUUUUUCCUCUGUUUUUUGUUACACGACUUUGUGGUGCUUAGUGUANNNNNNNNNNNNNNNNNNNNNNNNNNNNNNNNNNNNNNNNNNNNNNNNNNNNNNNNNNNNNNNNNNNNNNNNNNNNNNNNNNNNNNNNNNNNNNNNNNNNNNNNNNNNNNNNNNNNNNNNNNNNNNNNNNNNNNUAGCAAACUCCAUUUUUGUUUAUGUAGAAAAACAAAGGAAACUCCAUUUUUGUGUAUGUGGAAAAAACAAAGGAAACUGCGUUUUUGUGUAAUUACAAACAAAUGAAACUCCAUUUUUGUGUAAUUACAAACAAGAGACUUUUAGACGGCGAAGACUAUUGCCCUGAUCCUAAGAGCAUACUGACAUUUCACCAACUCUUGUUAUAAUUUUUUUAUCAGCAGCAGAUACUUUUAAAUUUGUCUUUACAAUUCCAAGUACAUGACCAUACUGAUCCUUCUAUUUUUUAUGUAGCGGAAUAAACGUUCGUAAUCCUGGCCGGUUGAUGGCUUUGUUAAUUCAAAGCCGGGCUCGACUUGAGCCUUCGUUCUAAAAAAAAACGUUCGUAAUUUAUACACCUAGGCUCAGCUUCUCUAUAUUGAUACGAAGGCCUGGAGCAUGUUUCUUUUGUUUUCAAGUUGAGGGGACCAGGUAGGGCCAUAUAGACACAGUAAAAGGCCAGUUUAUUUGUUCCACGCCUUACAAAACCGAGCAAGGCUGAUAUAAUAUUUCUGGUUCCCUUCUACCGUGUGCAAACAGAACCUGGCGGCGCAAUAGCAGCUCAACUACUAUUGUUAUUAAUCAGGAUAAAUGCUUCUGCCUGGCUGGCACACAUGCUUAGGCACAACAGUCUGCCCCAGCACCGCAGGGCAAGGCGCGCUGCAGGUCAUUUAUAUAGCAUCUCCUCAUUUGUAUAUUAUUCACAUAUAGCAUCUCAUUUCUUGGUUGAUUGCUUACAUGUAUUCAACUUCUGGCUCUUUCGCUCCCAAGCUGGCCUCCCUCUCCUCGGUGCUCAGCGGGAGAAGCAUGAGGUGAUGCACCUUUGACCCCGUAGUGCUCGGCUCCAAUUUAUCAGGGAGGUCACCGGCAAGCAUCAAGCUGCCCUUGUUGCUUCCUCGUCAUCAAGGAGGAGGAGGUCGGGUAGCACCGUCCUCAAGGUACGUCCUCGCUGCUUUGACCCGCCUCUUUCGUGCACCUGUCCUUCCCUAUUUCUCUUACUGUCGCGGUGCUCGUGCGGCUGCCGAUCCUAACCUAGGUCGCCGUCACUCCUCGGCGCUUCGCAGGACAGGCACAACCACGACACCGCAGAGACGGACGAGAAUGUGGUGCUGCUCCUUCUUAUGGUGUAUGCAUCGGCGUGGCUUGCGGUAGUGAUGCAUAUCUUCGUGGGCAAUGCUAUUUGAAGACCAUUCAAGUGAUUUAAAGGAGAAGAUGUCCAGACUGCAAGGAGGUUGAAGAUGACGAUCAAAAGAUUGACAUAUUAAGCGACUACCAAGAAGCCAAUAAUGCUUGCCCCUGCCAUUAGUAAUACCCUUGCUCUUCUUUAUGAAAUCUUUCCUAACUAUCGUUGCAGAUUGUGAGAUCCCUAUUUAAAUACAUCACUCAGCAGCUGGCCGGUACAGAGUUGGUGGCAGGCAUAUGUGUUCUCAGCCACCUUAUCAAUUGUAGGCUUAGAAUGAUUUGCUUCGUCCAGGUGUUGUUCGUCAACAAUUCCUUUGUUUGUCCAUGUCAAUUCUGAUUUUAGAGGAUUACAAGUUUUAGAGUGGUUGGGCUUUUUUAGAACCGUUCGUUGAUGUCGAUCUAACGGCAGACAAAUACGAAGUACUGGGUAGUACUCCGAUGAAAGUACGCGAAAGUACUAAAACGAGUGGGGCCGGUACUCGUGACAAGGUGGGGACGCGUUUUAAUCUAGGGGCAGUUUAGUCCUAGGAAAAUUUGCACGCGCCGCCCCUCUCGUCGAAUGAAUAACCGCCGCCAUGGUGCUACACAUUCCAUAAUUACUCAUCGGCGGCCAUCUCCUCCCUCUCCUCCAUGUCCACCGCAGUCAUCUCCUCCUUCUUGCCGCUGCAACUUCGCUCCACUCAGGCAACCCCCCCACCCACCCCCACCCCCUCUUCCACGGCAGAUCGAGCUGAUGGCCGGCGGCGAGAACACCGACUUCGUGCAGAUCGCCGGCGGCGACCAGGUCAAGUUGGCCAGGUUGAGGGAGAUCCGUUCUUGGUUUGACAACACAAGGCAGAUGAGCUGGACGGCAAUGGCCACUCNNNNNNNNNNNNNNNNNNNNNNNNNNNNNNNNNNNNNNNNNNNNNNNNNNNNNNNNNNNNNNNNNNNNNNNNNNNNNNNNNNNNNNNNNNNNNNNNNNNNAAUUUGUAGUAUUAGUUAGUUUGAAUGUGGAAGUACCUUAAUUUGUAGGAACGAAAUGUUGCUAUGUAUGAUCAAGGGUUUCAUACCUUAAUCUUUGGAUUAUUAAUUAUGUGAACUGUUGGAUGUGGCGCAUAACGAAACGCCUCUACCAUUGAUACUAGUUCAACAUGUCGGUCCAAUUAGAGACCAGCCACUUCCAUAUAGAACAGUUAGCAUUUCAUACUACAACCUAGCACGUACAAAACAUCACACAGUGGAAGCACAUCCCUAAGCACCUUGCAUUGUACAAGGUCUUAGAGACAAGCCUCUACCAUAUAUAACAGUUACCAUGUCACACUACAGCCUAUAAAACAUCACACAGUGGAAUAAUCAUAGCUAGUAGAGCAUUAGGUACCAGUUAAUAAUAGUUGCAAUCCAUCACAAGCAAUAGUACCUAGAUAUGAGUAGAUAUAGGUACGGUAAUACACGACAAGUACUCGCAAACAAGAGCAAACAUAACAAGUUCAUUUCAGUUUGAUACAUGGCCCACCGCAGUUCUAAAUGAGGUGGAUGGUGAUCAUCAUCCUCAAGUCAUGGCGACGGGUGUUCGCAACAGUGAGUAGGAUGGCCUGUCCUACCCGAAGAAUCUUGACACGAAGGAACUUCUUCCACCCUGCCCUGCUCAAGACAGUGCGACCGUCCGUGUCCACUGCAUAGGCACAGCUGGUGAUGGAGCCCGUUCUGGUAAGGUGUAGUCCAGCAGCCAUGCCUUCUUCGUCCGGGUCGAUGCCACAGCUAUCAAGUAACCUCUUAGGUAAUUUCUGAAAACAGUUGACAUGAUCAUAUACAUUAGUGGAAAUAGCAAAACAGUUGACAUGAUGUAUGAUCAUGUCACGUGCAAUUAUCAACAAAGCAUACACUUGAAGACACAUAUAUCAUUGGAUUCAACACUGAGCAUAUAUAUCAUCACAUCAGUAUACUAUACGCCAAGCAUCAAAUUACUACAGUAAUUAGGCAUAUCAUUAUAUUACUGCGUACACUAAGCAUAUCAUCGCAUAUUACUACACUACAUGCAUGUCAUAAAAUUCUUCACUAAAUGAAUUGUAAACUAGGCCUCUCAUCACAGUACUACAACAUGCAUAUCAUAUGAACUACUACACUAACUAAGCAUGUAUAUCAUGUAAUUACCACACUAAGUAACAUACCAUGAUAUGCCGUUUAACAUUAGUCCUUGUGAGGCGGGUCACGAAUGGCUUCCCUAGGUAGUCUUCACGUAGCGGAAGCAUGUCCCAGAGGUUGCCGAUUUCCUCGUCGCCCAGUCUUAGUCCUUGGGCAUACAGGUAUUCAACAAGUGGGUUCUCAUCAUCAUCAGAAUCGUCAUCAUCUGACUCAGCACCAUCUUCCUCAUGAACUUCAUCCUCACUAUCCGGAAUCAAAUUCAGAUAGAUAACAGAAAUCCCGGGCCUAUCUUUUCUGAAGGAGAAGCUGAUCAAUUCACCCCCACUAAGACGGUUGUGGGCGAUGAAACGAUCCCAAUCAUCUCCUCCUAUCUGGGUUAUCUUUCGCCCCUUCUCGACUUGCAUAGUGUAUGGGCCCCCAAGAGCAUCGAAGGUCACGGUGUCUGCGACGAGCUCAUUGAAUGCCAAUCUCACAUUGCAUGGUACGAUCUAUGUAAGAUAAAAACAAAUAACAGACACAAUACAUUAGUGGAAAUAGCAAAAAAACAAAAAGAAUGUACUGUCAGAAGGUUCAUAUAAAUUGUUACCGCUGUAAAAACAAAAGAAGGCUGGAAGUAGAUGCUGAACAGCGUGGCAGUAGAAAGGCUGGUCCGGCACCGUGAGUUGCAGCGUCCACAUUGUGCUUCCUCCAUUCUACACAGAACGUGUUGAACUCUAAGUUGAAUUGUACAUAGUACAAUACAAAGAUCAUACAUAUAAUAAAUCACAGUGAUAACCUAUACUGGCAAUGGCCAAUCAAUCUAUUUUCUAUCAUCUACGUAAUAAAGCAAUGGCAAUGACAAUUCAUCUAAACCUGGGAAUAGUUCGGCAUCCAAACUAAAACCAGUCCAAUCCACAGCACACAUCAAAACCAAACCAAUCCAGAUAUUUUCAUUUAGAAUCUAGACCAAACCGAACUAUACAUGCUCGUCAUCCAACCCAGUCCAAACCGUUUUCAACUUUUGGAUUGAAUCCAAAGGUUCAAACCGUGGACAAAGCCAUACACGAGGGCACGUCAUGAAUCUAGAUCAGACAUGGCGUCAAAGCUCGAGAGAGGCGACGAGCUCCGGCCAGCAACAGCGGGAUUUGAAGCAGUAGUAGGUGGUAGUGGUGGCUCAAACUAAUUGAUUGAUUUGGUCUCAAACCAUAGAAACCAAAUCAAGAUCCAAUCCAAAAACUAAGUUUCAGUCCAAAACCAAUCGGCUCAAAUCCGCCUCCGUAGGGAGACGCGGUUGGGGAAGGGAAUAAGAGGGGAGAUCUCACGUACUUGCCGGAGUUGGCGGCGGCCGCGCACCGGCAGCAAAGAGAGGGGUCGUCGAGAGAUGGCGGCGACGGCGGCGGCGCUGGUCGAGAAGGGGAGAAAGAAAAAUGUGGAGUGGUCGAGACGGGGAGAAAGAAAAAUGUGGUACAUGUGGUGGCUCGGUUGUGUGGAUGACAAGGGGACCCACUUGUGAGACCGAUAGCAAUUGAUGGCUAACCGCAGGAGGUGCAGGACCGCGUGCACGACCGCCACGUCCCCACGUGGAAUGGGGACGGCCGGGUGGGUGUGUCAAGUCAAAUUGGCACCCGCGGCUUCUCGGUAACUCCAAGAGGCAGGAGCAGUGCAUUUCUUCCCCAUAUCGGGUAGAAAACCCUCGUCCUCUCCCCACCCUCUCUUCCUUCGUCACCACCUCACCACCCUCUCCUCCUUCCUCACCACCCUCCUCCCUUCCUACGCCUCCCUCCUCCUGUCUUCGACCGACAAUGAAGCGCGGGCGUGAAGAUGCGGCGGACGAGCCGGAGGCAACCAUCGGAGCAGAGCAGUCUGCUGCCGUGGAUGCAGCCGUGGGUGGAGCGGCUGAGUCCGCCGUAGCGGCGGAAGCUGGCGGUGCAGCGACCGUUGUGCCUGCUCCCGCUGCCAUCGCAGCUGUCGAGGCACCCGUCGGCGAGCACAAGGUCGGGGAAGAUCUGGAGGAGGAGGAGAUGAGAAGGCAUAAGCGGAAGGUGCAUGACUGAAAGUGCAACUAUCCCUAGGUGGUUUUGGUAAUUCAUAACAACAUAUAGCUCAUUGAGCUAAUGCUAUUUCAAGAUGAUUAUUUCAGGAAAGCUCAAUGAUUGGCAUGGCAUGGAUGUGAAAGUGGAAUCCUCAAAAUGCGAAGGAAAAAGAAUUGGCUCAAGCUCAAAAGUUCAAGACUCUUCAUUUUAUAUUUUAGUGAUCCAAGAUCACAUUGAGUCUUUAGGAAAAGCCAAUACUAUUAAGGAGGGAUGAGGUGUUGCUUAAUGAGCCUCUUGCUCUAUGUGCUUAGUGAUAUGCUCCAAAAUCCUCAACCACUUUUCCAUAUCCACAAAUGACCUAAACCCUAAGCCAAACUCGGUCUUACCGAUUCUGUCAAUCCGGCGCCACCGAGUUUCACUUGUCAUUUGAGACUGCCAAACCCUAGCAAUUCGGUCCUACCGAUAAGGUUCUCGGUCUCACCGAGAUGGGCUUGCAAACUCUCUGUUUCCCUUUCGUAACUUUUUGGUCUCACCGAAAGAGCGAAUCGGUCCCACCGAGAAUGCAAGGUAAACUCUAUGUUUCCUUCUUGUAACGUUUCGGUCUCACCGAAAGAGCAAGUCGGUCCCACCGAUUUUGCCUGACCAACUCUCUGGAUAGCUAAUUGCCGAACUUGGUCUCACCGAGAUUACGUUAUGCCCAAACCCUAACCGAAUCGGUCCUACCGAGUUGCAUCUCAGUCCCACCGAAAUUCCUAAUGGUCACUAGGUUUACCAUUUCGGUCCGACCGAGUUUGAUUAUUUGGUCCCACCGAGAUUGGAAAACUGUGUGUAACGGUUGGAUUUUGUGUGGAGGCUAUAUAUACCCCUCCACCACCUCUUCAUUCGAAGAGAGAGCAAGCAAAACACAUACAUCAUUCCUACUCAUAUGUUCUGAGAAAGAACCACCUACUCAUGUGUUGAGACAAAGAUAUUCCAUUCCUACCUUAUGAAUCUUGAUCUCUAGCCUUUCCCAAGUUGCUUUCCACUCAAAUCUUCUUUCCACCAGAUCCAAAUCCUAUGAGAGAGAGUUGAGUGUUGGGGAGACUAUCAUUUGAAGCACAAGAGCAAGGAGUUCAUCAUCAACACACCAUUUGUUACUUCUUGGAGAGUGGUGUCUCCUAGAUUGGCUAGGUGUCACUUGGGAGCCUCCGACAAGAUUGUGGAGUUGAACCAAGGUGUUUGUAAGGGCAAGGAGAUCGCCUACUUCGUGAAGAUCUACUGCUAGUGAGGCAAGUCCUUCGUGGGCGAUGGCCAUGGUGGAAUAGACAAGGUUGCUUCUUCAUGGACCCUUCGUGGGUGGAGCCCUCCGUGGACUCGCGCAACCGUUACCCUCCGUGGGUUGAAGUCUCCAUCAACGUGGAUGUAGGAUAGCACCACCUAUCCGAACCACGGGAAAACAUCCAUGUCUCCAAUUGCGUUUGAAUCCUCCAAACCCUUACCUUUACAUUCUUGCAAGUUGCAUGCUUUACUUUCCACUGCCAAUAAACUCUUUGCAUGCUUGCUUGAAUUGUGUGAUGAUUGCUUGACUUGCUCUAAGAUAGCUAAAAUCUGCCAAGAACUAAAAUUGGGAAAAGGCUAAGUUUUUAAUUAGUCAAGUAGUCUAAUCACCCCCCCUCUAGACAUACUUUCAAUCCUACAAGUGGUAUCAGAGCUUUGGUCUCCAUUUGGCUUGAUCUUCAUAGCUUUUGGUGGUCAUAGCCUUGGUUUCACAACCUAGGAGAGUAUGGCAUCUAGCGAGGGAAAUUAUCACCGUAGAGGUCCUUACUUUGAUGGCACUAAUUUUGCUAGUUGGAAGCAUAAAAUGAAAAUGCAUAUUCUUGGACAUAACCCCGCCGUAUGGGCUAUUGUUUGUGUUGGCUUGCAAGGUGAGUUCUUCGAUGGGAGGGAACCAAACCGUGAAGCUACCGCGGAUGAGUUGAAGAUGUUGCAAUACAAUGCUCAAGCUUGUGAUAUUCUCUUCAACGGAUUGUGCCCCGAAGAAUUCAACAAAAUCAGCGGCCUUGAGAAUGCAAAGGAGAUUUGGGAUACUUUGAUUGAUAUGCACGAAGGUACCGACUCCGUCAAGGAAUCCAAGUUGGAUGUGCUCCAAAGUCAACUUGACAAGUUCAAGAUGAAGGAUGGUGAAGGUGUCGCUGAAAUGUACUCCAGGCUUGCUCUCAUCACAAAUGAGAUUGCCGGCUUAGGAAGUGAAGAGAUGACCGAUAGAUUCAUCAUCAAGAAGAUCCUAAGAGCCUUGGAUGGGAAAUAUGAUACCGUGUGCACAUUAAUCCAAAUGAUGCCCAACUACAAAAUCUCAAGCCAACGGAAGUAAUUGGAAGGAUUGUUGCUCAUGAGAUGUCACUCAAGGAUAAAGAGGAACUUCACAAUAAAUCAAGUGGUGCCUACAAAGCGUCAUGUGAAGCCCCCGCAUCAUCAAGUGAGAAACAAAACUUCAAUGAAGAAUUGAGCUUAAUGGUGAAGAACUUCAACAAGUUCUACAAGAGUAGAAGCAAAGAUAGAAGCUUCAAGUCAAGGUCCUACAAUGACAAAAGAUCUUCUAGUCGAGAGCGAAACUGCUAUAAUUGUGGAAGACCCGGACACUAUUCCAAUGAGUGUACGACUCCCUACAAGAGAAGAGAAGAUUCUCCAAAAAGAAGAAGCAAAGAAUCUCCACCAAGAGAGAGAAGGAGUAGAGAUGAUCGUUAUGAACGAAGAUACUCACGGAGAAGCAAGGACUCGGAAAGGAAGGAAAAAUCAUCAAGGAGCUAUACAAAACAAAGACAUCAAGCUCAUGUUGAUGAAUGGGUAUCCGGCUUCGACUCCGACAGCCACUCAGAGAGAAGUUAUCACUCCGACUCCGAAGAUACUCAAGAUGAAGGUGUUGCCGGUCUAGCACUUGUGUCAACCAACUCCUACGACAUAUUUGACUCCCCAAAUGAAGGAAUUGGAAGAUGCUUCAUGGCUAAAGGUCCUAAGGUAACACACCCCGAGUACGUUGAUUUUAAUAGUGAUGAAGAUGACUUGUUAGGUAAUGAUGAUUUGCUUGUUGACAACUCUAGUGAUGAGUACUAUGAUGAAACAUCAAUUAAUCAUGCUAAAACGAAUGACAAUGAUAAGGAGAAGAUUGAGGCUCUAACUAAAGAACUAAACACUCUUAAGUUAGCUCAUGAAACUAUCUUCGAAGAUCAUCGAGAACUUUUAAGAGCUCAUGAGAAAUUACGCUUUGAAAAGCUCAAUCUUGAGCAAGAGCAUGAGUUCUUAAAAGCAAUCAACGAUGAUCUCCGCAAGAAUAGUUCUUCUUACAUUGCCAAGCGUUUACUAUUAUCCACUUACAUGCCUCAAGUCAAGACUAGUAACAAGAAUAAGAAAGAUUCUUCCUCUAGUAGUGACAAUGAUCAUGCUAAAUCCAAUAUUGUUGCUUCUAGUAGUUCUCUUGAUUCCACUAAUGAUUCUCUUAGCCAAGUUACACUUGAGCAAGAAAAUAGCUUAUUGAAGGGAAUUAUAGAGAAAGGUGUUUACAAGAGCCUUGCCGGAAGUAAGCAAUUCGAGGAAAUUGUGCACAAGCAAGGAAUGCACCGGAAGAAUCAAGGUGUUGGUUUUGAACGAAAGUUCAAUGCCAAUGGAGUUGAAUGGGAAGAAGAUCAAUACCCCAAGACAAAGUUUGUUCCUCAACAAGAGAAGUAUGACACUUCUUUCAAGGGGACACAAGCUCAAGAUGAUCUUCCACCACAAGACUACAAGCAAAAAGGCAAGGACAAGCUUCAAGAGGAGAUUGAUGCAUUUGAAGAAGCUCCCAAGACCUUAGUCAAGUGGAUUCCCAAGACUACUUCAAGUUCCACUACACCAAGUACGACUACAACUCCAAGGAUUCCCAUCAAGAUGGUGUGGAUCCAAAAGAAGAAGAACUAGAGAGUUCUUGAGGGUGACUCCGCCAACAUAAUUCACUCUUAUCAUUUUGGCAAGAACAAGUGCAAUCAACUUCCACAUCUUGCACUAGUUCAAGGAGUUACAAACCCUCUUGUUGGUAAGACAAGGGACAAGGUAACCUAAAGUUUUCAUGGACAUCAUCUUGUGUGUGCAUCACUCUAUGUCUAUGGAUAUCCUUGUUUGUUCCUUGUGGGACUAACCCAUGUAGGUAUUGAAAGUGCAAUUCACUCAAAUGGAUAGCUCCAAGUGAUCUACAUCAACAUUGAGCAUCCACAUCUUCAACAUCUACAUGAAGUCAUCAUCGACAAAACCCAAGGUUAGUUCAUCCCUCUUAGGGGGGAUAUCACAUCUAGGGGGAGCUUUACUCUAAGACUUGAGCUAAAGCAACUCUAAAGAUGUGAAUACAACAAUGCUUUAUGUAAAAGUGGUAACCCCACUUGAGCUUAAACGAUGGGUAUGACCUAUGAUCAAGUGUUCUCACUUGACUCCUAAGUCAAUAUGCUCAUAUAUAGAUGACCUAGUCAUCGCAAAUUGCUUUAUAGAUGCUAGAAUUGGUUGUGCAUGCUUUGCCACAUAUUUCAUUUGCCAUCUUAUUGUGUGAGCAUGUUGGUUGCAUAUUUUACUCAUUCGAGGACAUCCACUUGUUGUUUUGAUUGUUUGGCUUUCUUUUUUUGCCAAGUGGAUGGACAAGAAUGCCUAAGAACCUCCUCUAGCUAUCUAUGCUUUUCUCGUCUCAAACUCUAUUCAUGCUGCAUCACAAAACUUGAUCAAGUCAGAUUCGAACCACUCUGUGUGAGGAGCGCUCGGAGUCCCCGAUUCGUCAUAGACUUAAACUUCCAAAACCUCUUUAUGAAUCUCGGUCUGACCGAUACUCCAUUUUCGGUCCUACCGAGUUCAUUAAGUUGAUCUAGGUUUUCGAUCUCGGUGCAACCGAUUUGAACUUUUCGGUCACACCGAGUUGCAAUAACUGCACACAGUUUUGCAUCUCGGUGCCACCGAGUUGUUCCACUCGGUCACACCGACAGGGUCGGGCUAUAUAUAGUGACGGGAAAUUUUUUGGAAAUUUCUCCGAAACCCCUUCGCCCGCGCGAUAGCCUGCUCUGCCUUCGUGGUCUCCGGAUCGUCUUCUCGUCGCCAGCAGCCUCCAGUCACUGGUCUCCGCCGCCGUCAACGGAUUUCUGCCCCGCCGUUGCCGCCGUAGCGAGUCUCCGCCGAACUAGGGGUCAGCAGUCAGUUUGCAACAUGUCUGAUCAAAGUGACAGCCAGAAUGUGUCUGAGCAGCAAGUUGUGAUGAGUGAGGGCACUAGCCCCUCAAGCUCUUCUGAUGAUGGCAGCAGGAGCACCCCCAGCAAUCUGCCCAAGGCCGCCACACGUCAAAGGAAGAAGAGAACGUCUGAUUCUGAGGAUGAAGACUAUGUGGCAGAGGAAGAGGCCACAUCAAAGAGAGCUGAACCAGCUCAAGGAACCAAGCCAGGGCUGAAGAUCAAAAGGCCAACAGGCAGGCAGCCCAUGUCAAAGGCUAGGGCUUCAACUGUGAAGCCUGCUCCCACUGAGCCCGUUGCUGCUGAGGGCAAGAAAAGGAAAGAAAGGGUGAAAAAGACUGUAGCCAGAGUGCUUGGAAAGGCCUCCAUCAUGGUCGAUGAGGAGGAAGAAGAAGAGGUUGCUGCACUAGCACCCAAGGCAGCCAAACUCAUGGGAGAUGCUAUAAGGUCAGGAACAGCUGCAUCCAAGCCCAAGGAUGCACCUAAGGCUGCAACUAAGCCUAAGAGUGCACCCAAGAGAAACACACGAAGCAUCCCAGCUGCAGAAAAGAACAAGGCCCCAACGCCUGAAGCUAUUGAAGAAGAGGAAGAGAGUGUCCUUAGGAAGAUCAAGCCUGAGCGUCGACUUAGCACUAUGCAUUUUCUAGGAACUUUUUGGUAACUUGUUGCCAAAGGGGGAGAAGAUGUAUAGAUCAUAGGCUUCGAGAGAGAGUGUGUUGCUUUUCUCUCUUGUUUUUAUUUGGUGGUUUUUCGAACUUUGUUUGCUUGUGUGUGAGAUACUAUGUCGUUAUUCGUGAGACAUCGAUGAUCAUGUGUUUGAUCAUAAGCUACACUUAAUGUUUGCUUAAUGCUUGCUAUAUAUUAUCAUUCCAUCUAUCGUUUGUGAUCAUUCACUAUUCUUGGUGAUGAGUGCAUGUAUUUCAAUCUUAUCAUUUUUGAGCGCUCCACCAAGAUGUAUGUGACAUGGAAGAGUAACCCAUGAUUCUAACUCCAUGUGCAUUUGCAGUCCAAAGCAAAUUUUAAAUACGCACAAAUUUAGGGGGAGCUCUUAUUUGUCACAUACUUCUGAAAGCGACGAUAUAUUUCAUGCUUAUUAUCAUUUGUCGAAGCUUUGAUCUAUAUGUUGUCAUCAAUUACCAAAAAGGGGGAGAUUGAAAGUGCAACUAUCCCUAGGUGGUUUUGGUAAUUCAUAACAACAUAUAGCUCAUUGAGCUAAUGCUAUUUCAAGAUGAUUAUUUCAGGAAAGCUCAAUGAUUGGCAUGGCAUGGAUGUGAAAGUGGAACCCUCAAAAUGCUAAGGAAAAAGAAUUGGCUCAAGCUCAAAAGUUCAAGACUCUUCAUUUUAUAUUUUAGUGAUCCAAGAUCACAUUGAGUCUUUAGGAAAAGCCAAUACUAUUAAGGAGGGAUGAGGUGUUGCUUAAUGAGCCUCUUGCUCUAUGUGCUUAGUGAUAUGCUCCAAAAUCCUCAACCACUUUUCCAUAUCCACAAAUGACCUAAACCCUAAGCCAAACUCGGUCUUACCGAUUCUGUCAAUCCGGCGCCACCGAGUUUCACUUGUCAUUUGCCACUGCCAAACCCUAGCAAUUCAGUCCUACCGAUAAGGUUCUCGGUCUCACCGAGAUGGGCUUGCAAACUCUCUGUUUCCCUUUUGUAACUUUUCGGUCUCACCGAAAGAGCGAAUCAGUCCCACCGAGAAUGCAAGGUAAACUCUAUGUUUCCUCUUGUAACAUUUCGGUCUCACCGAAAGAGCAAGUCGGUCCCACCGAGUUUGCCUGACCAACUCUCUCGUUAGCUAAUUGCCGAACUCGGUCUCACCGAGUUUGUGCGAUCGGUCUCACCGAGAUUACGUUAUGCCCAAACCCUAACCGAAUCGGUCCUACCGAGUUGCAUCUCAGUCCCACCGAAAUUCCUAACGGUCACUAGGUUUACCAUUUCGGUCCGACCGAGUUUGAUUAUUCGGUCCCACCGAGAUUGGAAAACUGUGUGUAACGGUUGGAUUUUGUGUGGAGGCUAUAUAUACCCCUCCACCACCUCUUCAUUCGAAGAGAGAGCAAUCAGAACACAUACAUCAUUCCUACUCAUAUGUUCUGAGAAAGAACCACCUACUCAUGUGUUGAGACCAAGAUAUUCCAUUCCUACCUUAUGAAUCUUGAUCUCUAGCCUUUCCCAAGUUGCUUUCCACUCAAAUCUUCUUUCCACCAGAUCCAAAUCCUAUGAGAGAGAGUUGAGUGUUGGGGAGACUAUCAUUUGAAGCACAAGAGCAAGGAGUUCAUCAUCAACACACCAUUUUUUACUUCUUGGAGAGUGGUGUCUCCUAGAUUGGCUAGGUGUCACUUGGGAGCCUCCGACAAGAUUGUGGAGUUGAACCAAGGUGUUUGUAAGGGCAAGGAGAUCGCCUACUUCGUGAAGAUCUACUGCUAGUGAGGCAAGUCCUUCGUGGGUGAUGGCCAUGGUGGAAUAGACAAGGUUGCUUCUUCGUGGACCCUUCGUGGGUGGAGCCCUCCGUGGACUCGCGCAACCGUUACCCUCCGUGGGUUGAAGUCUCCAUCAACGUGGAUGUAGGAUAGCACCACCUAUCCGAACCACGGGAAAACAUCCGUGUCUCCAAUUGCGUUUGAAUCCUCCAAACCCUUACCUUUACAUUCUUGCAAGUUGCAUGCUUUACUUUCCGCUGCCAAUAAACUCUUUGCAUGCUUGCUUGAAUUGUGUGAUGAUUGCUUGACUUGCUCUAAGAUAGCUAAAAUCUGCCAAGAACUAAAAUUGGGAAAAGGCUAAGUUUUUAAUUGGUCAAGUAGUCUAAUCACCCCCCCUCUAGACAUACUUUCGAUCCUACAAUGACGAAAUCGAGGAGCUCUUCGAGGAGAACGCCAUAAAGGAGUUCGACCUAGAUAGCAGGAAGGGCAGCGACUUCGACGAGGAUGCCAUCGACGACCUAUCUGAGGUAGUACUCUGUUUUUGCUCUGUUUUUUUCAUGACAUUGGGGUUUUUCUUGUUAACUACAUGAGCAUCAAUUUCACUUGGGCGUGCUAGUUGUACGUAUGUAGGAUUGUAGGGAUCUAGCAUAGAUCUUCAUGUUGGAUGUGGUUUUUUAAAUCUGAUUGACAUUCUGAUUCCAGCAAAUACUUUGGGUUUUUUUCAUGGCAUUGGGGUUUGUCUUGUUAACUAGAUGAGCAUAAGUUCCACAAGGGAUACAUUAAUGAAAGAAGUGGGGUAAUGAACCCAACUACAAGAUAAUGUUCAUGGCAGGGAUACAUUAAUGGAAAAAGUGGGUUAAACAAUGGAUAUAUGGCAGGAUUCUCCAUUGGCUUCCCCAGGACAGUGACAAAAUGCUGCAGUUCCUGAUUCAUUUUAGUUUAUGUAGAUGAAUUAAUUUGCACACAUGUUCAUAGAUGAUUAGUUUGCACACAUGUUCAUAGAUGAUCCAUUUGCAAAUUCUAUACAGCUUUCCAUUUUGCAAAGGAAGUGAUCGCUCCCUUAAUAAUUAUGGGCUGACAGUACAUAUCCACUGGAUACCAAAAAAUCAAAACAUUUCAUCUAGCCAAUUUUCCACAGUAUGUUAUCUAGAUGAUCACAGCCACAUCUCUCAUCAAUAUGAGCAGUGAGACACCCCAUAGCUCCUUUACCAAUUUCCUUCUGAAACUUAUCAGGGUCUAACAAUGUUGGACAAGCAGUAUUGCCGGUGUCAGAAAGAAUAAUGGUUUCUUCAUUCCAGUAGAUAGAACAAACCCCCCUUGUGUGAAACAUGGAGGAGUACAAUGAAGCCAUUUUUCUGAUUCCAAUAAGAAUUACACCUGUAACAAGUAUCAAAUAUCAUUAAACCAAGCCACUUCAUGAAGUCUUUCAUGUGUUAAUUAUGUACUACUUGUGCACUAAUCUAUAAAUGCAACUAUUCCACCAUCCGUAUUUAUGCAUGUCAGUUUCUUUGGCUCAAUUAUGUAUGUGCACAUACGCCUUGUUUCUAGCAAAUAGAUAGUUGCCAUGUUACACGUGUGUACUUUCAAAACAUUGUAAUUAAAGUCAAUGUACCAUAAUGGAUUAGCUGAGUUCUUCUAUGUGUACUAAUUCACUAAUUCACAGGAGGAUGACGACGAUGUGGACUACUGCAUGGACAGCAGGCACAACAAGAGCCGGUACACCCUGAGGCAUCUGAUUGCUGGGAAGAUCAAGUACCGUUUCUUUGGCAAGAUUGGGUGCCCUUUCUGUUGCAAGGUGAUCGGUGGCGGCAUAGAUGGCAUGAUCCAGCAUGCCUUCAGCACUGGCAAUGGACAUGGUAAGAAGCAUAAAGCCAGUACUUUGGCUAAACAUGCUGCCUACGCACGCUUCCUCGAGAUUGUGAAAGUCAAUGAGCCCUACAACAUGCAUUGAACAAGGGAGAGAAGUGAUGUGCUGCUAGAGUGCUGCUGCUGCCCCAGGACCCCCGUGUCCUGUUAUGUUAUGUAUGUUUGUUUGUUGUUGGAGUCUAAAACUGAUGUCCUAUGGUGUGUCUGAACCUAUGCUGAGCGGUGGUUGAUCUGCCGUUUAUGUUAAGAGUUUGCUGCUACUCUAGUUUAGUGUUCCUAGUUGUUAAUACUAUUUUGGUGAUGCAUGUUUAAGCCUUGUACAAUGCUAGAUGCUUAGGGUGGUGCUUAGAAAAAUAAACAGGGUUUUUUUGAAGCACCAGUGCCUAUUUCUACAGGAGAGACGCCUAGUUAUGCGUCUACCCUGUACAAAUAAGCACCUGUGCUUAAGAAAAGCCUAGUUUAUUUCUAUAAGCAACUCCCCUAAGCGCCUUGCAUUGUACAAGGCCUUAGCAACUCAAGUAUCGUACGGUGGUCUACGUUAUGGUUGCUGUGUUAUUCUGCCGUACGGUGAUGCAUGCUAGGAACUGUCAUAAUAUGACUAUGGUAGUUAUAGCUUCGCAUGAUUAUGUUUAGUGUAUAACUCAGCAUGUUCCUACCAUAUCUAUGGGUAAUUACAACUGAACUAUGCAUUAAUUUUUGACAAAAUGAAAGCAUGCAAAUGAUUGCCGAUUCCACCUAUUGGAAAAUCAAGCUUUGGACUGAUGAUGCAUUAUAUAUUGCAAUAAGUAGAGGAUGCUCAUGAUUGCCAAAAGUACCUAUUUCCACUUUCUGAUAAGAACUAAACGUGUAUCAAAUGAUGCUAAAAGUAGAGCAUGAGCAUAAGCAUGUAUCAAUGCAUUAGAUAUUGCAAUAAGUAGAGGAUGCUCAUGAUUGCCAAAAGUACCUAUUUCCACUUUCUGAUAAGAACUAAACGUGUAUCAAAUGAUGCUAAAAGUAGAGCAUGAGCAUGAGCAUGUAUCAAUUGAUGCUACCUAUUUGUGUUUGAAUGGGCUCAAUAAAGCUGGUGCUGGUUUAUGCUCUCUGCGUGACCGUGAUGGUAACGAAGACACUUGGUUGGCUAUGGUCUUGCUGUCAAAUUUAAGUUUCAGUUCUUUAAGAUUCUUUGUUUUUGCUGCUUGCUCGGGAUCGACUAGCUUUCUCGGGCGUCCACGUGCUCUCUUCCUUUUGGGGGAGUUGGGUGCACCAUUUUUGGGGGAGUUGGCUGCACCGGUAUCCUUCUGGGAGUUGGAUGUGUCAGGUUCGUUGGAACCAUCGGGAUUGUUGACUAAUUGUACGUCCUCUUCUGAAGCAUCAGGUAGAACUGCUUGCUGGGCAUCGUACACCUCCUUCUGUAUAAGAGAGAGUGCUGCGUUAGUUCUAAUCAUGAGACUUAUGAAAUAAAUGAUAUAUUCUUCAUGUAGCGCUAACCGUUAUGGGGAACUUAUAUGAUUCGAGACGAAGCGCAUUGCAAUUUGAAUGCAGUAAGGCUGUACAUAUUUUCCACCUGAAAAUAUCUAUCCUUGCCUAUAUUGGAUAACCGACACUGACGUCAGCAUAGCUUUCAAGCUAAACAAAUUACAAAUUUAAAUUAGGCAUUCAAUUACCUGGUUCAAAAUAUCGGUCAUUUCAUCCCCGUUCCAUGACAACAUGUACUGCAGUGUCCAAACCGCACAGGAAGUCUUGCAAUGUUUAGUUAAAGAUCAGUAAUCUUAUUCGUGUACGCAAAUAAUAAUUUAUGAGGCCAUGCGUACCCAUCGGUCUGUUGUGGUAUGUUCUCAUAGUGUUUUUUGGUCCAUUUGGCAAAAUUGAUGUUAUUAGCUGGUGAUAUCAACCCUUUCUUGACCGCUUCGUCAAUGCAGAACUGAAUCGAGUCCACCUAGGUUACGACAAGUUAUACAUAGGGUUACGGUACUUUGGGAGCUCAUGUUCCAUGCGGAUCAAGAGAGGCAGCAAGAGAACACUUACAAGAGAAUCUUCCUUGGUCUUGUUGCAAUGAUAAUUCAUGGAGUUCAGAGUCUGAAUUUCUUUUUUGUCAAAAUUAAACAUCAUUAGCAUCCAAUGGUUUUGGUGUACAUUGAGUGGGACAUGCACCUGCAGUAAAAUUUGGGUUGGGUUGAGAACCGAAAUUUGUCGUGUACAGUGUGUACGUAAACUAUAAAAGUGUGGAAAACGUGUACCUUUCGGCGCCCUACAAAUUUUCCUGCUACACGAGCUAACCAUGAUGCUGCACGUCCAACAGGAACCACCCCCUUCAUUUGUAACAGCUUUUCGGUUUCUUGAGGGGAUAUGAUUGAGGUAGUAUCAUUCUCAAUUUGGCUAAUGAGAGCAUAUGCCAUAAUAACCUGCCAAAUUUUCAAUCAUACAAUAAUAAGACAGUUGUUGCAGUAAUGAUGUACAAUAGAGUAUAAUGGGCUUACAUCACCAUAAAUGUAUUUCUCGUCCAAAUUUCGCUUCAGAUUUUCUGCUGUGAGGGAAAUGUCUCCGAUUCUAGCUAUUUCAACAGGGUCAUAUGUUCCGCGGGUGUAAACGGCUGUCUCUAUGUCCUCAUCCGUGAACUUGUAAUCAUUACCAAAGACAGGCUUCAUCGGAGUUAAUUGUGGUUCCUCAUUGUUUUCCCUCACAUGUCUUGCACUUGGUGUACUCAAAGUCCCUGUCGUGAUUUGGCUAGCCCUAGGAGUUCCUGUCAGGGAUGAAUUGCACACAUUGACUUGAUCCUACAAUGAACAAAGGUAGUUCAUCAUUAGUUUGUUACUUUUAGAUAUUAACGUGUUGGGCCAAUUUUGAUCACCUGCACGCCUCCUUUCUGUGACACUGAUUGUCGGUUCCUUGUAAAUUCGUAUUUUAAGUCCUGUAACAAUGCAAACAAUAAUGAACAUGAAGGAACAUAUUCAUAAAAAAUACAAAAUGCACAGUAUGACAUACAUGGAGUUCCCUCCUUAAGUCUUUAAUUUCGUCCUCGGCCUUCGACAACCUAGGAUUAGUGCCAGUUUUAGUCUUCAUGUCGAUCAAGUCUUCACCUAGAGUCUGGUAUUUGACAUCAAAUCUGUGCUCAAUUUCCAUUAACUUCCUGCAUACCUUCUUUUCAUGAUCAGCAAUGCGUGCAUUCAUGACUUCAACUACCAUUUCAAUCUGUGUAAACAAAAUAAAACCCCAUUGGUAACAAUAGCUAAAUGAAUGAGGUUCCAUGACACCUAUUUGUGAUAUUGCAAAAACAAAUAGUCUUUGGAGUACAUACUUGCUGGCUACUAAAUUGCUGUCCUUGUGAUGGUGCUCGAUACGAAUCAUGUUGAUGCACAUGUUCAUCUUUUUUUCUUGGAAAAUUAUUAGAAUUAUCGGACGGUCGUUGAGGAGCACAAAUUUCCAUGACAACCUAUUUUUUUAAAAUAUAAUGAACCAUUAGUACCAAAUAAAAAAUCGAAUAUAGAAAGUUCAAUUGUAGAUAGGUACCAGCCCGUUAUGAAGACCUCCUUUCUCGUAAGCAUCGCUUCUUAAAGUAGCCAUCAUUUCGUCCCAUCGUGCGAUCAAUGGAGGGGGUCUAGAAGCAUACAUUAAUCGGCCACUACGCACGUGCUCCCAGUACCAAUACUACACAAUAAAUUAGUUCAUCACCAUACAGAUAUGCAACAGAACAAUAAUUAAAGGACAUUAAGUAGUGAUCUAUCACUAACCUAGAGCAGAAUUAGAUUUCAUUGUAGAUUUACGUGAUCUCGAUUUCUAAACUUGUGAACGGACUUGAAGAAGUGAUUAAGUGUGAAACAUCCCCAGUUAAAUUUCCGAAGGUUUUCAAGAUCUGUAACGAGGUUGAGAAAUUUCGAGUCCACAUAAUGUUGUGCUGUUGGUGCUAGAACAGUACCAAUUGCGUACAGAAUGAACCGCCUCAGGAAAUCGCCGUCUGGGGCUUUGGAAGCUCGGAUCAUUGUUUCAAGGUCAGAAAUCAAAAUUUGCCCAUUGUUUGCAUAGGCGGUAAACAAUUCUGUGUCGGUUUGCAUUUCCAGAUGUGGCUCUAUAUCCUCCCCUUCUAUCGGAAUGCCAAAUAUACCUUGCACGUCCUCUUUUGUUAUAGGAAUUGGCGUUUUACCGAUGGUAAUGGAUUGCGUGUCCAUAUCUAUGCUCUUGGCUAGUCUAACCAACAUUAUGCGCCGUAGAGUCACUUCAUGCAUCUGGGUCAGACCGCCAAGACUGGUUUCUGAUAUGAUGUACUUUCUGUGGUCUUAUGAAAACAGUUUCAUGGUUUUUCCGAACCUUGUCUGUGAGCAUACUAACUUCAUAUGACCAUGCUUUUCGGCGAGUUCCUGUUACAUGCCAUUAAAUAUUACUGAGUACACAUGAAUUAUGUGUACGAAACGAUUGUACACAAACAGUAAAUUACUUACCACAUCGGUAAUUUCGGAGAUGGGCUUUUCUCCAUUAUUAAGGUUCGUAUCUGAAACUGACAUUGCUGCCUCGUAUGCAAUGAUAAAAUCAGGCUCAAUUAAUCUGAACAAAAUUGGAAAAUCUAUAACAAAAUUAGCAGAGAAUUAAUUUUAACAAAAUUAACUGGGUCAUUUAACAUAUGAUCCACUUAUGGGUUUAAGCACAGAACCUACUUGGGUGCAAAACCUAUGAGGGUUCAACAACUAAAGCAUCGGCGAACAACGAUUAUAAAGAGUUACAAUCAGCUAAGACCUUACCUCGGAGAUGGUGCCACCGAGUAGAUGGCGGCGGUUAGUGCGUCGGAAACUAUAAGUGCCGGUAUAGCGCGGUCGACGGCGCAAAGGAAAAACGGCACGUUCACGCGAGGAGGAGGCGGCGAGAAGAACACUGACGUCCGAGCCCUUAGAUCACGUUGGCGGUGGGCGGCGAGUGGUGGUCGCCGACUCCUGUAUUCCAUGGGCGACCGGCGUCUCCGAUCUGAUCUUGCAGCGGUCGUGGGAGGUGCAGACGACCCGGGUGGUUAGAAUGCGGAGCUGUAAUCGCGGGAUUUAGGGAGGGGUGGGCCGCGUGAGUUAUGUGAGAUUUGGAUAAAUGAUAUAAAGAAAUAAGAAAAUCUUGUGAACUCGGUGUGGGGUUUAUGGGCUUUAGGGUUUAGGGGUUUAGGGUUAUUAGGGUUUAGGGAUUUAGGGGUUUAGGGUUAUCAGGGGUUAGGGUUAUCAGGGUUUAGGGUUGAGUGUUUACAUGCAAGCCCGGAAAUGCGCGUGUCAGAGAACAUACUUGCAUGUGUAUGUACUAAUGAUCCCAAACUUUCUUAAUGGCAUCCCAUGACCACAUAGAGAAUGAAUGCAUAAUGGUUUCCAUGUUGGGCAAAAUUUUGAAUGUUUUUACGGUUUAGUGGGGGGGGUGGGGUUAGGGUUAUCAGGGUUUAGGGUUUAAGGGUUCUAGGGUUGACGGAACUAUGUUUGUCUUACGGUGGACGUAGCACACACACCGGACAUUGGUGGAGCGUUGGUCUACAAUGGAUUCCCUCUGGUAGCAUCGAUCCGAUCCAUUGAAUGGCUCGGCCAACAAACUUCGUGCCACAUAGAGCAUGCAUCCAUCCACUGGACCGGAUCAAUGUUGGGUUGGUUUCAUACAGGUGAGGAAAGCAGCUAGUGCUUUCGGGGUGUUGACAUGCUAGGCCGGAAAUGCGCGUGUCAGAGAUCGUACUUGCAUGUAUAACCCCAAACUUUUUUCAUGGCAUCCCAUGACCCCAUAGAGAAUGCAUGCAUAAUGGUUUCCAUGUGGGGCAAAAAUUUGAAUGUUUUUACGGUUUAGUGGGGGGUGGUGGUUAGGGUUAUCAGGGUUUAGGUUUUAAGGGUUUUAGGGUUAACGGAACUAUGUUUUUCUUACGGUGGACUUAGCACACACACCGGACAUUGAUGGAGCGUUGGUCUACAAUGAAUUCCCUCCGGUACCAUCGAUCCGGUCCGUUGACUGGCUCGGCCGACAAACUUCGUGCCACAUAGAGCAUGCAUCCAUCCACUGGACCGGAUCGAUGUUUGCUUGGUUUCAUACAGGUGAGGAACCCAGCUAGUGCUUUCGGGGUGUUGACAUGCUAGGCUGGAAAUGUGCGUGUCAGAGAUCAUACUUGCGUGUAUAAUCCCAAAAAUCUUUCAUGGCAUCCCAUGACCACAUAGAGAAAUUUUGAAUGUUUUUACGGUUUAGUGGGGGGGAGGGGGUGGGGUUAGGGUUAUCAGGGUUUAGGGUUUACGGGCUCUAGGGUUGACGGAACUAUGUUUGUCUUACGGUGGACGUAGCACACACACCGGACAUUGGUGGAGCGUUGGUCUACAAUGGAUUCCCUCUGGUAGCAUCGAUCCGAUCCGUUGAAUGGCUCGGCCGACAAACUUCGUGCCACAUAGAGCAUGCAUCCAUCCACUGGACAGAAUCAAUGUUGGGUUGGUUUCAUACAGGUGAGGAAAGUAGCUAGUGCUUUCGGGGUGUUGACAUGCUAGGCCGGAAAUGUGCGUGUCAGAGAUCGUACUUGCAUGUAUAAUCCCAAACUUUUUUCAUGGCAUCCCAUGACCCCAUAGAGAAUGCAUGCAUAAUGCUUUCCAUGUGGGGCAAAAAUUUGAAUGUUUUUAUGGUUUAGUGGGGGGGGGGUGGUUAGGGUUAUCAGGGUUUAGGUUUUAAGGGUUUUAGGGUUAACGGAACUAUGUUUGUCUUACGGUGGACUUAGCACACACACCGGACAUUGAUGGAGCGUUGGUCUACAAUGGAUUCCCUCUGGUAGCAUCGAUCCGAUCCGUUGAAUGGCUCGGCCGACAAACUUCGUGCCACAUAGAGCAUGCAUCCAUCCACUGGACCGGAUCGAUGUUUGGUUGGUUUCAUACAUGUGAGGAACCCAGCUAGUGCUUUCGGGGUGUUGACAUGCUAGGCCGGAAAUGUGCGUGUUAGAGAUCGUACUUGUGUGUAUAAUCCCCAAAAAUCUUUCAUGGCAUCCCAUGACCACAUAGAGAAUGCAUGCAUAAUGGUUUCCAUGUGGGGCAAAAAUUUGAAUGUUUUUACGGUUUAGUGNNNNNNNNNNNNNNNNNNNNNNNNNNNNNNNNNNNNNNNNNNNNNNNNNNNNNNNNNNNNNNNNNNNNNNNNNNNNNNNNNNNNNNNNNNNNNNNNNNNNNNNNNNNNNNNNNNNNNNNNNNNNNNNNNNNNNNNNNNNNNNNNNNGGUUUUAGGGUUGACGGAGCACACACAUCGGACAUUGAUGGAGCGUUGGUCUACAAUGGAGUCCCUCCUGUAGCAUCGAUCUGGUCCGUCGACUGGCUCGGCCGACAUACUUUGUGCCACAUAGAGCAUGCAUGCAUCCACUGAACCGGAUCAAUGUUGGGUUGGUUUACAUGUACAUGUACAGGGACCCGAAAUGCGCGUGUUAGAGAUCGUACUUGCGUGUACAUGUACCAUCCUUCCAUCCACUGGCUGGGCCGACAACCUUCGUGCCACAUUGUUCACAUUGUCCAAUUAACACUUUGUAUAGAUUUUUUUCAUAAAAAAUGAACGAAAUAAUGCAACUAAUCUGAACGUAACGUUUGGCAUGUAUCAAACCAAGUUGCCACUAUUCCUCAAAAAAAGAACCCAGUUAGCCACUAAUUGCGCCAAACAUAUCUCGUAAUUACGAACGAAAAUGGGUUGACAAUUAUAUCUGGAAAUUCUUGGACUGAAUUUAUUGCUCUUCGUUUUUUAGAGAACAAUAAGUUAGAAUGGUGGGCGGCGGGUUGGCAUGGGCACGACCAUGGCUCGGGCUUGUGUCAUAUGUGGUUCGACCCGCGGUCAGUGCACAUGUUUUCGAAGCCCCGAAAAGAUCGUGCUCGUUAAAAAAAAAACUUGCAUCGACGCGCAUUACUUCAAAAUAACUAAUUAACCCUACAAUCACGGAUAUAGACCUUCCCAUUCUACCGCAUAUCUACCCUAUCCUAACCACCCCCAUCUACCUUGUUUCUCCUCACAUAGCCAUCGCCGGGAUCGCGCCAUCACUUCUCAAGCGACCACGCCGACGCCGGAUUACAAAAGGUCUCUUCCACGGCUUCUCUCAUCUUCGAUUGCAGUGAUGAUUAUUUUUUCCAUUGAUUCGACCAACAAGUAAUUUCCGAAGAGAUUAGAAAAUCCAGCUUUUACUAUGGUUGAGUAGUUCUGUUGUGAUUCGAGUACAGGAUGUCAUGCAAGAGCUUUUUGAUUGAUAGUUUGUACUAGUUGAUCGUGUGAACUUAUUAUGAAUAUUUUUUCACAGUCGUAUUGUUUCGAAUUAGUUGGAUGAGGGUGUGGAUACAGUUUUCAUACUAUGGGUAUAUGUGUUGCUGUAGGGACCAUGGUCUCAGAGGCGCAUAACAACCGUGCGGAGUACGACAAGUCUUUGCAUGAAGCGCGUCGGGAGAUCGACUUGAAGGUGCAAAAGGAUCGCGCUGAGGUAGAUAAGAAACAGAAAAAAGAACGUUCAUACGUGGACAGGAUGAUAAAGGAGGAGCGUGAGGAGUUUUCCCUUAAGAUGGCGAAGAUGCGUCUUGAGAUUGAAGAAAAGUAUAAGAGGGACUGUGAGCACAUGGAAAAAAAGUUUGUCUUAGGCUACAAGGAAAUGCAUCAAAUGUUGCAGAAGGACCGGAAGCUUGUGGACAGUAUUAUACAGACAGAGCGAGUCAGGAUGGAUGCCUAUGUGUUGCAGGCAUGUGCGGAUAUGGACAGUAAGCUGCUACAGGAGCGGUCGGACAUGGAUUAUAAGGCCAUGCUGGAGAAGGUCCGCUUGGAAGGACAUAUGUUAGAAGACCGUGCGAUCUCACGGCCACCCCGACAACAUGUCUUCAAUUAUUCUCCCCCUGUCAGUAUCUCGCACCGAUUCUAUAUAUUAAGGACCUACGUAUUCUAUGAUAUAAACAUCUUCAAUUUGUGGCAACCUUAUGUCGGCGAUUGUAUGUAGGCUAAGCAUCAUGACACGACACAGUCGCCAUUCACUCGACACAUUGCGAUAGAGUCACCCGUUCAAUGCCACAUCAGUCCACCCCAACAACAUAUCGUCAAUUCUCCCCUUGUAAGUACCCCGCAACAAUGCAUACCCAAUAUAUGGUAUGACCUUUCAAAACUUGUGUGUAAACCCACUAUCGACGUUUCAUACGCAGGAUAAGAAACCUGUGAUGGCAGAGUCCCCAGUCACACCACAUGAAGGAUACAUUCCACAUAAUAAGGUGAGAAGGUUUGAGAUGGCACAACCCCCAGUCACUCCACAUGAAGGAUACAUUCCACAAAAGCAGGUAACAACGCCGCAAUGUUGCUAUGCACAUAAAAAAUUAUGUUUGCCCCUUUACUCAUUGAAUGUAUUAACUCCGAUGUGAGAUACUAGGUGCUGGUCAUGGAAUUUUUUGUUAGUAGGGAUCAUGAGAUGUCACAUGUCCCGAGAGCAUACUUUGAUGAACACCCGGCAGAAGUCAGAAUUUUUGAACCCGCCAAAGUUACCUACGAUCUCAUUAUGAGUGAAAUGAGAGAUACUUUUGGUUGCAAACUGGGAGCAGAACUGUACUACUUCUUACCCGGGUCUGCGUGGAAGCUGCCAGAAGGAAUGUUCUUGAUUGCAGGACCAGAUGAUGUACAAAAAAUGCUUUCUGAUCUGAAUGGCAGCAAGACAUGUCACCUGUACAUUGUGUACAAUAGAACUACGGGUUGUUUUCCCGAGGAUGACGUUGAUUCCGAGGUUCAAAUUUUACAUGUUACAUGCAUCUAGUUUAUGGCUACGUCUUUUUUGAGUUCUUCCUAAUACAAUUCCUAUGGUUUUCUACAGGAAGUGAGAAUCCAAGAAAUGGAGUGUCUUGCUAGAGAGUUGGCAGAGAAAGACCAAGAACAACUUAAGUUGUAUGGUUACAUUGAUGUUAAAGAGAAAAAGAUUGAAGCACGUGGGUCGUCGCCAAGCCCGACGCAAUCUCCAACGACGCAACGCAAGAGGUCACUGGAUUUUGGUAGUGCAGAAGACAAUAUGGAGUAGGCUCAAUUGUUUUUCAACCAGUUAAAGCUUCAAACCAGGAUUAUUUAGUUGCAAACAAACAUUUUGUUUUCUGUUUCACACUAUGUUCGCAAUUAUGGUACAAUUUAUUCAUGAGACAUUUCGUUGAACAACAAUGCAUGUGUUUUAUGAUCAAUCAUACAGUUGUUUCUGAGUUGUUUUUGAGAUGGCAUUGUGUCUAAAGAAGUUUCCAUCUAUAAAACUUGCCACGCAGUCGCAUCGGAAUCGCGUAUCACGCGAGAGGCGUGCGUCGCACGGGAGAGCGUCGCACGCGAGCUUGUUUUCGGGUAGAAAUCAUAACAUAUUUCGGAUAGAUAAAGUUCACGUCCUCCACCCGCGCAUGCAAACCCACGUCGCCGCCAUUCCCAUGCACGCAUGCCUCAGGCGCAGACAACGAGACGGCCCAUCCGAAUUAGGCCCAUCCGAAGUAGGACAUUAGAACCCUCCCCCCACUCCACCUAUUCCCCUCGCACUGUGGCCUCCCUCCCUCCAUCGCCAGAUCCCCCACUCGUCCCCCUCUGUCCGCCGCCCCUGCAUGCCGUCAGCGACUUCACCUCCGCCGCCCCCGCACCCCCCGAACGAGAUCGGCCAGAUCCAUCUCCUCAACCAUCGCAGGACAACGCAGGUACCCCAGUUUCUGUUGACGUCUCAAUGGUAUCCAUGCUGAUAAUGCUAGGUAGAUCGACUGAGUGUAGCAAUUUUGUGCCACCAUCUGAAACUUGUGAUGCUUCCUACUGUACAAUAUAGGACUUUUCAAAGUUCUGUUAUGAUGGCACUUUUUGACACAUACAGUAGAGCUGCGUUUUUAGUUGUUAUACUUUCAGUUACCAUCACUGCUUGGGAAAGGACGAAUUGGAUGCAUUCAGGUCUGCAGUUGAUAGUGUAUCAUCAUAAUAUAGGUGCUGUGUUGUGUGAUUCUUCAUGCUGAGAACUUCAGCUUUUUCAGUUAUAGUGAAAGGCUUCUGUAUAAAAAAAACUACUAAAUGAUCACAAAAACUUCUAGACAACAUUUUGUAUGAUCUGACCAAAACUUGAACUAAAUGAUCACCAAAAGUUGAAGGAUUUUGCAUCACAUCACAACCAUAAGUCUUCUGCACCAGCAUCAUAACAAUCACAUAACUACAUAACAAAAGCAAACUUGUUCAUCAUUACAAAAGAAAACUUGUUCAACAUAAGAAAAGCUAACUUGUUCAGCAUUACAAAAGCAAACUUGUUCAACAUAACAAAAGCUAACUUGUUCAGCAUUACAAACGCAAACUUGUUCAACCACAUAACUGCAAACUGAGACACAUAAUACCACAAACAACUCAAUAUCCCAGUAGUAGGGGUCAUCCCAAUGAUCCUCCACCUCUUGCCAGUACUCCAAACCUUCUUUGACGAUAUCGAUUUUCUUCCAUGCCUCGUAGGUGACGUACGCAUCUUUCGCUGCGUACUCGAUGAGGUUGUUUGGCAGUGGGCUGUCCCCCCAUAGUUUGUGGUCCAAUUCCUUGUUGAUCUUCUUCUUCAUUUCCUUGUACGAUGGGUGGAUGAGGCUGGCUGCAAACUCAGCCAAAGCCUGCCACUUCUUUCCAUUCCUUGGAACUCUCCAUUUGCGCUGCAUGUCGACGUACUUGUCGGGGUUGAUCUCCAAACCAGACAAUUUCAGCUUCUCCUUGUCACCUCCAAUGGAGAAGCCAACAAAGGUGUAGAGCUUCUUCUCCUGCAGGAGUGGGCGGAGUUCCUUAGGCCUGCAUCAAAUUAAUCUGGUGCAUCAAAUUCAUCCACUUCAAAAACUUCAGAAACUACUAAUUAGACAUAAAAUUCAGAACUAGUAUUGCAUCUACUCCAGAACUUCAGAACUAGUAUUGCAUCUACUUCAGAACUUCAGAACUAUUGCAUCUACUUGAGAAACUUCUGAAACUUCAGAACUAUUGCAUCUACUUGAGAAACUUCAGAAACUACUAAUUAGACAGAAACUUCAGAACUUCAGAACUAGUAUUGCAUCUACUUCAGAACUUCAGAACUAUUGCAUCUACUUCAGAAACUACAGAAACUACUAAUUAGACAGAAAGUUCAGAACUUCAGAACUAGUAUUGCAUCUACUUCAGAACUACAGAACUAUUGCGUCUACUUCAGAAACUUCAGAAAUUACUAAUUAGACAGAAACGUCAGAACUUCAGAAACUUCAGAACUGGAUGUUUUUACCAUUUGGUUGCCGCGGUGAUGUGGUAUACCAGGACGAGAUCCUCCACGCAUAACUGUAGAACUGCAGCCUUUUGCGGAGGUUCAUCUUCCCUCGUAUACUCGACAUCAACGCCGAUCGACUGAGGAAACAUGCCGCCGAGCCUCCUCCUGAUCUCGCGGAUCCUCUUGUCGGCUUCGUAUGGAUUGCUGGUGCAUACGACAUCCAGCUUCUCCUUCAGGUGGAUAUCAACCAUGAGCUUCACGGUGUAGUCCUGCUUCUGCCCAGGGAUCGGAACGUCGUCGUCGACCACCAGCGGCUCCUUGCCAGACGCCUCACCUUGGUGAUGCUUGCCAGAUGGAGGGGAGUUGCUCCACGAUGCCUCCGCCAUUCUCUUGGCAGACGGAGGGGAGUUGCUCCACGAUUCCUCCGCCAUUGCCCUCCUGGCCAGCGAUGGUGGAGGCAGAGGGGAGUUGCUUGAUGGUGGAGGCAGAGGGAGGAAGAUGGAGCGGCAAUGGAAUAAGGAGGGAGGCAGAGGGAGGCAGAUUGAGCGGCAAUGGAAUAGGAGGGGAGUUCCCUGCGUCGUGGGGAGUUGCCAGUGGAGGGGAGUCGUGGGGAGUUGCCAGUGGAAGGGAGGCGUGGGGAGUUGCCUCGAAAACUCAAACGUCCUGCCCUUUGGCCCUCGAAAAAUCUGGAGGGGAGACGUGGGCUCUUUGGUUUGUCCCGUUUCUGAAACAAAAAAAAAAUAACAGCCAUAUUUUGCUCUCACUGCAACCAUAUUAAGAGAUGAAAAAUGGCACCAAAAAGUCACUGCAGCCAUCCUCAAUGGCACGAAAACAGCACCAAAACAACAUCAGCCAAAACAACAAAAAAUGCAUCCAUUGAUCGUUCUUUAUUUCUUCUAACAUUCCGUGUUCUGUGCAGUGAGAUAGACACAACACUACAAAUGCAGGCUGACAACGCCCGCGAUUUCAUGACCAUCAGGACAGACGGCGGCUUCAUCCACGCUCCGGUCCCAUGAGUCGAGUCGAAAGUAGUGAUGCUAUGUGUAGUUCUGAAACAUUGAUUGGCUCAUGUUGUAAUUAAACUUUAAUGAAUUGUAUGUCUCUUUGGUUUGGACAGUCGUUAAACUUAGAUGUACUCGAUGCUAUUUAUUACUAGGACCAUGAAUUGUGCUAUUAAUGUCUUGCUUUUCUCUUCCGAUCCUUUUGUUGCAUACUUAUUUAUUGCUUAUGUAUUGUCUGUUGUUUGGCUUGUGCAUAGAGAUGCCGUCGUAUGUCGUGUACAAGGUAAGGUUCCCGGAGUCUACGAUGACUGGGAGGAGUGUCGGAGACAGGUUCACCGUUUCAGCGGUAACAGUUACAAAGGGUACACCACUAGGGUGGAGGCGGAAUCUAGAUAUGCCCGCUAUCUAGCGGGAGAGAGGAGGGAGCGUUGGAGGAAACGGAUGAAGACCAAUUUCAUCGCGAUGAUGCUCAUCGUGAUGACCGCAACUCUCUUCUAUGUGAUGGUAGUUUAGAUGAUCGAUAUCGACUUGUAAUGUGAAGACAAACUCGCUACUCGCGGUCUCGAGACUUGUAAUGUUCUAUCUUUGUUCGGUCUUGUGAAUUCAGAGACUAAUAUGAUGAAUUGUAUUCGGAGAGCUAUCUUCUAUUGUAUUGGAUGAAUGUGCUGUUGCUGUGUGGUGUUGUCUAUAUUCUCUCCAAUAAUAUAUUUUGUAACCUGUGAAAAUAUCAGAAAUGUGCAUUUUUUCGACCACCUCCAAAUCACCUCAGUUUUGGAACACAUGAUCUCUUCCACAAACAAAACUAGGUUUCCAAGUUUUUGUAUUUUUUUAAAUUUUUUUGAAUUUAUAAUGCCCUCUAGACUGACUGCUGAAAACAUCGGUCUAUGCCUCAAGGGGGCAUUGUAAAAUAUUUUUUUUAAAAUUUUCUUGCAUACACAUGUUUUGCACAUGUGGGUCACCAUGUACAAGAAAAUUUGGGUGAUUUGGAGGUGGUGGAAAAAUUCACAUUUUUUCAAAAACUGACUUAAGUUAAGACCAAAUGGUCCCUCCGGGAAUGCGGGCAUUUUUUCGACCACCUCCAAAUCACCUCAGUUUUGGCACACAUGAUCUCUUCCACAAACAAAACUAGGUUUCCAAGUUUUUGUAUUUUUUUAAUUUUUUUUGAAUUUAUAAUGCCCUCUAGACUGACUCCUGAAAACAUCGGUCUAUGCCUCAAGGGGGCAUUGUAAAAUAAAUUUUUUCAAAAUUUUCUUGCAUACACAUGUUUUGCACAUGUGGGUCACCAUGUAUAAGAAAUUUUGGGUGAUUUGGAGGUGGUGGAAAAAUUCAUGCAAGACUCGGGGACCUGCAUGCAAGACUCGGGGACCUGCAUGCAAGAGUCGGGGACCUGCAUGUGAAUAGUGAUUCAUCAAGGCCAUGACAGCUAUUGGCACAGCGGCUGCCGCCCGAUUUGUAUGCAGCGAAGAUGAACGUGCAUGGAGGUUUUUCAAAGAUUUCCAAGCACACCCCAGUGGGCCCCGCUUAUUUAAAAAAGACGUCAGUCAUUAUUGCUCUGUAAAUGAAGAAUAUGCAUGAUGAUUAUGAAUACGCAUGACAACCAUAGUAAGGGUGAAGAAUCAUAGUGCCCAAUUUGUCGAAAUACAUCAUCAUUCUUAAAGUUGGACAUCAAAUGAUACACACAGAAAAUGGAAACGAAAGAUGUCGAACUAAUAUAGUAACAUGCCAGUACAACUGCACUUCACUAAAUUACUGUCACGAUGAAAUAGAAUGUAAAGACCACGUCACACAAACAUGAAUGACACACGACUUUCUCUGGCUCAUCGUCGGUUCAUGCUGUAUGUAGAUAUCACAGUUCAGCCUCGAUAUCCUACACAGAAGAAUAGAAUAAAUCACAUGGACAUCAAUUAUGAGUAAAACACAUGCAAAAAAAAUAUGAAAAUAUUUUGUACCUCUAGCAAUUUAGCGCAUUUACGUCGAUUGUGACCUGGUUUCUUGCAAUAGCCACAGAUAUUCUGUGAUGUUGACUUCUUUGUCUUUGCCUGCAGCCUUUUCUUCGGUGCACCUCGUCCUGGCACAUGCACGGGAUCCAGAACCUUAUCAACUUUCUGUGAGUGUGGCAUCAACGGGCCAAACCUAAUGCUGUUAUGCUGAGCAUUAGUUGACUCCUUGCUGUCAGCUUGUUCAAAACUUGAUUGCUUGCCAUGAUGUUGUGCUUGCAAAAGCAUCUUUAGACGGUGAUAGUCCUCAUCAGAGUGGCAUGCCUGGAAACUUGCGGCGUGACUACAAUUCCGCAACUCGCGGUACCUCUGCAGGCUUAGCGAAUAGUCAUACAUCUGGUUUUUUCUGGUAGGUGCGUAUGCACAUUUUGCAUUCAUAGUCCACCUAGUGGGAACGCAACAACCGGGCAGAAUUGUUUGUUUUAAAAUCCCCAAUAUGUAAAAAAAUGUGGGAACAUGGUGUGCCUGCGCAUUCCAGCUUAUGGCAAGAACAACUCACCCUGUGCAAAAGACCUCCUUGCUCUUCAAUGCGCACUCCAAACUUUUUAUCCAUUCUUUCCUGCUUGGACACAACAUAAGUGGAAUCUUCUGAUCCAUCUAGUAUCUCUCUAAUCUGACAUUUGCUGACAGAAUCUAUGCUCCAUAAGACCAUCUUAAAGACACUAGGUGUGAAAACUGUUGCGGCGUGUUUCUCAAGCGGCGAAGCAUUUUCCUCUGUAAAUGGAACGGACUGCAAGGCUUCAACGUCAUGGAGAGCUUCGUUAAUCCGUCGCGACGCAAGGCAACGCUCAUAGUGCUCUAGCCUUUCAAACAACGACAUCUUACCCUCAAGAUGCGUAUGUAGCACAGAGUUCAAGCUCUCACUCCUCUGAUUACUGCUCAAUCCUAGGAAACAACGCCCCUCAAGAUAUGGAGCACACCACAACUUUCUCAUCUGAUACAUCUGAUGCAGCCAAGACUCCUCACUGGUUACUUUAUUCCGUUGUAAGAAUUGUAUUCAUUUUAUCUCAUGCUCUUCAAUGGAAGAAGUAUCAUAAAUGAAAGAUCUGAAUUCCUCCUUUACGUCGUCAUCAUGCAGAUGGCGUACAAUGUUCUGCUGAAUGUGCCAUAUACAUAGUCUAUGGUUUGAGUCUGGCCAGACCACCCUUAUUGCUCUCUGCAUUGCAAGGUCCCCAUCUGUGAUCACAGAUAUCGGAUGCUUCUGUGCCAUGCAAUCAGAAAAGGUCCGCAACAUCCACUCGUAUGCCUGGCUUGUUUCAUGAGAAAUUAAUUAUACCACAGCCAAAUAUAACAGUGCUGCGGUGGUGAUUCAACCCGACAAAAGGCACGAAUGGCAGAUUGUAUUUUUUGGUUCUGUAUGUGCUAUCGAAAACAAUGACGUCUCCGAAAGCCUCGUAGUCAAGUCGCGAUUGACUGUCAGCCCAGAACAGUCCCUUCAGAUGGCCAUGCUCGUCUACCAAGUACUUGAAGAAAAAAAUCCACAUCUCGCUCUCGCCUCGCCAUCAUAUGCAUGAUCACCGUUUUAGCAUCACCGGCACUGAUUGUCUCUUGCUUAUUAGCAUGGCAGAAAUUAUAAACGUCCCUCUUUAUGCAUCCAACCUUAUCAAAUCCACCGUAUUGGAAGCACAAAAUAUCCAUAAUACGGUAUUUGUGGAUCCCACAUUUUCCAUGUCCGCAAUGUCCGCUUUCUGCUCAUCGCUAAUUCGUCUGUGCAAACGCAACAGACAAGAAAGAUCCCAUGGGGCUAGAGGAUGGUUGUGCUCAUCGAUGAAAUCCUUGACAAACCACCGACCGGUUUCCUCUUGUCUCGUAAUGACCAAUUUAGCAUUACAUCCAACACGAGUUAAACUUUGUGGCCUCCUUUUUCUAUCUUCCAUCUUUCUUUUCAUGUGCUUAUCUUCGCGAAACCCUUGACGACUACACACAAUUUUCCUUAAAAUUAUGUAUUUGUUGGAUCCAUCCCACUCAACGUAGCUUUUCCUCACACUAAAACCUUUUUCAAGAGCAUAUUUGUUGUAGAAUUCAUAGCCUUCAGCCUCACUAUCAAACAUCUUGCUGACAACAUUUACAUACUCGAACAUACUCUCAUCACUUGCAUACGCCAUGUCUUCCUGCAUAUGACAUGUGAGGGAAACCAAUCAUCAACAUCUUUCUGUUUAUCAAUGUUGCAGGUGUAAAAUAGCUCAUAGGCAAAGACAAGUGCAUGGAAAAGACUUUGCUGGUUUGACAUGUGAGGGAAACCAAUCAUCAACGUCCAACAAGUACUAUCCUAGCAUGGAUGAUGACUCUAAUAAACUGGAUUCAUACCUGGUACGCGCGAAGAGAUGGGAUCGCCCGCCGCCGUCGCCGCCUAUUCCGUCGGCACAGAUCCGGCCUUCUUCUUCUUCGGUGACAGCGUGGGGGGCUGGGGUUGGUUGGGUGGAGGACGAGGACGAUGAAUUUAUUCCUCUCACCAGGCAGGUCGAGGACGGAGAAGGUCAGGAGCGGCGACGAAUAGAUCGGAGGAGGUUUCUGAUCUGGAUCGAGUAUACAUGGAUCUGGUCUUCGGGUGAUCGGUUCAAGAAAAGAUUUUUGUCCCUGGACCAUUAUGCCCUUAUCGCUUAAAUUUAAUCAAGUUUAAUUCCCUGCAAGAUCGGUUUUCUAAUAAUAAUCAGACGUCACCAGACAUGUAAGUACUGCUAAGUACUCCGAGUACUAACCUAAUCACCGUAAAACUGCUCCCAAAUAGGAUGACCGCUUUAGAGAAAGCAAUAAGGGAAUUCAUGGACAAUCAAACUGAGAAUGUAAUUGUAUUUGUACCGAUGAUGGGAACGAGUUCACAGAUUCUCUGACUUAGCCGAGACUAUGGCAGAGGGAUGUCAAAUUCAUAUAACUGUUCAUGCACCAUCCGACGGCAGCAAGCAAAGCCCAUGGACACACAGCAUUAUCGACCUAGAAGGGUGAUGCUGCCCAGUCCAACGCAUAGGCGAAGCAGGAAAAACGGUGCGAGGCAGCCGAAGUAUGAAUGAAGGAACCGAUCACCAAGCUGCCGAAGGAUGAGCUGCUCUGCUCUUGUGAGAGAUGUUAAAUUUUGUAGUGUUCAUUUUACCAUUCUGUAAUGUGCACUUAUGUUGCUGCUCAAUUCAGUUCCCUUCUCCCACUUGCAUUUCACAGUCAUGUCCAGUUCAGUGAGCAAAGUCUCUAAAAUUCAGCUCAUUCAAUUAUAGCAUUCAUUCACAACAACCACACUGAGAGAUCUCAACCCCUUCUGCCACUGAGUGAUCUCAACCCCUUUUGCCAUACUCAAUUCUGUUAUCAAUUUUACAACAUCAAGUGAUAUGCUCACAAAUUGACAAUGUCAAUGACCUGCUCUUAAUUUACAACAUCAUUGAUAUGCUAAAAAAUGAUAAUGUCAAUGAUCUGCUCUCAAAGUACUUCCUCUGUCCCAUAAUAUAAGAGCGUUUUUGACACUGUCUGAAACUCUCUUGUUGUUUUGUGUAAAUCAGUUUACAAUCUGAAACUCAACUGAUGUUUGCUUGUAAAUCAGUUAAUAAUGUGCUCUCAAUUUCCAGGCUAGCUUCGCCGGCGCCUGCUCGACGGAGUGGUGCAUCGAUGGCAGCCACGGCCGUCCUCCUCUUGCGAUGGUGCGGGGUCAGCGAUAUGGUGCUUGCUUAGUGCCUCCAGCAACAGCGGCGCGACCUCGCGGCGUGAUACAACCAUGACUUGUAGCCAAGGCAGCGGCAGUCGUCCUCCCAGGGCGAUCGCGAGCAAUGGCGACGGUGAGCGAUGGGUUGUUUAUGGGCUGCACAGCAUUGUUGUUAUUCUUAUUUGUUUUCACCUUGCUGCUGUCGAAUGACGCAUGUGAUUUGGAUUAGACGUCCGUCUAGCGUAAAAAUAAUACUCGAUGCUAUACAGCCCAGGUCGGGAAUCUCGAAGUGAGUUCACGAUGGAGAUAGCGAGAGUAUCUGAGCUCGUGCUCAGAACAUCACUUUCCUUAGGAAAGGGGGAACCAGGAUCGAUUCCUGGUCUCAAAGGUGACAGCGGGUGCUGCUACCAGUCCGAUCAAGUUCCGUUCGUGAUAAGUUGUAGGUGCGCGUCGUACUUGAGCCGAUUCAAGCCGGUUUUCUUUGAGUUUUUUUCCUUCUUCAUUUUUUUCAUUCUUUUUUGCACUCGUUUCUUCAUUUUUUUUCAUUUUUUUCUUUUGUUUAUUUUCUUUGUUCUUUUGGUUAUUAUUGUGCAUUUUUUGUAUACGUCAACAAUAUUUUUUUAAUACACGUCUAACAUUUUUCAAAUACAAAUCAACAAUUUUUGCAAUACAUGGCCUACAUUUUUGUAUACACAUUUUUUAAAUGCUUGAUUAUCAUUUUUCAAAUACAAUAUUAACAAUUUUAAUACAUGGUUAACAUUUUUUUAUCAUUUUUACAAAAAAAUAUAUUAAAUGCUUGAUUAACAUUUUCUUAAUAGAUGGUCAACCUUUUUUUCAUACACAUUUAACAUUUUUUCCAAACGCUUGAUUAACUUUUUCAGACCCUUGUUCGACAUUUCUUUCAAAUGCUGGAUUACAUUUCUAUAUACUUAAUCAAAUAUUUCUAUCAUUUUUAAUACAUGGUCAACAUUAUUAACAUACACAUUUAACAAUUUCCCAAUUCUUGAUUAAUAUUUUUUAAAUACUCGUUUAACAUUUCCCAAUUUUAGCUAGUUAUGGUGCAAACUAAGUGUUGUGCCUCGUCUUAAUCUAUCUAUAUAUCCUAUCUUCUAUUCGGCGACGUGGUUGCGCCCGUGGCGGAUGUGGUCGCCGCCAUGACUUGGUCGAUCUCCCUCUUCUGUAUUCGAGAAAAAAAGAUCUCCGUCUUCUCUUUAGAUGAGAUGGGGAGGAGAUGGUGAGAGAUGAGGUCAACGGCAUUGGGGAGAGGAUAAGGGUAGACGCCAGUGGUGAGGCGGCGUGAGGAAGACGAGGUGGUUGGCGGCUAGGACGCAUGAGGGGAGGGGAAGGGUGGGGAGUGGUGCGUGGAGGGAAGUGGGUGUGCGGCGUGCCCAAUUCACGAGAGAGGAGAGAGGUCGGCAAGGGAGCGACCCAUGGGAGUUUUUUUUCUUCUGAGUGAGCCUAGUUGGGCUAUCUGCUGCGUCCAAGGCCCAAUGCACCACAUGUCUUCAAAUUGGCCACCAGUAGCAGCCCUUAGAACAGACAUGGCCAUUUUGCAAAUUUAAAGACAUAAGUUUUUUGCACGCAUGAAAAACAUAACACGUAUCUUUUCACACAUAAUGAACUAUAGGUACUACCCAAAAAAACAUAAUGAACUAUAGGUUGUCACAAGAACUCAUGCCAUCCCACAACCUCCCUCUGACCCUGCCAACAUUGUUGCAACUGCACUCGCAAGUGUUAUCGUAGAUGAUCAUUUGCAUGAUUUCCCGUAAAACAAAAUAAGAUCUACAAACGAAUAGAAGCUACACAUACCUUGGCAUGCACACACAUUGCAAGCCAUACUAAGCAGAUAAGUGUUAAAAACUUGUACUCCCUCAUCUCAGUUUACAAGUCUUCCACGUGUAUCUAGGUCGUCAAUUUAAUUAUAUAAAAUAAAUUGUUUGACAUAAAUUAUAUCAUUAGAAAAUAGAAAUAUAUAUUUUGUAAUGUAUGCCUCUUAUUAAGUUGGUCAAAUUAACAAUCUAGGUACACAUGCAAGACUUUUAAACUAAGAUGGAGGGAGUACAACAUAUACAACACUUACGACAAGUAAAAGCAAUUUGAUGAGUCAUGGUCUAUCAAAGCAAGCUACAUUACUAAUCUAAUCUAUGUUAACAUGUCACACAUGAUUACAAUCUUUUUUGUGUGCAAGUCAAGCCUAUCUAGUCUACAUGUAACAACUUGUAGAACAUUACAAAAUUGAUGUUUGCUAAUAACUUUUAGAACACUACAACACUUGACAUGUAAAAAGAGUUUGAUGAGUCAUGACCUACUAAAGCAAGUUACAUUACUAGUCUCAUCUAUCUUAACAGGUCACACAAGAUUAAAAACUAAGUUCUGUGCAAGCAAUGCUUAUCUAUUUUACACAUAACAACUUGCAUAACAUUACAAACUUAGUUUUAGAAAAUUAGGCAACCUAGAUUAGUGUUUAGUUGUAAAGUGAAUAAGAUGAGUCAUGUGUGUUAUCACACCUUUUUAUGGUGGAAUGAUAGUGCCACCAAACACAACAUACCAAAAUAUGAUUUUGGGAAGCAUCCAAGCACUUUCCAGACAAGCAAAUGCCAAUUGUGAAAGAGAUAAUGCCAUGGCAGCUAUAAAUAGGCCUGUUGCAUGAUGAUCAUCCUUCCUCAUUCAUCAUUCUCAUAAGUAGAGUGCAUCAUUCAAGCCAAGCAAGCACUGGUCAAUACAAAUCCAUCAUGAAGACAUUUCUCAUCAUUUCCCUCCUUGCUAUCGUGGCGACCACCGCCACAACUGCAGUUAGAGUUCCAGUGCCACAAUUGCAGCCGCAAAAUCCAUCUCUGCAACAACCACAAGAGCAAGUUCCAUUGGUGCAACAACAACAAUUUCCAGGGCAGCAACAAACAUUUCCACCACAACAACCAUAUCCGCAGCCGCAACCAUUUCCAGGACAACAACCAUAUCCGCAGCCGCAACUAUUUCCACAGCCGCAACCUUUUCCGCCACAACUUCCAUAUCCGCAGCCGCAACCAUUUCCCCCACAACAACCAUAUCCACAACCGCAAACACAUCAUCUGCAACCACAACAACCAAUUUCGCAGCAACAAGUACAACAACAACAACAACAACAACAACAACAACAACAACAACAACAACAACAACAACAACAACAACAACAACUACUACUACAACAACAAAUCCUUCAACAAAUUCUGCAACAACAACAACUGAUUCCAUGCAGGGAUGUCAUCGUCUUGCAACAACACAACAUAGCGCAUGAAAGCUCACAAGUAUUGCAGCAAAGUAGUUACCAAGUGUUGCAACAAUUAUGUUGUCAGCAGCUGCGGCUGAUCCCCGAGCAGUCGCGGUGCCAAGCCAUCCACAAUGUCGUUCAUGCUAUUAUUCUACAUCAACAACAACAACAACAACAACAACAACAACAACAAGGACAACAUCAACCGUCGAGCCAGGUCUCCUACCAGCAGCCUCAGCAACAAUAUCCAUCAGGCCAGGGCUCCUUCCAGCCAUCUCAGCAAAAUCCACAGGCCCAGGGCUUUGUCCAACCUCAACAUCUGCCCCAACUCGAGGAAAUAAGUAACCUAGCGCUGCAGACGCUACCAGCAAUGUGCAAUGUCUACAUCCCUCCAUAUUGCUCGACCACCAUUGCGCCAUUUGGCAUCUUCGGUACUAACUGAGAAGAGAAGAACUCUAGUACUAGAUAUAUGAAACACCGUGUUCUUAGUCCAUGGUUUGGUCGUUGUACCGUUGAAAAUAUAAGGUGACAUGCACUAUCAUGUAAGAACCCGAACUAUACUAGUUCAAACAUGGGAAUAAAAGACAAACACAUGUCUUGUCUGCAUAUGAUUGUUUAUUUGAGUUCCAUUCCUAUGCCCAUUCACAAGUUCACCCGUAAUUAUAUAUAUUACACAUUAAGUAGAUAUUUAUGUUGCAUUAAUAUGAAGAUAACAAAAUGAGUCUGAAACUUGAAUUAAAUUGAAGUAUUUUCUUGGACUUUCAAAUUGUGUAUUAUUAAAGUAGUAAGGAUUAUCCACAUCCUUGGCUUGCCCUUCAUCAAUUAUUCCCAGAGAAGCUUUCAGUUCAUAAAUCAAUUACAUUGAUUUUUGUGAAUGGUACAUCUCCUCAUCACGAGUAUCAUUACGGCUACUCCAAAUCGCUCACAUAACCGAAGCAUUAAUAGCGCCCUUCUUGCAUCCGGAAAUAUGGAUCGAAGAUAUCACUUGACCAUGUUUCCAGGUGCAACCUUGGGAUUUUUAUGUCAAAAUAUUCUCAAGCAAAAUCCAAGAAUAAACUUGCAUGCUCACGUGUGAUGAGGGCAGAUGAAGUAACAUUUCCUCCCCAUGGCCACACAUAGGGCACACACAUAACCCCAUCACAUGCCUUUUUAGUUAUGCAUAUGAAAGGUAGGAUGUUUUUAAUUACUCUCUACCAAAAUACUCUUAACUUGGCUUGUACCCUAAUAUUUCGUUGCCUUUUCAAUUGUUCUUCCCCAUUAGACAAAGUAGACAGUCCAUCUACCACACCGUACCUUGUGUCCAUCAUUGCUCUGUACAACAAUUGAACAGAACAAAUGUCAUUUCUUUACGAUACCCACGACCAAAUGUCCUUUGCUGGAUUGUUUGGUCGUGGCAUAUUAAGGAUGGCCACCUCAUCUCAUGGGGUAAACACCUAAUGAAUGAAAGGAUUGUUCUAGUCGCCCGUGUUUUUCAUCGAUAAGAUCAUCUACAAGUUGGACCGAAGUUUCUCACAUGCAUCAUAGUGGUUUCAUUAGCGGCGUGCCCUGCACCCAUUUAUCACGUCGUAUCUCUGUAGUAUGUGCAUUCCCAAUUUGUCACAGCAUACCCUCCUUCAAACCUUCUUUCCCUUUCAGAUUAGCACGCCAAGUUAGCUAUGCACUAUGCGGGAACCAGCAUUUGAAAAAAAAGAAUCUCAUUUCAUGGUAUCUUCCAUGAAGGACCCUCGUACAUUAGCUAUCUAGGUAGAAAUAGCCAUGUAUGUUUGGCAAACUUUGCAUAAGUGAAUAGAUCAAGGUCGUGGAACCCCAAGCCUCCAAUUACACACGGCCUCUCUACCAAUAAGAUCUCCAAAGACAUCAAGGAUACAGACAGCCAAAAAAGAAAAUAAAAAGAAAAAAAAUAAAAAAUACCCUGCCAUGGUGAUCAAUCACAAGCAUCAGCAGCACUCUAACCACCACCAAAGACAAUGCCCAGAUUACAAAAAAAAAUUAUCCAAAAACAAUGCCCCCAAGAAGGAAACAAUACACAAGCGUUGUCGUUGCCCGAUCGAAGAUCGUGGGUUUUCACCCUGGAAAAUUUUUGAGUUCACCCAAAAACAAUGCCUUCAACAAGGCCAUUGCCAAGUACAACAAAUAUGGUCGAGACCUUGGGUUUUCACCCUAGGAAUUGAGACUCGAUGCUCGAGGAGUACCAGCAAAAAUGCAGUCCACUAGUGUUGCCGCCCCCACUUGGCAAGGCCACUGUUGCAAGUCACCAAACACCUGGCAUAUAGUUGUCAUCGCAUCCAAUACACCCUUCGGCCGAAGCUUCAAGACCUUGAUCCGUCUCCAGCGUAUCUAUAAUUUUUGAUUGUUCCAUGCUAUUAUAUUAUCUGUUUUGGAUGUUUUAUAUGAUUAUUAUGGUAUUUUAUAUGAUUUUUGGGACUAACCUAUUAAACUAGAGCCCAGUGUCAGUUCCUGUUUUUUCCUUGUUUUAGAGUUUCGUAGAAAAGGAGUACCAAACGGAGUCCAAACGGAAUUAAACUUUUGCGAUGAUUUUUCUUAGACCAGAAGACAUCUAGAGGACUUGGAGUGCAUGUUAGGAAAGCCACGAGGCUGCCACAACGACAGAGGUGCGCCCCCACCCUUGUGGGCCCCUCGUGACUCUACCGACAUAUUUCUUCCGCCUAUAUAUUCUCAAAUAUUCCAAAACAUACUAGGAGAGCCACAAAAACACUUUUCCACCGCCGCAACCUUCUGUACCCGUGAGAUCCAAUGUAGGGGCCUUUCCCGGCAUCCUGUCGGCGGGGGAUUCGAUCACUUAGGGCUUCUACAUCAACACCAUUGCCUCUCCGAUGAAGCGUGAGUAGUUUACCACAGACCUAUGGGUCCAUAGCUAGUAUCUAGAUGGCUUCUUCUCUCUCUUUGAUUCUCAAUACCAUGUUCUCCUCGAUGUUCUUGGAGAUCUAUUCGAUGUAAUACUCUUUUUGCGGUGUGUUUGCCAAGAUCCAAUGAAUUGUGGAUUUAUGAUCAGGUUAUCUAUGAGUAUUAUUUGAAUCUCCUAUGAAUUCUUAUAUGCAUGAUUUGAUAUCUUUGCAAGUCUCUUCGAACUAUCGAUUUGGUUUGGCCAACUAGAUUGGUUUUUCUUGCAAUGGGAGAAGUGCUUAACUUUGGGUUCAAUCUUGCGGUGCUCGAUCCCAGUGACAGAAGGGGAUGAUACGUCCCCAACGUAUCUAUAAUUUUUGAUUGUUCCAUGCUAUUAUAUUAUCAACCUUGGAUGUUUUAUAUGCAUUUAUAUGCUAUUUUAUAUGAUUUUUGGGACUAACCUAUUAACCCAGAGCCCAGUGCUAGUGCCAGUUUCUGUUUUUUCCUUGUUUUAGGGUUUCGAAGAAAAGGAAUAUCAAAUGGAGUCCAAACGGAAUGAAACCUUCAGAAAAUUUAUUUUUGGAAAGAAAGUAAUACGGGAGACUUGGAGUGCACGUCCGGGGAUCAACGAGGAAGCCACGAGGCAGGGGGCGCGCCCACCCCUCUUGGGCGCGCCCUCCACCCUCGUGGGCCCCUCGUGGCUCCCCAAAUGUAUUUCUUCCGCCUAUAUAUAUCCAUAUACCCCAAAACGACCGGGGAGCACAAUAGAUCGGGAGUUUCUCCGCCAGAAGCCUCCGUAGCCACCGAAAGCUAAUCUAGACCCGUUCCGGCACCCUGCCGGAGGGGGAAUCCCUCUCCGGUGGCCAUCUUCAUCAUCCCGGUGCUCUCGAUGACGAGGAGGGAGUAGUUCUCCCUCGGGGCUAAGGGUAUGUACCAGUAGCUAUGUGUUUGAUCUCUCUCUCUCUCUCUCUCUCUCUCUCUCGUGUUCUUGAGGUGAUACGAUCUUGAUGUAUCGCGAGCUUUGCUAUUAGAGUUGGAUCUUAUGUUGCUUCUCCCCCUCUACUCUCUUGUAAUGGAUUGAGUUUCCCCUUCGAAGUUAUCUUAUCGGAUUGAGUCUUUAAAAAUUUGAGAACACUUGAUGUAUGUCUUGCCGCGUGUAUCUGUGGUGACAAUGGGAUAUCACGUGAUUCACUUGAUGUAUGUUUUCGUGAUCAACUUGCGGGUUCCGCCCAUGAACCUAUGCAUAGGGGUUGGCACACGUUUUCGUCGUGAUUCUUUGGUAGAAACUUUGGUGCACUCUUUGAGGUUCUAUGUGUUGGUUGAAUAGAUGAACUUGAGAUUGUGUGAUCCAUAUCAUAUAAUCAUACCCACGGAUACUUCAGGUGACAAUGGAGUAUCUAGGUGACAUUAGGGUUUUGGUUGAUUUGUGUCUUAAGGUGUUAUUCUAGUACGAACUCUAGGGCUGUUUGUGACACUUAUAGGAAUAGCCCAACGGAUUGAUUGGAAAGAAUAACUUUGAGGUGGUUUCGUACCCUACCAUAAUCUCUUCGUUCGUUCUCUGCUAUUAGUGACUUUGGAGUGACUCUUUGUUGCAUGUUGAGGGAUAAUUAUGUGAUCCAAAUAUGUUAUUAUUGUCGAGAGAACUUGCACUAGUGAAAGUAUGAACCCUAGGCCUUGUUUCGACGCAUUGCAAUACCGUUUACGCUCACUUUUAUCAUUAGUUACCUUGCUGUUUUUAUAUUUUCAAAUUACAAAAACCUUUAUCUACCAUCCAUAUACCACUUGUAUCACCAUCUCUUCACCUAUACAAUUUACCAUUGUAUUGGGUGUGUUGGGGACACAAGAGACUCUUUGUUAUUUGGUUGCAGGGUUGCUUGAGAGAGACCAUCUUCAUCCUACGCCUCCUACGGAUUGAUAAACCUUAGGUCAUCCACUUGAGGGAAAUUUGCUACUGUCCUACAAACCUCUGUACUUGGAGGCCCAACAACGUCUACAAGAAGAAGGUUGUGUAGUAGACAUCAAGCUCUUUUCUGGCGCAGUUGCCGGGAAGGUGAGUGCUUGAAGUUAUAUCUUUAGAUCUUGCAAUCGAAUCUUUUUGUUUCUUGUUUUAGCACUAGUUUAGUUUAUAAAAGAAAACUACAAAAAAACGGAAUUGAGUUUACCUCACACGCUUCAUCUUUUUAAUAUCUUUCGUGAGUAUGAUGGAAAGAAAAAUUGUGCCAAAGUGUUAGAAGAAGAAUGCAUUAAACUGUUUGGCAUUAAAUAUUUGAAUGAUGAGCAUUAUUGCAAUGUUGUUAGUAUGAAUUCCUUGAAUAUCCAUAGUACUAAUGAUGAUUGCACUAGUUAUGAUGAAAAUGUCUCAUGUAAACAUGUCAAUUUUUGUGGAGUGCAUUGGGUUUGCAAGUACACACCAAUUAGGGAAGAUAGAUUUUGCAAGAGGCAUAAGUACUUAGAAACUAAAUUGUUGCAAGAAAGGCUAGAUGAAUGUGCUGAAAAUUUAAAUUUUCUUGGCCAUACUUGUGAGCUUUGCAAUGAACAUGGUUAUUUAACCAUCCGAUGCAAAUUGUUUCAUGAUCUAAUCGUUUCCAAAAAUUGUGAUGACUUGAUUUCCCUUGCACAUCAUAAUGAACUUAGUUUGCUUAUGGGUUAUGAGGAAAUGAAAUGUAUAACUAACUAUCUUCCAGUAUUUUCCCAUGAUAAACUUCUUGGAUUUGACCUAGAGGAAAUUUAUAUGUAUUGUGCGGUGAAUUGCAUUGAAAACCCCUAUAUUGUCAAUUACAUAAAGAAAAGAAAACAAAUAGAGGAUGAACAGAAUACUAAUGAAAGGGAAGAGACCUCCCAAUAUCCUCCUAUUAUUUCUUAUGAUGAACCAGGUAACGAGGAGGAGCCUCCUAUUCAACCAAUCUCAUUAAUAAGGAGCUCCAAAAAGAGGAUUGAACCCACACACGAUGUAGUGAAGAAGAAGAAAAGAAAGAGGAAGAGAGGUAAAAAGAUAUCUCUCCCAAAUAAUGCUGCUCCUAUUACUAUUGUGCCUCAUGAAAAUAUAAUUGUGGAAAAUAAUGAUACUUCUUAUGAUCUUGAAAAUCCUUUUGUCACUUGCUUGGAAGAAUAUGAUAAUUGCUAUACUAUUGGUGCUAUCCAUACUAUUAAUGAUGAGAGUGAUUAUGCUUAUGAUAUGAAAAGGCCCAAGCUUUGGGAUGCUAUGUUUGAUGAAGAUGAUGUUUUUGAGAAUAUAUUUGCUACAAUUAAUGUUUGUCCCAAGCUUGGGGAUGCUAUGUUUAAUCAAGAUGAUAUUUUUAGUCUCCCAAGUUUUGAUAUGCAAAUUUAUAAUGAUGAUAGCAUGCCUCCUACUUAUGAUGAUUAUUGUGAUGAUACUUAUGCUAUAAAAAGUAAUGAUUAUAUUUAUAAAACUUGUCAUGAUUAUGGUUACCCCUUUUCUGAACAUUACUCUUUUAAUGUGGAAACAAUUUAUAGUAUUCGAGUUUCUUAUGAUACUCCCACUAUUCCGAAUGAGAAGAAUUUUGCUUGUGUAGAGAGUAAUAAAAUUUCUAUGCUUGUAGAUCAUGAAAAGAAUGCUUUAGGUGCUGGUUAUAUUUUUGAAUUCAUUCAUGAUGCUACUGAAAAUUAUUAUGAGGGAGGAACAUAUGCUUGUAGGAAUUGCAAUAAUAUCAAGUUUCCUCUCUAUGUGCUUAAAGUUUUGAAGUUAUGCUUGUUUUGCCCUCCUAUGCUAGUUGAUUAUUGUUCCCAUAAGUUGUUUGCUCACAAAAUUCCUACACAUAGGAAGUGGGUUAGACUUACAUGUUCUAGUCAUAUGCUUCAUGAUGCUCUCUUUAUGUUUCAAUUCUUAUCUUUUAUGUGAGCAUCAUUGAAAUCGUCAUGCCUAGCUAGGGGCGUUAAACGAUAGCGCUUGUUGAGAGGAAACCCAACUUUAUUUUUGUUCCUUGAUUUUUGCUCCUGUCUAGCAAUAAAUAAUUUAUCUAGCAUCUGUUAUGAUUGAGUUUUUAUGUUAGAACCGUUGGGAAGACUUGGGGAAAGUCUUGGCGAUCAUGCUGUAAAAAAACAGAAACUUUAGCGCUCACGAGAAUUGCUGACAUUUUUUAUUGGAGAGUGCUAUUUGGUUAAUUAUUUUUGCAGAUGAUUAAUAGAUAAAUUCCUCACGUCCAGCAAUUUAUUUUAGAAUUUUUGAGGCUCCAGAAGUUUGCGUUAGUUACAGAUUACUACAGACUGUUCUGUUUUUGACAGAUUCUGUUUUUCGUGUGUUGUUUGCUUAUUUUGAUGAAUCUAUGGCUAGUAAAAUAGUUUAUAAACCAUAGAGAAGUUUUAAUACAGUAGGUUUAACACCAAUAUAAAUAAAUAAUGAGUUCAUUACAGUACCUUUAAGUGGUGUUUUAUUUUCUUUCGCUAACGGAGCUCACGAGUUUUCCAUUUUAAGUUUUGUGUUGUGAAGUUUUCAAGUUUUGGGUAAAGAUUUGAUGGAUUAUGGAAUAAGGAGUGGCAAGAGAAUAAGCUUGGGGAUGCCGAAGGCACCCCAAGGUAAUAUUCAAGGACAACCAAAAGCCUAAGCUUGGGGAUGCCCCGGAAGGCAUCCCCUCUUUCGUCUUCGUUCAUCGGUAACUUUACUUGGAGCUAUAUUUUUAUUCACCACAUGUUACGUGUUUUGCUUGGAGCGUCAUUUUAUUUCAUUUUUUUGCUUGCUGUUUGAAUAAAGUAUCAAGAUAUGAAAUUAUUAAGUGGGAGAGUCUUCACAUAGUUGCAUAAGUAUUCGACUACUCAUUGAUCUUCACUUACAUCUUUCAGAGUAGUUUGUCAUUUUCUCUAGUGCUUCACUUAUAUCUUUUGAGAGCACGGUGGUGGUUUUAUUUUGUAGAAAUAGAUGAACUCUCGUGCUUCACUAAUAUUAUUUUGAGAGUCCUCAGAACAGCAUGGUAAUUUGCUUUGGUUAUGAAUUUAGUCCUAAUAAGAUGGGCAUCCAAGAGGGAUAUAAUAAAAACUUUCAUAUAAGUGCAUUGAAUACUAAGAGAAGUUUGAUACUUGAUGAUUGUUUUGAGAUAUGGAGAUAGUGAUAUUAAAGUUGUGCUAUUUGACACUACUAGGAAAAGGCCUACUAAUGGCGCACCAGUUUUGCCUACUAAUGGCGCAUCACUGGUGCGCCAUUACUAGCACGCCAUUAGUAAUUUUUAGUAAUGGCGCACCACUGGUGCGCCAUUAGUAUCGGCCACGGUGCGCCAUUCGUAUAGGCCACUGGUGCGCCAUUAGUAUAGGCCACGGUGCGCCAUUAGUAUUUUUGGAUUUUGAAGGCGGGAAAAUAGUAGUGGCGCACCGUCUAACCCCCACCGUGCGCCAUUACUAUUUUUGAAUUUUGAAUUUGGAUCUGGAUCGUGAUUUUUUUGCCCAUUUUUUGCUCGUUUUUUUGCUCGUUUUUUGGCACAAUAUUAUUUCAAAUUUUGUUCUUGUUUUUGGAUCUUGUACGUUCUUUUGCCGUGUUCUUUUGCCGGAGAGGAGUUCGCCGGAGAGGAGGAGGAGGAGGUCACCGGAGAGGCGCUCGCCUACAUCGCCGGAGAGGAGGAGGAGGUCGCCGGAGAGGAGUUCACCGAAGCAUCGGAGAGGAGGAAGGAGAAACCAUGAGGGAAUGGGAGGAGAGGAGGGAGGAGAAACCAUGAGGGGAGGGGAGGAGAGGAGGGAGNNNNNNNNNNNNNNNNNNNNNNNNNNNNNNNNNNNNNNNNNNNNNNNNNNNNNNNNNNNNNNNNNNNNNNNNNNNNNNNNNNNNNNNNNNNNNNNNNNNNNNNNNNNNNNNNNNNNNNNNNNNNNNNNNNNNNNNNNNNNNNNNNNNNNNNNNNNNNNNNNNNNNNNNNNNNNNNNNNNNNNNNNNNNNNNNNNNNNNNNNNNNNNNNNNNNNNNNNNNNNNNNNNNNNNNNNNNNNNNNNNNNNNNNNNNNNNNNNNNNNNNNNGGAGAGGAGAAGGAGGUCGCCGGAGAGGAGGAGAUGGAGUGGAGGAGAGGAGGAGAUGGAGUGGAGGAGAGGAGAGGAGGAGAUGGAAUGGAGGAGAGGUGGAGUGGAGGAGGUGCGCCCAGCCAUGUAUACGACAUAGUAAUGGCGCACCGUGGGCAGGUGCGCCAUUACUAACUUUUUUUAUUUUUUGAUUUAUUUUGAAUUUUGAAGGCGGGAAGAUACUAAUGGCGCACCGUGGGCAGGUGCGCCAUUAGUAACUUUUUUUUUAUUUUUGACUAAUUUUGAAUUUUGAAGGCGGGAAGAUACUAAUGGCGCACCGUGGGCAGGUGCGCCAUUAGUAACUUUUUUUGACUAAUUUUGAAUUUUGAAGGUGGGAAGAUACUAAUGGCGCACCACGGGGUGGUGCGCCAUUAGUAACUUUUUUUUAUUUUGUUGACUUAUUUUGAAUUUUGAAGGCGGGAAGAUACUAAUGGCGCACCAUGGGCAGGUGCGCCAUUAGUAAGUUUGAAUUAUUUUUAAUUUUUUUGCCUCUCCAGAUCUUAAAAGCCCCAUAUAUUUUUUUCUGUUAGGUUUUUGAGGAUUUUAAAAAUGUUUAACGGAUUCCCCGGUUAAAUUUGGAUGUAACUUUUCGAGUAGAUGAUUUUUCAUAUAAAAAACUUUUUCAUCCGAGUUAGUAUGCAAAAGUUAUGCCCAUUUUUACAAAUUNNNNNNNNNNNNNNNNNNNNNNNNNNNNNNNNNNNNNNNNNNNNNNNNNNNNNNNNNNNNNNNNNNNNNNNNNNNNNNNNNNNNNNNNNNNNNNNNNNNNNNNNNNNNNNNNNNNNNNNNNNNNNNNNNNNNNNNNNNNNNNNNNNNNNNNNNNNNNNNNNNNNNNNNNNNNNNNNNNNNNNNNNNNNNNNNNNNNNNNNNNNNNNNNNNNNNNNNNNNNNNNNNNNNNNNNNNNNNNNNNNNNNNNNNNNNNNNNNNNNNNNNNNNNNNNNNNNNNNNNNNNNNNNNNNNNNNNNNNNNNNNNNNNNNNNNNNNNNNNNNNNNNNNNNNNNNNNNNNNNNNNNNNNNNNNNNNNNNNNNNNNNNNNNNNNNNNNNNNNNNNNNNNNNNNNNNNNNNNNNNNNNNNNNNNNNNNNNNNNNNNNNNNNNNNNNNNNNNNNNNNNNNNNNNNNNNNNNNNNNNNNNNNNNNNNNNNNNNNNNNNNNNNNNNNNNNNNNNNNNNNNNNNNNNNNNNNNNNNNNNNNNNNNNNNNNNNNNNNNNNNNNNNNNNNNNNNNNNNNNNNNNNNNNNNNNNNNNNNNNNNNNNNNNNNNNNNNNNNNNNNNNNNNNNNNNNNNNNNNNNNNNNNNNNNNNNNNNNNNNNNNNNNNNNNNNNNNNNNNNNNNNNNNNNNNNNNNNAAUUUUUUUACUAAUGGCGCACCGUGGAUGUGGUGCGCCAUUACUAGUUCAACUAGUAAUGGCGCACCACCCCCACGGUGCGCCAUUAGUAGUUUUGAAAAAAAUUAAAUUUUUUUACCAAUGGCGCACCGUGGAUGUGGUGCGCCAUUAGUAUUUGGACACUAAUGGCGUACCAACACAUGGUGCGCCAUUAGUAUAUAGUAAUGGCGCACCACAUGUCUGGUGCGCCAUUAGUGUCAAUUCCAUCUAUAGCCCUUUUCCUAGUAGUGUGAGUAGUUGUGAAUUUGAGAAAUACUUGUGUUGAAGUUUGCAAGUCCCGUAGCAUGCACGUAUGGUAAACGUUAUGUAACAAAUUUGAAACAUGAGGUGUUCUUUGAUUGUCCUCCUUAUGAAUGGCGGUCGGGGACGAGCGAUGGUCUUUUCCUACCAAUCUAUCCCCCUAGGAGCAUGCGUGUAGUGCUUGGUUUUUGAUGACUUGUAGAUUUUUGCAAUAAGUAUAUGAGUUCUUUAUGACUAAUAUUGAGUCCAUGGAUUAUAUGCAUUCUCACCCUUCCAUCAUUGCUAGCCUCUUCGGUACCGUGCAUUGCCCUUUCUCACAUUGAGAGUUGGUGCAAACUUCGCUGGUGCAUCCAAACCCCGUGAUAUGAUACACUCUUUCACACAUAAACCUCCUUAUAUCUUCCUCAAAACAGCCACCAUACCUACCUAUUAUGGCAUUUCCGUAGCCAUUCUGAGAUAUAUUGCCAUGCAACUUUCCACCAUUCUGUUUGUCAUGACACAUUCAUCAUUGUCAUAUUGCUUAGCAUGAUCAUGUAGUUGACAUAGUAUUUGUGGCAAAGCCACCGUUCAUAAUUAUUUCAUACAUGUCACUCUUGGUUCAUUGCAUAUCCCGGUACACCGCCGGAGGCAUUCAUAUAGAGUCAUAUCUUGUUCUAGUAUCGAGUUGUAAAUAAAUAGAAGUGUGAUGAUCAUCAUUAAUAGAGCAUUGUCCCAAAAAAAGGAAGAGAACGACCAAAUAAAAAAGGGAAGCCCCCCACCCAAAAAAGAAAAGAAAGGCCAGAUAAAAAAUAAAAAAAAUAAAAAAAAUAAAAGGGACAAUGCUACUAUCCUUUUUCCACACUUGUGCUUCAAAGUAGCACCAUGAUCUUUAUGAUAGAGAGUCUCUUGUUUUGUCACUUUCAUAUACUAGUGGGAAUUUUUUAUUAUAGAACUUGGCUUGUAUAUUCCAACAAUGGGCCUCCUCAAGUGCCCUAGGUCUUUGUGAGCAAGCAAGUUGGAUGCACACCCACUUAGUUUCUUUUGUUGAGCUUUCAUACAUUUAUGGCUCUAGUGCAUCCGUUGCAUGGCAAUCCCUAAUCCUUGCAUUGACAUCAAUUGAUGGGCAUCUCCCUAGCCCAUUGAUUAGCCGCGUCGAUGUGAGACUUUCGCCUUUUGGUCUUCUCCACAUAACCCCCUCAUUAUAUUCUAUUCCACCCAUAGUGCUAUAUCCAUGGCUCACGCUCAUGUAUUGCGUGAAAGUUGAAAAAAGUUUGAGAUUACUAAAGUAUGAAACAAUUACUUGGCUUGUCAUCGGGGUUGUGCACAAUGAGAGCAUUCUUGUGUGACGAAAAUGGAGCAUGGCCAAACUAUAUGAUUUUGUAGGGAUGAACUUUCUUUGGCCAUGUUAUUUUGAGAAGACAUGAUUGCUUAGUUAGUAUACUUGAAGUAUUAUUAUUUUUAUGUCACUAUUAAACUUUUGUCUUGAAUCUUAUGGAUCUGAAUAUUCUUGCCACAAUAAAGAGAACUACAUGGAUAAAUAUGUUAGGUGGCAUUCUACAUCAAAAAUUCUGUUUUUAUCUUUUAGCUACUCCAGGACGAGCAGGAAUUAAGCUUGGGGAUGCUGAUACGCCUCCAACGUAUCUAUAAUUUUUAUUGUUCCAUGCUAUUAUAUUAUCAACCUUGGAUGUUUUAUAUGCAUCUUUAUGCUAUUUUAUAUCAUUUUUGGGACUAACCUAUUAACCUAGAGCCCAGUGCCAGUUUCUGUUUUUUCCUUGUUCUAGGGUUUCGAAGAAAAGGAAUAUCAAAUGGAGUCCAAACGGAAUGAAACCUUCGGAAAAGUUGUUUUUGGAAAGAAAGCAAUACAGGAGACUUGGAGUGCACGUCAGCGGAUCAACGAGGAAGCCACGAGGCAGGGGGCGCGCCCACCCCCUGGGCGCGCCCUCCACCCUCGUAGGCCCCUCGUGGCUCCCCUAAUGUAUUUCUUCCGCCUGUAUGUACCAAUAUACCCUAAAACGAUCGGGGAGCACAAUAGAUUGGGAGUUCCGCCGCCAGAAGCCUCUGUAGCCACUAAAAGUGAAUCUAGACCCGUUCCGGCACCCUGCCGGAGGGUGAAUCCCUCUCCGGUGGCCAUCUUCAUCAUCCCGGUGCUCUCCAUGACGAGGAGGGAGUAGUUCUCCCUUGGGGCUGAGGGUAUGUACCAGUAGCUAUGUGUUUAAUCUCUCUCUCUCUCUCUCUCGUGUUCUUGAGGUGAUACGAUCUUGAUGUAUCGCGAGCUUUGCUAUUAUAGUUGUAUCUUAUGUUUCUUCUCCUCCUCUACUCUCUUGUAAUGGAUUGAGUUUCCCCUUCGAAGUUAUCUUAUCGGAUUGAGUCUUUAAAGAUUUGAGAACACUUGAUGUAUGUCUUGCCGCGUGUAUCUGUGGUGACAAUGGGAUAUCACGUGAUUCACUUGAUGUAUGUUUUCGUGAUCAACUUGCGGGUUCCGCCCAUGAACCUAUGCAUAGGGGUUGGCACACGUUUUCGUCGUGAUUCUUUGGUAGAAACUUUGGUGCACUCUUUGAGGUUCUAUGUGUUGGUUGAAUAGAUGAACUUGAGAUUGUGUGAUGCAUAUCGUAUAAUCAUACCCACAGAUACUUGAGGUGACAAUGGUUUGCUCACAAAAUCCCUAUGCAUAGGAAGUGGGUUAGACUUAAAUGUUCUAGUCAUAUGCUUCAUGAUGCUCUCUUUAUGUUUCAGUUCUUAUCUUUUAUGUGAGCAUCAUUGAAAUCAUCAUGCCUAGCUAGGGGCGUUAAACGAUAGCGCUUGUUGGGAGGAAACCCAACUUUAUUCUUGUUCCUUGCUUUUUGCUCCUGUUUAGCAAUAAAUAACUUAUCUAGCCUCUGUUAUGAUUGAGUUUUUAUGUUUUAAUUAGUGUUUGUGCCAAGUAGAACCGUUGGGAAGACUUGGGGAAAGUCUUUGCGAUCAUACUGUAAAAAACAGAAACUUCAGCGCUCACGAGAAUUGAUGGGCAUCUCCUUAACCCAUUGAUUAGCCGCGUCGAUGUGAGACUUUCUCCUUUUUGUCUUCUCCACAUAACCCCCUCAUUAUAUUCUAUUCCACCCAUAGUGCUAUAUCCAUGGCUCACGCUCAUGUAUUGCGUGAAAGUUGAAAAAAGUUUGAGAUUACUAAAGUAUGAAACAAUUGUUUGGCUUGUCAUCGGGGUUGUGCAUGAUGAGAGCAUUCUUGUGUGACGAAAAUGGAGCAUGACCAAACUAUAUGAUUUUGUAGGGAUGAACUUUCUUUGGCCAUGUUAUUUUGAGAAGACAUGAUUGCUUAGUUAGUAUGCUUGAAGUAUUAUUAUUUUUAUGUCAAUAUUAAACUUUUUUCUUGAAUCUUAUGUAUUUGAAUAUUCUUGCCGGAAUAAAGAGAACUACAUGGAUAAAUAUGUUAGGUAGCAUUCCACAUCAAAAAUUCGGUUUCAUUAGCGGCGUGCCCUGCACCCAUUUAUCACGUCGUAUCUCUGUAGUAUGCGCAUUCCCAAUUUGUCACGGCAUACCCUCCUUCAAACCUUCUUGCCCUUUCAGAUUAGCACGCCAAGCUAGCUAUGCACUAUGCGGGAACCUGCAUUUGAAAAAAAAGAAUCUCAUUUCAUGGUAUCUUCCAUGAAGGACCCUCGUACAUGAGCUAUCUAGAUAGAAAUAGCCAUGUAUGUUUAGCAAACUUUGCAUAAGUGAAUAGAUCAAGGUCGUGGAACCCCAAGCCUCCAAUUACACACGGCCUCUCUACCAAUAAGAUCUCCAAAGACAUCAAGGAUACAGACAGCCAAAAAAGAAAAUAAAAAGGAAAAAAAUAAAAAAUACCCCACCAUGGUGAUCAAUCACAAGCAUCAGCAGCACUCUAACCACCACCUAAGACAACGCCCAGAUUACAAAAAAAAUUCUCCAAAAGCAAUGCCCCCAAGAAGGAAACAAUACACAAGCGUUGUCGUUGCCCGAUCGAAGAUCGUGGGUUUUCACACUGGAAAAUUUUUGAGUUCACCCAAAAACAAUGCCUUCAACAAGGCCAUUGCCAAGUACAACAAAUAUGGCUGAGACCUUGGGUUUUCACCCUAGGAAUUGAGAGUCGAUGCUCGAGGAGUACCACCAAAAAUGCAGUCCACUAGUGUUGCCGCCCCCACUUGGCGAGGCCGCUGUUGCAAGUCACCAAACACCUGGCAUAUAGUUGUCAUCGCAUCCAAUACACCCUUCGGCCGAAGCUUCAAGACCUUGAUCCGUCUCCAACGUAUCUAUAAUUUUUGAUUGUUCCAUGCUAUUAUAUUAUCUGUUUUGGAUGUUUUAUAUGAGUAGGGCGUUUUGGUGCCCAGGCUCAUCUGCACCCGGUUAGAAAAAAUUCAUAAAAAAUUUAAACAAAUUCAAAAAAUUCCAAAUAAAAUUUGUAUGGUAGACAAUUUGAUGCGUGAGGCCCGCCUCAAAUUUCAAGUCAUUUGGAUAUAUGAGAAGCUCUCAGCAAAAAAGACAAAUCGGACUAAAACAGUACAUGAACAGUAAACAUUUUUACAGACCCUCAAUUUGUCUUUUUUGCUGAGAGCUGCUCAUAUGUUCAAAUGACUUGAAAUUUGGAGCGUGCCUCACGCAUCAAAAUUUCUAUCACACAAAUUUUAUUUGGAAUUUUUCGAAUUUUUCUAGUAUUUGUUUUGAUUUUUUUCGUCGGCACAGGUGCAGAUGAGCUCAGGUGCAGAAAUGGAUUUUCGGUUUUAUUUGCACUAUUAUGCUAUUUUAUAUGAUUUUUGCGACUAACCUAUUAAACUAGAGCCCAGUGCCAGUUCCUGUUUUUUCCUUGUUUUAGAGUUUCACAGAAAAGGAAUACCAAACGGAGUCCAAACGGAAUGAAACUUUUGCGAUGAUGUUUCUUAGACCAGAAGACAUCUAGAGGACUUGGAGUGCACGUUAGGAAAGCCAUGAGGUGGCCACAAUGACGGAGGGCACGCCCCCACCCUUGUGGGCUCCUCGUGACUCUACCGACCUAUUUCGUCCGCAUAUAUAUUCUCAAAUAUUCCAAAACCUACUAGGAGAGCCACAAAAAAACUUUUCCACCGUCGCAACCUUCUGUACCCAUGAGUUCCCAUCUAGGGGCCUUUUCCGGCAUCCCGUCGGAGGGGGAUUCGAUCACGGAGGGCUUCUACAUCAACACCAUUGCCUCUCCGAUGAAGCGUGAGUAGUUUACCACAGACCUAUGAGUCCAUAGCUAGUAUCUAAACGGCUUCUUCUCUCUCUUUGAUUCUCAAUACCAUGUUCUCUUCGAUGUUCUUGGAGAUCUAUUCGUUGUAAUACUCUUUUUGCGGUGUGUUUGCCGAGAUCCGGUGAAUUGUGGAUAUAUGAUCAGGUUAUCUAUGAAUAUUAUUUGAAUCUCCUAUGAAUUCUUAUAUGCAUGAUUUGAUAUAUUUGCAAGUCUCUUCGAACUAUCGAUUUGGUUUGGCCAACUAGAUUGGUUUUUCUUGCAAUGGGAGAAGUGCUUAACUUUGGGUUCAAUCUUGCGGUGCUCGAUCCCAGUGACAGAAGGGGAUGAUACGUCUCCAACGUAUCUAUAAUUUUUGAUUGUUCCAUGCUAUUAUAUUAUCAACCUUGGAUGUUUUAUAUGCAUUUAUAUGCUAUUUUAUAUGAUUUUUGGGACUAACCUAUUAACCUAGAGCCCAGUGCCAGUGCCAGUUUCUGUUUUUUCCUUGUUUUAGGGUUUCAAAGAAAAGGAAUAUCAAACAGAGUCCAAACGGAAUGAAACCUUCGGAAAAGUUAUUUUUGGAAAGAAAGCAAUACGAGAGACUUGGAGUGCACGUCAGGGGAUCAACGAGGAAGCCACGAGGCAGGGGCACGCCCUCCACCCUCGUGGCUCCCCUAAUGUAUUUCUUCCGCCUAUAUAUAUCCAUAUACCCUAAAAUGAUCGGGGAGCACAAUAGAUCGGGAGUUCCGCCACCAGAAGCCUCCGUAGCCACCGAAAGCCAAUCUAGACCCGUUCCGGCACCCUGCCGGAGGAGGAAUCCCUCUUCGGUGUCCAUCUUCAUCAUCCCGGUGCUCUCCAUGACGAGGAGGGAGUAGUUCUCCCUCAGGGCUGAGGGUAUGUACCAGUAGCUAUGUGUUUGAUCUCUCUCUCUCUCUCUCUCUCUCUCUCUCGUGUUCUUGAGGUGAUACGAUCUUGAUGUAUCGCGAGCUUUGCUAUUAGAGUUGGAUCUUAUGUUUCUUCUCCCCCUCUACUCUCUUGUAAUGGAUUGAGUUUCCCCUUCGAAGUUAUCUUAUCGGAUUGAGUCUUUAAAGAUUUGAGAACACAUGAUGUAUGUCUUGCCGUGCGUAUCUGUGGUGACAAUGGGAUAUCACGUGAUUCAUUUGAUGUAUGUUUUGGUGAUCAAGUUGCGGGUUCCACCCAUGAACCUAUGCAUAGGGGUUGGCACACAUUUUCGUCAUGAUUCUCCGGCAGAAACUUUGGGGCACUCUUUGAGGUUCUAUGUGUUGGUUGAAUAGAUGAAUCUGAGAUUGUGUGAUGCAUAUCGGAUAAUCAUACCCACGGAUACUUGAGGUGACAAUGGAGUAUCUAGGUGACAUUAGGGUUUUGGUUGAUUUGUGUCUUAAGGUGUUAUUCUAGUACGAACUCUAGGGCUGUUUGUGACACUUAUAGGAAUAGCCCAAUGGAUUGAUUGGAAAGAAUAACUUGGAGGUGGUUUCGUACCCUACCAUAAUCUCUUCGUUCGUUCUCCGCUAUUAGUGACUUUGGAGUGAUUCUUUGUUGCAUGUUGAGGGAUAGUUAUGUGAUCCAAUUAUGUUAUUAUUGUUGAGAGAACUUGCACUAGUGAAAGUAUGAACCCUAGGUCUUGUUUCAACGCAUUGCAAUACCGUUUACGCUCACUUUUAUCAUUAGUUACCUUGCUGUUUUUAUAUUUUCAGAUUACAAAAACCUUUAUCUACCAUCCAUAUACCACUUGUAUCACCAUCUCUUCGCCGAACUAGUGCACCGAUACAAUUUACCAUUGUAUUGGGUGUGUUGGGGACACAAGAGACUCUUUGUUAUUUGGUUGCAGGGUUGGUUGAGAGAGACCAUCUUCAUCCUACGCCUCCUACAGAUUGAUAAACCUUGGGUCAUCCACUUGAGGAAAAUUUGCUACUGUCCUACAAACCUUUGCACUUGGAGGCCCAACAACGUCUACAAGAAGAAGGUUGUGUAGUAGACAUCAGGGGAACCGACACAUAUUGUAGUGUUUCCAUCGAGGAUAACAAGAUGGGGUUUUCGUCAUAUUGCUUGAGUUUAUCCCGCUACAUCAAGUCAUCUUACUUAAUGCGUUAUCCUGUUCUUAUGAACUUAGUACUCUAGGUGCAGGCAGGAGUCAGUGGACGUGUGGAGUAAUAGUAGUAGAUGCAAGCAGGAGUCCGUCUACUUGAUACAAACAUGAUGCUUAUGUUCAUGAUCAUUGCCUUAGAUAUCGUCAUAAGUUUGCACUUUUCUAUCAAUUGCUCAGCAGUAAUUUGUUCACCCACCGUAAGAUUUUCUAUCUUGAGAGAAGCCUCUAGUGAAACCUAUGGCCCCGGGGUCUACUUUCCAUCAUAUAAGUUUCUGAUCUACAAUUGUGUUGGUUGAAUAGAUGAAUCUGAGAUUGUGUGAUGCAUAUCGUAUAAUCAUACCCACGGAUACUUGAGGUGACAAUGGAGUACCUAGGUGACAUUAGUGUUUUGGUUGAUUUGUGUCUUAAGGUGUUAUUCUAGUACGAACUCUAGGGCUGUUUGUGACACUUAUAGGAAUAGCCCAACGGAUUGAUUGGAAAGAAUAACUUUGAGGUGGUUUCGUACCCUACCAUAAUCUCUUCGUUCGUUCUCCGCUAUUAAUGACUUUGGAGUGACUCUUUGUUGCAUGUUGAGGGAUAGUUAUGUGAUCCAAUUAUGUUAUUAUUGUUGAGAGAACUUGCACUAGUGAAAGUAUGAACCCUAGGCCUUGUUUCAACGCAUUACAAUACCGUUUACGCUCAGUUUUAUCAUUAGUUACCUUGCUGUUUUUAUAUUUUCAGAUUACAAAAACCUUUAUCUACCAUCCAUAUACCACUUGUAUCACCAUCUCUUCGCUGAACUAGUGCACCUAUACAAUUUACCAUUGUAUUGGGUGUGUUGGGGACACAAGAGACUCUUUGUUAUUUGGUUGCAGGGUUGCUUGAGAGAGACCAUCUUCAUCCUACACCUCCUACGGAUUGAUAAACCUUAGGUCAUCCACUUGAGGGAAAUUUGCUACUGUCCUACAAACCUCUGCACUUGGAGGCCCAACAACGUCUACAAGAAGAAGGUUGUGUAGUAGACAUCAGGGGAACCGACACAUAUUGUAUUGUUUCCAUCGAGGAUAACAAGAUGGGGUUUUCGUCAUAUUGCUUGAGUUUACCCCGCUACAUCAAGUCAUCUUACUUAAUGCGUUAUCCUGUUCUUAUGAACUUAAUACUCUAGAUGUAGGCAGGAGUCGGUGGACGUGUGGAGUAAUAGUAGUAGAUGCAAGCAGGAGUCAGUCUAGUUGAUACAAACGUGAUGCUUAUGUUCAUGAUCAUUGCCUUAGAUAUCGUCAUAACUUUGCGCUUUUAUAUCAAUUGCUCAACAGUAAUUUGUACACCCACUGUAAGAUUUUCUAUCUUGAGAGAAGCCUCUAGUGAAACUAUGGCCCCGGGGUCUACUUUCCAUCAUAUAAGUUUCCGAUCUACAAUUUUAGUUUCCUAUCACUUCCUUUGCAAUCUUUUACUUUCCAUUCCAUAAACCAAAAAUACCAAAAAUAUUACUUUACCGAUUAUCCAUCUCUAUCAGAUCUCACCUUGCAAAUAACCAUGAAGGAUUGACAACCCCUUUGUCGCAUUAGGUGUAAGUUGCUAUUUGUUUGAGCAUGUAUUCAGUGACUUGUGCAUUGUCUCCUACUGGAUUGAUACCUUGGUUCUCAAAACUGAGGGAAAUACUUACUCUACUUUGCUGCAUCACCCUUUCCACUUCAAGGGAAAAACCAACGCAAGCUCAAGAGGAAGUAGGAAGAAUUUCUGGCACCGUUGCCGGGGACAUCUACGCCAAGUCAAGACAUACCAAGUACCCAUCAUAAACUCUCAUCUCUUGCAUUAUAUUAUUUGCCAUUCGCCUCUCGUUUUCCUCUCCCCCACUUCUAAAAUGAUUUGCCUUUUCUUCGCCCUCUUCCAUUCAUCUUCUUCGCUUGCUUUUUGUGUGCUCAUGUGUUGGAUUGCUUGCUUUGUCACGAUGUCUCAAGAGAAUACCAAAUUGUGUGACUUUUCCAAUACCAACAACAAUGAUUUUAUUAGUACCCCGAUUGCUCCCGCUACUAAUGCGGAAUCUUGUGAAAUUAAUGCUGCUUUGCUGAGUCUUGUUAUGAAAGAUCAAUUUUCCGGCCUUCCCAAUGAAGAUGCCGCAUCCCAUCUAAACAAUUUCGUUGAUUUGUGUGAUAUGAAAAAGAAAAAAGAUAUGGAUAAUGAUAUUGUUAAAUUGAAGCUAUUUCCGUUGUCACUUCGAGAUCGUGCUAAAACUAGGUUUUCAUCUUUGCCUAAAAAUAGCGAGUGUCAUUUUUUAAUGCGAGUGAUUAGUUUUUAAAGAAUGAUUGGCAUUCUUUCUUAAUUGCUCAUCUACUAAUCGUUUGGCGUGUUUUCUUAUCUUGUCAAAAUCAUAUCCCCUGGCUGUAAAUAUCAAAGAAUAAUUUCAUUUGUUGGGCUUGGACUGUACUGUCCGAGAGUCAGAGUAUAAAUACCAUACGAUUUCAAGAGCAAUAGCAACGGGGCAACCAUUAGUCCAUACUCUACACCAUAUGGCUAGAAAUUUUAUAUUAUAUAUAACAAAGUUGUGACAAAUUGGAAAUGGAAAGCAAUAAAAUGAAUAUGUUGCUAUAGGUUAUUAUUAUUACACAUGCACGUGUACCUUGAUCCUUGCUUGGACAUAGGGUCCGAGGAAGUUACAUUGCUUUGACUACUGAUAUUGUUUGUGUUAAAGUGUGCCACAAUGGCAUAAAUAUUGUCGUUGCAUAAUGGGAAACCACGUCAUAUUUAUCGAUGAUAUGUGGAAAUAGGGAUAAGCUACUUUAUGAAGAUAUAUAAGGAUGUAUGGGUUACGUUGGUGGAAAAUGUUGUUAUGAACACAAAUGCAGUUGCAUUUAUCAUGCAUUCGCGGUGAAGUGCGCUAUUGUGGCAUAUAUCUUCCUUUUUGCCACAGAAGCAUGGUAGAAUUAUAAAGAGAGUAUGUUUCUAUAGACAUUUCAAAAAAGAGAUUUGUGUAUACUCUCAUUAUACUGUAAUCACCAUAGAUUAUUCAGAUUAGAAGUUGUUGUCUCUACCACAUAUUUAGAUUUUCUAUACAUACUAAUAUCUAUAUCGCAUAGAAAAUCAUGUAUUUAUAUGAGAUCUUUGUGGUGCAUGAUAAAGCAAGAUUCCUUUUGUUAUUGCAGCAAUUUAUAAGUAUUUAAAUAUAUACUAAUAGCUAGUUUCUUCUGUGUUAUAAGGACAAAAUAAGACAUGCAUAGACAUGCAAAUACGUAUUAGAAAUCUGCUACUCCAAAUGUAUCAUGUUAAUCCAUGUAAGCCACGAAUCGCGUGCAUAUCAGGCAAAGCAGUUUUUUUUGUAAAAACAAUACAUAAUACUAAUCGAUGGUAUAGACGAUUCAAUACAUAUGCAUCAAGACACCGCUACCUUGCACAUAGUGAUAUAGGAUGGAAUUGAAUCUGAUCCGCUCCUUUCCAACUUAAUCGAGUAAUGUGUACUUCUCAUAAAUAGGCAUGUAUAUAGUAAUUGUUCUUUUGACCAAACGCUUGGUAUAUUAAUGAUCACAUUAUACAUUUAUGUAACAUUUCUUACUUGCGAAAUCUUUUACAAAUUGGAAUAUGGGAAUUUUAUUAAUACCUAGAAGAAAUACUACUAUUUAGAACAUAUAAUAACUGGUACUAUACUUUUUCUUAAUAUUGGUACUAUACUUAAUUGGACCAAAAGUUGCACAUAUUUUUGAUUAGUUCAUUUUUUUCUACAGAUUUAUCGGCGCCAUUAUUUCUCUAUGGUUGACAUGUAUAUGAACUACUGUCUGUAUAUAUUGAUCUGCAUUUAGACAAAUAUCAGGGACAAACACACAUACUGUUUAGCAUGUGUAGUUGUAAAGGUAGAAUACUGAUUUGUAGUAUUAAGAAAAUAUAUUUAUAAGAUCUUACUACAAUGUAUAUGGAUUGAGAAUCAGAGAAAUAACCAAGUGUUGUGCAAGGAUCAUUCUGACUAUCCAGUGGCAGAAUAAAAAUAGGAUGCUAAGCGCGGGGAGAAUACUUAUGUCCUAUAAACCUGCAAAUAAGAAGCAUGCAUUCACCAUAUAUUAGAAUUCCAAAUUUUAUAGUUCCUUUGCAUGUUGGAAAUAAGCUUUGCCCCUUGUGAUAUGGAUUAUCACGUAGAAUGGAAAGAGGAGAAAAAAAUUAUGGCUUAGCAGAAUCAAUGAGGAAAAGCACUACAUGUGAAGUAUCAAAACGUUGUGAUAGCACGAACCCCACCAGAUUUGAACUCGUGCUCUUAGUAUGACAUGAAAAGAGGGGCUACUCUCCAAUCGAAGUGAAAAUAGUAGAACUUUGAACUUAUAUAUAUAUACGCUUAAAAAUUCUAAAAGCAAAUGGUCAAAAACUCAGAAUAGCUUGAGCGGGCACUACUUGCUAACUCAAGCACAUGGCAACACAGUAUUAAGUCAAGAUUUUGCAACCGAGAGGGAAAGUCAAAUAAAUAAAUAAAUAAAUAAGGAUUCUCAUCAAACCUGUGAAUCCAAGCUAGUAUCUAACUAUUGUAUUGCUCAUAGUUUUGCAUACACCAUGGAACGUACGAUACAUAGCAUGUUGAAAAAUUAUAACCAAUUAAAUAGAAGAUAAAGGCAUAGUGCUAGGAGAUCAUCUCUCAGAGCAAUCAUCGCUGACAUAAACCUUCGGUUAAAUCACAUGUCUAAUUAGAACCUAGAGGUCUUUUACUUUUCCUUUAUAUGGAACCUUUAUUUUGACCUUUGGGGACUAUAGCCGCCUCAAAUAUGCAACUUUUUUUCGAAAUUUUAGUAUAGUGUAGUUGGAGCUUUUCCUGGUGUUCCAUAAAAAUAGCAAAGGGCAUAUUUCCUUUAGCCUACUUAUAUAUAAAAAAACGGCGUUCCUUAAUUAUUAUUCAAACUGAAAACACAUGCUAUCUUUAAAAGCAAAGAUGUACCUUAUGUGAGAAUCAUGCAUGUGUUAUUUCUAAUUAGUUAGGCAAUAAAAUAAUAGCAUCGUAUCAUUAGAUAAAUUAUUUUUCAACUGAAUCAGACAUGUGGGGUUUGACAAAAUUGAAAGUAUAUGCGAAGAUGUUAAGGAGAAAAUGUCAAUAUAAAAAAACUGUUUCUAUAGGCAGAUGUGAAUUACGUACAAAAAUAGGUCUGUUCGCUUUACAAAAGUUCUGGUGAAACCAAACUCCUGAGUUACUACAUGUAGAGCUCAAAAAUACCAGAUAUAGAGUAUAAAAUGAGAAUGGAAUACUAAGUGCAUCUUACAGAAAUUAUAAGAUCUUUUUAAUAGCUUCCUCAAUAUUACAUAGCAUACACAACAAUGAGGCAUCAAAUGAAUCAGUAUUCUAAAUAUGUAAAGAAGAAUAAGAAACACAAAGUAGCUGCUGCUCGAGCAACUACUACAUGCAAAUACAAUGCUUGAGAAUUUUCAAGCGUUCUGUUCGCUUUUUACCCUGAUUCAGCAUGGAUUAAAAAACCACAGUACUUAAUUCCGUGUAUCCUAAAUUCAAGCGUCAUGUUCGACGAAUUUCACCAUAGAUUUACAUGCCUGUGGACUUGUAGAACCAACAGCGCACUCUACAACAUCCGACAGAUAAAUCGAUCUGCUUUCCGUUCGCUGUAGGUUGUUCAUUGGGAAGCAGCACGAUCCACUUUAGACCACCAUCAGUAGACCUGAUCCUACGCUGCAUCGCAUUGUUAUAUUGCAGUCAGCUCGGAACUUAUGUCAAGGAGAAUAGUUAGACGAUGGAUUUGAUAUUUGGCCUUUUUGAGAUCUGAAACGUGUGUGUACUUCGUAGCUGUCAGCAGGUGGAAGGCCGUCCUGACAAAGAGGCAUAUUGCAUCCUAAAUUCAAGCACCAUGUUCGAAAAAAAAUCAGUAUGGGUUUACUUGCCUGUGGACUUGUAGAACCAACAUCAAACCCGACAAAAUCGGACAGAUAAAUCGAUCUGCUUUCCGUUCGUAGUAGGUUCUCCAAUGGGCAGCAGCACGAUCCACUUUAGACCACCUGAUCCUACGCUGCAUCUUGCAGUCAGCUCCGAACUUAACCCAGAAGAAUAGUUAGACGAUGGAUUUGAUAGUUGGCCUUUUUUUAGAUCAGAAUUGUAGGUGCAGGGUGGCUCGGCGAUCCUGACAAAGAUGAGAUUGAUCGGGGUCGCUAAUAAUCCCUUGUAGCACCUGCCGGGAUCCUUUGUGGUUCGCCGAGUGCACUUGAUGGCGAUGGGAUCAAGGGAAGAGAAGAAUUGAAGGAGGUGGGGUCGAGGGACAUGUUUUUCCUAUUUUAGGGGGAGAUAUCUUUCCUUUCUGUUUUUGCGUGAUUGUUUUCGUUUUUCAAUCGGCCGAAGAUUUUAUUGACAGAUCUAUUUUCUUUUUCUUUUCAUCACGGGAUUUUACAUGAAAGGAGGCUAUCUUUUUUUAGCAUGGAAGGAAGAUAUCUUUUUUAAAGGAACCGAUGGAUGCUUUGUUUGUUUGUUAAGCCAAUCUUGACGGUGUCGCGUUCCUUUAUUUUUUACGGGGCCAUAUAUGCUACCAUUGAUUGCAAUUAGUUUUUUUCUCUUGGAGAUGGAUUAUUUGUUUGUUGAACGUGUCUGCCUUAAUUAUGGAUGGACCAUCUGUGUAACGCAUGUUUACUUUUUAUCUUGGACGUUAAUUCUAUAAUCUAUCGGUGUAAUUAAUUUUGAUGAUGUGGAUUAAUGAGAAGGCCUUAAAAGGUGCCUCCAAUUAGUAAAUAUAUAAGAUAUAAGAUAUUGAUUCAUGGAAUAAGUUUAAGGAUGAAUUUAUUUCCAAGUAUUUUCCUCCCGCUAAGAUCAUCUCUCUUAGGAACGACAUUAUGAAUUUUAACCAACUUGAUCAUGAACAUGUUGCACAAUCUCCGUAGAGGAUGAAAUUGAUGAUAUGAAAUUGCCCUACACAUGGUUUGAAUAUGUGGAUGAUUAUACAAUUUUUUAUGCCGGAUUGAAUUUUGCUUCUAGAAAUCUUUUAGAUUCGGCCGUGGGAGGUACUUUUAUGGAAAUUACUUUAGGAGAAGCUACUAAACUCCUAGAUAAUAUUACGGUUAAUUAUUCUCAAUGGUAUACUGAAAGAUCUUCCACUAGUAAAAAAGUGCAUGCGAUUGAUGAGUUUAAUGUUUUGAGUGGAAAGAUGGAUGACCUUAUGAAAUUAUAUGCUAGCAAGAGUGCUUCUGUUGAUCCUAAUGAUAUGCCUUUGUCUACUUUGAUUGAGAAUAAUAAUGAAUCUAUGUAUGUGAAUUUUGUUGGUAGGAACAAUUUUGGUAAUAACGCUUAUGGAGGUAAUUUUAAUCCUAGACUGCUUCCUAAUAAUUCCCCUAAUAAUUAUGGCAAUUCCUACAACAAUUCUUCACUGGUAGAAAAAGGGCCUGUAGUCCCGGUUCGUAAGGGCCUUUAGUCCCGGUUCCUGAACCGGGACUAAAGUGUCGGUACUAAUACCUCCCACCUUUAGUCCCGGUUCAAUCCAGAACCGGGACUAAAGCCCAUCCACGUGGGCAGUGUGCAGAGCCCAGUCAGGAGACCCUUUGGUCCCGGUUGGUGGCACCAACCGGGACCAAUAGGCAUCCACGCGUCAGCAUUUCUGUGNNNNNNNNNNNNNNNNNNNNNNNNNNNNNNNNNNNNNNNNNNNNNNNNNNNNNNNNNNNNNNNNNNNNNNNNNNNNNNNNNNNNNNNNNNNNNNNNNNNNNNNNNNNNNNNNNNNNNNNNNNNNNNNNNNNNNNNNNNNNNNNNNNNNNNNNNCCGGUUCAAUCCAGAACCGGGACUAAAGCCCAUCCACGUGGGCAGUGCGCAGAGCCCAGUCAGGAGACCCUUUGGUCCCGGUUGGUGGCACCAACCGGGACCAAUAGGCAUCCACGCGUCAGCAUUUCUGUGGCUAGGGUUUUUAUUUUUAUUUUUUGAAAGGGGGGGGGGGUUGGGGGUUUUGGGGGGUUAAUUUAGGUGUUUCAUAUAUUGUGUUAGCUAGCUAUAAUUAAUAUAGAGAAGUGUCCUCUCUUAUGUCCGUGCUUGGUCGACGCUACGUACUAUACAUACGUAUAGAGAGGACUAGACACGCUGGCUAGCUAGUAAAGCAAACGAAGGAAACAGAAGAUCGUCAUGAACAUAUAUGCAUACAGAGAGAAGUGAUAUCGACCACCUCUCCUUCUCCGAGAGAUUGGUCGAACAACAAGUUCUCGUAUAUCUAUCUGACAGUACCGGCUACAUAUAUACAGUAAUUAUCUCUUACAAAUAUAAUCAUACGGACUCAGGUUUAACAUAGAAUUCUCCGUCUUCAGGGAUCACGUGGUCAAAAAAGAAUGCCGCCAAUUCCUCUUGAAUUGCUCGCAUGCGAGCUGGUGCUAGGAGUUCAUCCCGCUUCCGAAACAUCUAAUUUGAAGAAGGGGGUCAAUACAUAUAUAUAUAUAUAUGAAUGAAUGAAACUCAACACAAAUGAUGGUAAUAAAAUAAAAUUGUGAAUAUUGUUAUUUACGUACUUCAUAUUGUUCGUUAGAGUACCCGCCCCGCUCACACGUCGUGUGACGGAUGGACUCGCAGAUGUAGUAUCCACAGAAAUCAUUCCCUUGUUCCUGCCACAACCACUUUACAAGAAAUAGAGGUCAAUCAAACUGAUAAGCAAGAAUGCUAAAUGGUAUUGAUGAAACUAGCGCUUGAAUCACUAGGAGAUGCGCGGAACAUGCUACUAUAGUACUUACUUUCGGGUGUCUAAAUUCUAGCUCCUUCGGCAGUCCCGGAACUUUUUUGGUGAAUUUUCUCCAAACCAUGCCGGACAAAGAAAACAAUUACUUGAUAUCAGGAAAUGAACAAAGUUGCUGAUAUGGUGGAUAAUGAUCGAUUUAACUUACUUCUUGAGGAUUUCAGUCAUGUCUGCAUAGUCCUGCGGAUCUUUUCGUUUUGAGUCUAAGAAGGUUACUAGUCCCUGCUCAAGCUUAAUCUCUAGGAGAAUAUAGUGGAAACUGCACACGCAUGCAUAACUUAUGAAUUACAUUACUAUAACCUUGAGUAAUAUAUAAGGGAAACCGAAUACGCACAAGACAGUAGCACUCACUUGAAGUUGUAAGGAAAGAGUAUUAUAUCUUUGUUUUGAUUUAUUACGAACGAUUGUAGAAAGUUGGCCUCGGUAGCUGUGACAUGAAGUUUAACCUGAAUUGCAUCUAUGAGAUAUGUGUUAAUGAACCCAAUAUCACCGACUUGUCUUUUCUUCAAUUCGACGAUCUUCAAUCUGCAUAAUAUAGUGAGGAUGAUUAUAAAUACAUGCAAUGAAAGAGCUAAGCUAUAUAGAGAAACUUAAUGACAGAAGUAGUACUACUUACAGACAGUAGCAGGCGACCGUUGUUUUAUCGAGGGCCAAUUGAUUGAAAAACUGAUAGAACUCCUCAAAUGGAACAGGCAACAGAUCAAUUCCAACGAGGUCAUGCUCCUUUUUAACUCUCACAUACAAAGUACUCCUCCCCCAGAGUCUCUGCAGAUUUUCAAGUACCAAUCAUGCAAUCUUCGCAUCAUCGUUGAUAGAGAUCUUUCAUCUUUGACGAGAGGCUUCCCGUACUCGUAUCUUUGCAUCUGCAUGUCCAUGGGUUCAUAAUGUACUUCGUCGGGUAGGUAAUCUGCAAGAUUAUUAUAACCGGGCACCAUCCUCGGAUCAUUAGCGACUUUGUGGCUAGGCACCUUGAGCGAGGGGCAUGAUUGCUUCGCUUGUUUGCCGAGCUGGGCAAUUUGUUUCCCAGCUCGUCGUUUUUUCAGCCUUUCAUCACUGACAGUAGUUCCCGACCGCUCCGCUUCGGCAAAUUCCUUUCCAAUAAUGCGGUCAUAGUUUCCUUUCGGCGGAUCAGACUUUGGUGGUUUUGUCAGGGCAGCCAGAGUGCGCUUCACUUUCACCCCAUCUACCUUCUCCUCUGGAGGUGGAUGUUUCUUUGCUUUCACCCCUUCAAAGAAUUUCCUCACUUCUUCUCACGCGAUCUCGGCGUUCUCCUCCUGGGUCCUCUCGUAUGGUAACUUCUCUGGAGUCUUCAGAGAAGGACCGAAUCUGUAUGUCCUCCCGCCUCUGGUUGUACUGCUAGACGCCGACCGAGCAAACGAAGCGGUUGUCUUCUUUACUUGCUUAAGAGGCGGAGGAGAAGGACUACGACCCGCCGGAGCAGCUGGAGCGGCGGCAGGUCUCUUCUGCCCUUGCUGACGAGGCGGAGAAGGAGGAGGUUGGCUGCUCGGGCGCGUCGGCGCAGGCGGAGACGGAGGCGGAGUGCCGCCACGCGCCGGAGAAGGAGCCGGCCGAGGGCCCUGAUCCUCACUCGCCGGAGGAGGAGGUGGUGGAGGAGGCGGAGUGCCCUGACUCGCCGGAGGAGGAGGAGGAGGCGGAGGCGUCCAGUUCGGAAGGUUGAUGAGGUCCUUCCGCCAUAGGCAUGGAGUCUUCAGAGCAGACCCCAGCCGAGUCUCCCCUUCACCGGUAGGGUGGUCAAGCUGGAGGUCCUCAAAUCCCUCCGUUAUCUCAUCCACCAUCACCCUAGCAUAUCCUUCUGGAAUCGGCAUGCAGUGAAAAGUUGCGCCGGGUUCAGUAGGAUAAACAGAGCCAACAGCCGCCUUGACCUUCAAAUUCAUCCAUUGCGUCAUAAGGUGGCAAUUUUGAGACUCCGUUAUAGCAUCCACAGGAUAGCUGGCAGGAGCCGUCAAGGCAUGCUGCAGCUGAAGCUGCUCGGUGGAAGCCACGCUGCUUCUGCGCUGAGAUGGCGGGGUAGCUUCGGGGGAGGCUUCGGCAGUACGUUUGUUGCGAUUUGCUUCUCGUUCCUCUAUCGCUUGUACCCUUGCGUGCAGCGCCUGCAGUUCGGUCUGCUGCACUUUUUUCCUCCUCUCAUGGGAUUUGUAACCGCCUGCGUCCGGAAACCCAACCUUCCACGGAACGGAGCCUGGCGUGCCUCGUGUCCGUCCAGGGUGCUCAGGAUUCCCGAGGGCCAUUGUGAGCUCGUUGUGCUCUCUGUCUGGAAAGAACGUCCCUUCCUGCGCUGCGUCGAUAUAGUGCUUAAGCUUACUGACUGGUAUGUCCAUUUGUUCGUUCGUCCAAAUGCAGUUCCCUAUUUCAGGGUCCAAGGUUCCGCCACCCCCGAAGAACCAAGUCCGGCAACGGUCUGGCCAGUUAUUUGUCUCUGGUCCGAUCCCUUUAUGAACCAGAUCAUUCUCAACCAUGGACCACUUAGGCCGGGCUACGAGGUAGCCACCUGACCCCGUGCGAUGGUGAAGCUUCUUCUUCGCGGCAUUCUGCUUGUUUGUCGCCGACAUCUUCUUACUCUUUUCCGAUGUCUUGUAGGCCACAAAUGCGGGCCAGUGAUCUCUGAUCUUCUCAUAUCUUCCCUUGAAUUCUGGUGUCUCUUUUUUAUCGACAAACCUAUUCAGCUCUUUCUUCCACCUCCUGAAUAGAUCUGCCAUCCUCUUCAGAGAAAAAGACUUGAUUAAUUUCUCUUUAAUUGGGUUCUCUGGAUUAUCCUCUGGCGGUAGGGUGAAAUUUGACUUCAGCUCAGUCCAAAGAUCAUUUUUCUGCAUAUCAUUGACAUAAGACACCUCAGGGUCUUCUGUAGCCGGCUUAAACCAUUGCUGGAUGCUUAUCGGGAUCUUGUCCCUAACCAGAACCCCGCACUGAGCAACAAAUGCCCUCUUUGUCCGGAGGGGUUCAAUAGGUUGGCCGUCGGGCGCGAUUGCUGUGAUCUCAAGCUUUUCAUCCGAGCUCAACUUUUUCUUCGGGCCUCGUCUCUUUACCGAAGUUGUGCUCGAUCCGGAGGGCUAGAAAAAAGAACAAAGACUUAAUUAAUAUGUGUACAUACCAAAACAAUGAAUGCAUCAAUCAGCUAGUCAGCAUAGGCUUAACUAAUAUAUAUACCUGGCCGGACUCGGUUCGGUCACCGGAGCCGUCAUCACGGUCUCCUUCUUGCACCGGCAUUGGGUCACCGGCGCCGUCCUCAUGUUCUUCUUCUUGCACCGGCAUUAGGUCACCGUAGCCAGCUUGUUCACCCUCUCCUUCCGGACCAUCGAUGAUAUCGUUGAGAUAGUACGAGACGGCAUCACUUCCUUGUGCGAUUAUCUCCCUCAACAACGCUUCUUUUGUUGCUUCGUCUAGGGCGGUGUCCAUAGUUUCUACAAAUAUUUACAACAUGGCAAUUAUUAUUCAAACAUGACAGAUGGAUAUAUUAGUGCCAAACGUAGAACUACCUACCUAAUCAUAGUAAGCUAUCGGGAGGGGGUAUAUAUCGACAACGACGACACUACAUCUAUAUAUGUCCCUCGAUGACCCUCGUUCCUGAUAAAAAAAGAGGAAGAAGAAGAAAAAAAAGAGGAGAAGAAAGAAUAGAGGAGAAGAACUCCUCUAUUCUUUCUUCUCCUCUUUUUUCUUCUUCUUCCUCUUCUUUUUUUAUCCUCUUCUUCCUCUCAUGUUCGAGAGGAUCGCCUUGGGGUCGGGAGGUUGCCUAGUGUCAAAGGAUUCAACAAAACCAUGUCUUCAUCAUUAGGCGAAAGUAACAUGUGCAUGAUGGUAGGAAGCUCUUCAAAGUUGUUCUGGAACGGAGUCCCAGAUAGGAUAAUUCGCUUUUUGGUACAAAGUUCAGCAAGAGCCUUCCGAAUAUCGCUAUUUGGAAGGCCUUUGCUGAAUUCGUACCAAAAGGCGGAUUAUUCUAUCCGGGACUCCAUUCCAGAACAACUUUGCAGAACUUCAUACCAACAUGCCCUGGUUACUUCCGGCUAAUGAUGAAGGCAUGGAUUUCUUCAAUACUUUGACACUAGGAAACCUCUCUCGACCCCUCGGCGAUUCUUGACCCCUCGAACCCUCAACGACCCUGAAACCCUCGACGCUUGACCCCUUAACGACCCUCGACCCUCUACCCUAGUUCCCGACCCUCGACCAAUAGAGGAGAAGAAGAAAGGAAUAGCUAGAGGAGAAGAUCGAAGAAAAAAAAGAAGAAACAAAAGAGGAGAAGAAGAAAGGAAUAGUGGAGAAGAAGAGAAAAUAGAAUAUAUAUUCUAUUUUCUCUUCUUCUCCACUAUUCCUUUCUUCUUCUCCUCUUCUUUUUCUUCUGUUUUCUUCUUCUUAUUUAUUUCUCCUCUUCUUUUCGGUAGAGGAAACCCUAAAUAGCUAGCAAGUAUCGUGGGUGUGAGAUACAUGUGGCCUUCGGUGUCGGACACUACAUCCACGUCCCACAAGUGACGUGGGCGUCGAAACCCGCGCCACUUGUGGGAUGUGGAUGUAGUGUCCGACACCGACGGUACAUGUAUCUCACACCGACGAUACUUUCUAUUUAGGGUUUCUCCUCUACCACUCGGCGGCCCUCUCGACGACCCUCGUUCCCGAUAAUAUAAAGAGGAAGAAGAAGAAGAAAAAAGAAGAGAAGAAAGAAUAGAGGAGACGAACCCUCGAACCCUCGAACCCUAGACGACCCUCUUCUUCCUCUCAUGUUCGAGAGGAUCGCCGAGGGGUCGGGAGGUUGCCUAGUGUCAAAGGAAACCCUAAAUAGCUAGCAAGUGUCAUGGGUGUGAGAUACAUGUGGCCUUCGGUGUCGGACACUACAUCCACGUCCCACAAGUGACGUGGGCGUCGAAGCCCGCGCCACUUGUGGGAUGUGGAUGUAAUGUCCGACACCGACGGUACAUGUAUCUCACACCGACGAUACUUUCUAUUUAGGGUUUCUCCUCUACCACUCGGCGGCCCUCUCGACGACCCUCGUUCCCGAUAAAAUAAAGAGGAAGAAGAAGAAGAAAAAAGAAGAGAAGAAAGAAUAGAGGAGAAGUCUCCUCUAUUCUUUCCUCGCCUCUCUCAUGAAUGUCCGGCGUUCUCGACCCCCCCCCCUCCCCACGUGUCGAAGAAAAAAAAGAAGAAAAAAAAGAGGAGAAGAAGAAAGGAAUAGAGGAGAAAAGAGAAAAAUAGAAUAUUCNNNNNNNNNNNNNNNNNNNNNNNNNNNNNNNNNNNNNNNNNNNNNNNNNNNNNNNNNNNNNNNNNNNNNNNNNNNNNNNNNNNNNNNNNNNNNNNNNNNNNNNNNNNNNNNNNNNNNNNNNNNNNNNNNNNNNNNNNNNNNNNNNNNNNNNNNNNNNNNNNNNNNNNNNNNNNNNNNNNNNNNNNNNNNNNNNNNNNNNNNNNNNNNNNNNNNNNNNNNNNNNNNNNNNNNNNNNNNNNNNNNNNNNNNNNNNNNNNNNNNNNNNNNNNNNNNNNNNNNNNNNNNNNNNNNNNNNNNNNNNNNNNNNNNNNNNNNNNNNNNNNNNNNNNNNNNNNNNNNNNNNNNNNNNNNNNNNNNNNNNNNNNNNNNNNNNNNNNNNNNNNNNNNNNNNNNNNNNNNNNNNNNNNNNNNNNNNNNNNNNNNNNNNNNNNNNNNNNNNNNNNNNNNNNNNNNNNNNNNNNNNNNNNNNNNNNNNNNNNNNNNNNNNNNNNNNNNNNNNNNNNNNNNNNNNNNNNNNNNNNNNNNNNNNNNNNNNNNNNNNNNNNNNNNNNNNNNNNNNNNNNNNNNNNNNNNNNNNNNNNNNNNNNNNNNNNNNNNNNNNNNNNNNNNNNNNNNNNNNNNNNNNNNNNNNNNNNNNNNNNNNNNNNNNNNNNNNNNNNNNNNNNNNNNNNNNNNNNNNNNNNNNNNNNNNNNNNNNGGGACUAAAGGGGGGCAAUGGUCACGGUUGGUGCCACGAACCGUGACCAAUGCCACCUUUAGUCCCGGUUGGUGCCACCAACCGGGACCAAUGCCCUUGUGCGCCCCGCGCCCAGAAGUUUAGUCCCACAUCGCUAGCUGAAGGGCGCCGAUACUGGUUUAUAAGCGCUGCUCUGCCUCCCCUUUCGAGCUCCUCUCAAAUGCAGGCUUUCGGGCCUAAACUGCUACUGCCUGUGGGCCUAUUGGGCCUCUGCGGGCCUGAAUCCUGGCCCAUGUAGGGUUUCUAGUCGUAUUCAGGCCGUGGAGGCCCAGUAGGAGGCAUUUUUUUUGGUUUUUUCUUUUUUGUUUCUAUAUUUUUUUGGUUUUUUAUUUUUUUUAUUUCUACUUACAACUAAAUACUUACAGUUUUUUAGUGAUUUCUUUUUGCUUUUAGGUCACAAAAAUUAUAAACUUUCUAUUAGUGCCAUUAGUUUUAAAUUUUAAAUAGUUUAAAUUUGAAUUUUUAAAAAUUUGUGUGAAUCACUAGUUUAUGAAUAACUUUACUAUAAAGUUAGAAUUUGUUUUCUAUUUAUUUUUUAUUUCUACUUACAACUAAAUACUUACAGUUUUUUAGUGAUUUGUUUUUGCUUUUAGGUCACAAAAAUUAUAAACUUUCUGUUAGUGCCUUUAGUUUUAAAUUUUAAAUAGUUUAAAUUUGAAUUUUUAAAAAUUUGUGUGAAUCACUAGUUUAUGAAUUUUUUUCUUCUUUGCUAUUUAUUUUUGAUUUAUACUUACAAUUAAAUACUUAUAGUUUGCUUUUAGGUCACACAAAUUAUAUUCUUUUUGCUAUUGAAGAAUAUUAUAGUUUUAUUUUAGUUGAUCAUAACAUAAUAUUUUAAUUGAUUGUUUUUAUUUUCAUAAAAGUUUUGUAGUUCAUUCUGUUUGCUAUUAAUUCAUUCUUUGAGCUAAAUGACUCUGAAAUUGGAAAGCAUUUCAAAAUGAACUCUGAAAAGGUUGAAAGUUGGCAUGGUAUCAUCAUUUCACCCACAUAGCAUGUUCCAAAAAGUAGAGAGGGUUACGACAAAAACUUGAUGCACUUCGUGUACAAAAUGGACAAUCACUUUCGAAGUAUCAAAGUUUCAAACCAUAAGACAUGAAAGCAUUUCGAAUGAACUCUGAAAAAGUUGAAAGUUGGGAUGCAUGGUAUCAUAAUUUCACCCACAUAGCAUUUUCUUAUUGCGGGAGAAAGUCUUCACUUUUUCUUCGCUUGUGUCAUUUGCUUAUUGCGCCGUAACCAUGGAUAAUCUUCAUUGUUUUUAAGGAUGCUUGGGUCAGCCUUGACAUUGAAGGGAGGAAUUUCAUGAAACUUUUCAUAAUCUUCAGACAUGUCUGUCUUGCCGUCCACUCCCAGGAUGUCCCUUUUUCCUGAAAGAACUAUGUGGCGCUUUGGCUCAUCGUAUGAUGUAUUCGCUUCCUUAUCUUUUCUUUUUCUCGGUUUAGUAGACAUGUCCUUCACAUAGAUAACCUGUGCCACAUCAUUGGCUAGGACGAACGGUUCGUCAGUGUACCCAAGAUUUUUCAGAUCCACUGUUGUCAUUCCGUACUGUGGGUCUACUUGUACCCCACCGCCAAACAGAAUGACCCAUUUGCACUUAAACAAAGGGACCUUAAAAUCAGGUCCGUAGUCAAGUUCCCAUAUGUCCACUAUGUAACCAUAAUAUGUGUCCUUUCCUCUCUCGGUUGCUGCAUCAAAGCGGACACCGCUGUUUUGGUUGGUGCUCUUUUGAUCUUGGGCGAUCGUGUAAAAUGUAUUCCCAUUUAUCUCGUAUCCUUUGUAAGUCAAUACAGUCAAAGAUGGUCCCCUGGACAACAAGUACAACUCAUCACAAACAGUGUUGUCACCUCUGAGACGUGUUUCCAACCAACUCCUGAAAGUCCUGAUGUGUUCACAUGUAAUCCAGUCGUCGCAUUGCUCCGGGUGUUUGGAGCGCAGACUGUUCUUGUGUUCAUCGACAUACGGGGUCCCCAAGGUAGAGUUCUGUAGAACUGUGUAGUGUGCUUGAGACCAAGAAUAUCCGUCCCUGCAUAUUAUUGAGUCUCUUCCAAGAGUGCCUUUUCCAGUCAGUCUCCCCUCAUACCGCGAUUUAGGGAGACCUAUCUUGUUAAGGCCAGGAAUGAAGUCAACACAAAACCCGAUAACAUCCUCUGUUUGAUGGCCCAUGGAGAUGCUUCCUUCUGGCCUAGCGCGGUUACGGACAUAUUUCUUUAGGACUCCCAUGAACCUCUCAAAGGGGAACAUAUUGUGUAGAAAUACGGGCCCCAGGAUGACAAUCUCGUCGACUAGAUGAACUAGGACGUGCGUCAUGAUAUUGAAGAAGGAUUGUGGGAACACCAGCUCGAAACUGACAAGACAUUGCGCCACAUCACUCCUUAGCCUUGGUACCAUUUCUGGAUCGAUCACCUUCUAAGAGAUUGCAUUGAGGAAUGCACAUAGCUUCACAAUGGCUAAUCGGACGUUUUCCGGUAAAAGCCCCCUCAAUGCAACCAGAAGCAGUUGCGUCAUAAUCACGUGGCAGUCAUGAGACUUUAGGUUCUGAAACUUUUUCUCUGGCAUAUUUAUUAUUCCCUUUAUAUUCGAUGAGAAGCCAGUCAUGACCUUCAUACUAAGCAGGCAUUCAAAGAAGAUUUCUUUCUCUUCUUUCGUAAGAGUGUAGCUGGCAGGACCUUUAUACUGCUUCGGAGGCAUGUCAUCUUUUUUGUGCAAACGUUGCAGGUCCUCCCAUGCCUCCGGCGUAUCUUUUGUCUUCCCAUACACGCCCAAGAAGCCUAGCAGGUUCACGCAAAGGUUCUUCGUCACGUGCAUCACGUUGAUUGAGGAGCGGACCUCUAGGUCUUUCCAGUAGGGUAGGUCCCAAAAUAUAGAUUUCUUCUUCCACAUGGGUGUGUGUCCCUCAGCGUCAUUCGGAACAGCUAGUCCACCGGGACCCUUUCCAAAGAUGACGUAGGGUAAAUCAUUGACCAUAGCAAGCACGUGAUCACCGGUGCGCAUGGCGGGCUUCUUUCGGUGAUCUGCCUCGCCUUUGAAAUGCUUGCCUUUCUUUCGACAUUGAUGGUUGGUCGGAAGAAAUCGACGAUGGCCCAGGUGCACAUUCUUCCUGCAUUUGUCCAGGUAUAUACUUUCAGUGUCAUCUAAACAGUGCGUGCAUGCGUGGUAUCCUUUGUUUGUCUGUCCUGAAAGGUUACUGAGAGCGGGCCAAUCGUUGAUGGUCACGAACAGCAACGCCUUAAGGUUAAAUUCCUCCUGUCUGUGCUCAUCCCACGUACGUACACCAUUUUCAUUCCACAGCUGUAAAAGUUCUUCAACUAAUGGACUUAGGUACACAUCAAUUUCGUUGCCGGGUUGCUUAGGGCCUUGGAUGAGAACUGGCAUCAUAAUGAACUUCCGCUUCAUGCACAUCCAAGGAGGAAGGUUAUACAUACAUAGAGUCGCGGGCCAGGUGCUGUGAUUACUGCUCUGCUCCCCGAAAGGAUUAAUGCCAUCCGCGCUUAAAGCAAACCAUACAUUCCUAGGGUCCUUUGCAAACUCAUCCCAGUACUUUCUCUCGAUUUUUCUCCACUGCGACCCGUCAGCGGGUGCUCUCAACUUCCCAUCUUUCUUUCGUUUCUCACUGUGCCAUCGCAUCAACUUGGCAUGCUCUUCGUUUCUGAACAGACGUUUCAACCGUGGUAUUAUAGGAGCAUACCACAUCACCUUUGCAGGGACCCUCUUCCUGAGGGGCUCGCCGUCAACAUCACCGGGGUCAUCUCGUCUGAUCUUAUACCGCAACGCACCGCAUACCGGGCAUGCGUUCAGAUCCUUGUAUGCACCGCGGUAGAGGAUGCAGUCAUUAGGGCAUGCAUGUAUCUUCUCCACCUCCAAUCCUAGAGGGCAUACGACCUUCUUUGCUGCGUAUGUACUGUCGGGCAAUUCGUUAUCCUUUGGAAGCUUCUUCUUCAAUAUUUUCAGUAGCUUCUCAAAUCCUUUGUCAGCCACAGCAUUCUCUGCCUUCCACUGCAGCAAUUCUAGUACGGUACUGAGCUUUGUGUUGCCAUCUUCGCAAUUGGGGUAUAACCCUUUUUUGUGAUCCUCUAACAUGCGAUCGAACUUCAGCUUCUCCUUUUGACUAAUGCAUUGCGUCCUUGCAUCGACAAUGACCCGGCGGAGAUCAUCAUCAUCGGGCACAUCGUCUGGUUCCUCUUGAUCUUCAGCAGCUUCACCUGUGGCAGCAUCAUUGGGCACAUCAUCAUCUGGUUCCUCUUGAUCUUCACCAGCUCCCCCCGUUGCAGCAUCACCGUAUUCAGGGGGCACAUAGUUGUCAUCGUACUCUUCUUCUUCGCCGUCUUCCAUCAUAACCCCUAUUUCUCCGUGCCUCGUCCAAACAUUAUAGUGUGGCAUGAAACCCUUGUAAAGCAGGUGGGAGUGAAGGAUUUUCCGGUUAGAGUAAGACCUCGUAUUCCCACAUUCAGUGCAUGGACAACACAUAAAACCAUUCUGCUUGUUUUCCUCAGCCGCAUCGAGAAACUCAUGCACACCCUUAAUGUACUCGCGGGUGUGUCUGUCACCGUACAUCCAUUGCCGGUUCAUCUGCGUGCAUUAUAUAUAAUUAAGUGUCCAAAUUAAUAGAAGUUCAUCAUCACAUUAAAACCAAAGUGCAUACAUAGUUCUCAUCUAACAACAUAUAGCUCUCCAGAGCAUCUAAUUAAUUAAACCAUACAUUGAAACUAUGUAAAACAUUUCAAUGCGAAAACAAAUGCGAUCAUAAUCGCAACCAAGGUAACAAUUGAUCCAACGGCAUAAUGAUACCAAGCCUCGGUAUGAAUGGCAUAUUUUCUAAUCUUUCUAAUCUUCAAGCGCAUUGCAUCCAUCUUGAUCUUGUGAUCAUCGACGACAUCCGCAACAUGCAACUCCAAUAUCAUCUUCUCCUCCUCAAUUUUUUUUAUUUUUUCCUUCAACAAAUUGUUUUCUUCUUCAACUAAAUUUAACCUCUCGACAAUAGGGUCGGUUGGCAUUUCCGAUUCACAUACAUCCUAGAUAAAUAAAAUCUAUGUCACGUUGGUCAGCAUAAUUUUCAUAAACAAUAAAUGAACCAAUAGUUAUAAAGAUAAUAUACAUACCACAUCCGAAUCAUAGACAGGACGAGGGCCGACGGGGGCGGAUACCAAAACCAUCGCACUAUAUAAGAUGCAAUAAUAAAUGUAAGAAAAUGAUACAAGUAUCUAUCUAAACAUACAAGUAAGAAUAUUUUUCCUUUCAGAAAGAAGAUAAGAACAAGAGGCUCACCACGGUGGUGUCGGUGAUGAGAUCGGCGCGGGUGAUCGACGGCAGUGAAGACGGGGACGGGGCGUGACGGACCGCUAAAUCUAGACAAAUCUCGAGGAAAAUGGAGCUUGGAGGUCGAGCUUCGAGAGGAGAAAGCUUAAGUAGUGUGGCUCGGGCAUUCCAUCGAACACCUCAUGUGCAUAGGAGGUGAGCUAGAGCACCACAAAGCCCUCUCCCCCUCGGCCAGAGAAAACAGAGCACUGGGGUGCUCUGCUCACGAGCGAGGGGUAUAUAUAGGCACCUCAUUGGUCCCGGUUGGUGGCAUGAGCCGGGACUAAAGGGAAGCCUUUGGUCCCGGUUCGGGCCACCAACCGGGACCAAUGAUGGUGGGCCAGGAGGGAGGCCCAUUGGUCCCGGUUCGUCCCACCAACCGGGACCAAAAGGUCCAUACGAACCAGGACCAAUGGCCCACGUGGCCCGGCCGGCCCCCUGGGCUCACGAACCGGGACCAAUUCCCACAUUGGUCCCGGUUCAAGACUGAACCGGGACUAAUGGGCUGAGGCGGCCUGGACCAUAGCCCCUUUUUCUACUAGUGCUUAUGGAAAUUAUAAUAAGAUGCCCUCUAAUUUUGAGAAUAGUGUUAAAUAAUUUAUGAGUUCGCAAAAGAAUUUCAAUGCUUUGAUUGAAGAAAAAUUGCUUAAGAUUGGUGAUUUGGCUAGGAACGUGGAUAGAACUACCCUUGAUGUCGAUUCUUUGAAACUUAGAUCUAUUUCACAUAAGCAUGAUAUCAAUGAGUCUCUCAAGGCUAUGAGAAUUCCCAUUGAUGAGUGCAAGGAAAGAACCGCUAAGAUGCGUGCUAAAAAAGAUUGGUUUAUAAAAGCGUGUUCUUCUAGCUAGUUUCCGUGAAAAUAAUGAUGAAGAUCUUAAAGUGAUUGAUGUGACUCCUAUUGAAUUUUUGUUUUCCAAUAUAAAUCUUGAGAAAGAUGGGACUGGAUAUGAGUCAACUUUAGUUAGAAGGCGUCCCAAUGAUUCGGAGUUUUUAGAUAUUAAUGCAAAAAUUGAUAAAAGUGGGAUUGGAGAGGUUAAAACUUUAGGUAGUAAUGAACCCACUCUUUUGGAUUUCAAGGAAUUUAAUUAUAAUAAUUUCUCUUUAAUAGAUUGUAUUUCCUUGUUGCAAUCCAUGUUGAAUUUUCCUCAUGCUUAUAAUCAAAACAAAGCUUUUACUAAACAUAUCAUUGAUGCUAUGAUGCAAUCCUUUGAAGAAAAGCUUGAAUUGGAAGUUUCUAUUCCUACACUAGUAGACAAAGGGUCAAACAUGAAGCACAUUAGUGCCGGUUUGAAUUUGAGCCGGCACUAAUGUGUGCAUUAGUGCCGGUUCCAACGGCUAGCCGGCCGCUCUCAUUAGUACCGGUUCAUGGCGAACCUUUAGCACCGGUUCGUGCCACGAACCGGUACUAAAGUGAGUGGUGGCAGGAUGUUGUCACUCCGGGGCCCCUCCAGCACCUUUAGUACCGGGUCGUAUCACGAACCGGUCCUAAAGGCCGUCCUACAUAGACCCUUCGUCCACCCGAGCUCGCUCUGUUCUUCCCCUUUCCCCUCUCCUCUUUGUACUUUUCCCUCUUCCUCUCAAUCUCAUCACACAUUUUGCCCAAAAUUUGUCAAGAUUUGAAGGCCCCCAUCCAUUCAAAUGAUCACAAAGGUUAGCAACUUUUUCCUUUCAUCUCUCAUUGCUAGAUUAGCUCGUGCAAUGCUUUAUAUAGUGAUUGAUUUUUGAGUUUAGUAAUUUGGGAGGAAUUAUAUAUAUGUGCUAGUAUUUGAUUUAUAUGCAAUUUUAGGUCAAAAAUAACACUUAGUUUGCAUAUGUAGGUGUGGUUUACGUAGUACCUUCUAAAUCUCCGUCGUAACCACCGUCGAUCGCUCGCAACGUCCCGUCACCAGCACCACCUUUUGGUGAGCCUCUUGUUCAUGAAGUUUUAUAUAAAAAAUUGAUGUUUGUGUGAUUUGGAUAUAUAGUUACUCGUAUAAUUAUCUUACCCAUACGUUGUUUGUUAUACAUAGUGCCAUGGUUUUGAUAUCCGUCCCCGUUGGCCCUCGUCCGGGUUAUGAUUCGGAUGUGGUAUAUUCUAUUUUAAAACUAUUCAUUGCAUUUCGUGUUUAUGACAAAUUAUGCCCAUCAAGUUGACAUAGAUAUUUGUAUGUAGGAGGUAGUUGAAACGGAAAUUCCAACCGACCCUAUUGUCGAGAGGUUAAAUUUAGUUGAAAGAGAAAACGAGGAUUUGAAGGAAAAAUUGAAAAGAAUUGAGGGGGAGAAGAUGGAAUUGGAGUUGCAUGUUGCCGAUGUCGUCGAUGAUCACAAGAUUAAGAUGGAGAAAAUGCGCUUGAAGAUUAGAAAGAUUAGAAAAUAUGCCAUUCAUAGUGAGGCUUGGUAGCAUUAUGCUGUUGGAUCAAUUGUUACCUUAGUUGCGAUCUUGAUCGCAUUUGUUGUUGCAUUUAAAUUCUUUAGCUAGGGACUUAUUUGUUUGUUGCAUUUAAGUGUUGUAUGAUCUUUAUGUAUGAACCUUAUGUAUUGUAUUAAUUUGAUGUUUUCGGUGUUGUGUAUUGAAGAUGAGCCGGCAAUGGAUGUACGAUGACUGAUGCUCUCCCAAGUUCAUUAAUGGCGUGCGUACUUUUCUGCUUGCGGCUGAGGCAAACAAGCGAGCGGAUGGUUGUAUGCCUUGUCCAUGUGCUGGCUGUAAGAAUGGUCACAGUUACUCUACGUCAAGAACCAUUCACGUCCACCUGUUUGAGUCUGGUUUCAUGCCCCACUAUAAUGUUUGGACCAAGCAUGGAGAAAGAGGGGUUAUGAUGGAAGACAAUGAAGAAGAAGAGGACGACGAAAGCUAUCCUGGCCAUGGGUUCCCUGAAUACGGUGAUACAACAAUGAGGGAAGAAGCUGAGCCGGUAAUGCGGGAAGAAGCUGAGCCGGCAAUGCGGGAAGAAGCUGAACAAGAGGCACGGAUGAGCCCGUUGAUGAUCUAGGUCGGGCCAUUGCCGAUGCAAAGAGAAACCGCGCUAGUGAUUUGGAGAAGAAGAAGUUGCAGCGCAUGUUAGAGGAUCACAAAAAUUGUUGUACCCGAAUUGCGUAGGUGACAAGAAAAAGCUAGGCACCACACUGGAAUUGCUGCAAUGGAAGGCAAAGAAUGGUGUAUCUGACAUGGGAUUUGGAAAGUUGCUGGUAAUGAUAAAGGAUAUGCUUCCAAAGGACAACAAAUUGCUCGAGAGUACGUACGAAGCAAAGAAGAUUGUCUGCCCUCUAGGGUUAGAGGUGCAGAUGAUACAUGCAUGCCCUAAUGAUUGCAUCCCCUACCACGGUGAGUAUGAGGAUUUGAAAGCUUGCCCGGUAUGAGGUGCAUUGCGCUAUAAGAUCAGCCACGAUGACCAUGGUGAUGUCGAGGGCGAGCGCCCCAGGAAGAAGAUACCUGCCAAGGUGAUGUGGUAUGCUCCUAUAAUACCAUGGCUGAAACGUUUGUUCCAAAACAAUGAGCAUGCCAAGGCGAUGUGAUGGCACAGAGAAGACCGUAAGAAAGACGGAAAGUUGAGAGUACCCGCUGACGGGUCGCAGUGGAGAAAAAUCGAAAGAAAGUACGGGAAGGAGUUUGCAGAUGACGCAAGGAACGUAUGGUUUGGUCUAAGCGCAGAUGGCAUUAAUCCUUUUGGGGAGCAGAGCAGCAACCAUAGCACCUGGCCUGUGACUCUAUGUUUGUAUAACCUUCCUCCUUGGUUGUGCAUGAAGCGGAAGUUCAUUAUGAUGCCAGUGCUCAUCCAAGGCCCUAAGUGUCAGGACCCCGAUUCCAAGUCACAUCGUUCUAGCCGGUAACACCUCAUAUCACUUUGCGGCCUCAUGCACGGUAUCCCACAGGUGUCGCCUUACCAUGGCCCGGGACCGUUUGCGCCUUUUGGCUCACGUAUAUGAUAGUGUCGCUAGCAUCCAUAUGACAGAGAACCCGGGCCGACAUGGCUAGUCGUGAACCCAAAGCGGCACAGACCUAUGGAGACAGGCAUACAUGAAUCACAUCAAGCAUGUCAGUCAUCAGUGAGUGAAUCCGGGCUGUAGCACUGGGCUAACAGGACUCCGGGGAACCCGGGCUGUAGCAGGCUAGGCAGGACUCCGGAUGUCACCGCGUGACAUUUCCCCGAAGGGACAGACAUAGGAACGACGUGAAACACAUGCCGGCCAGUCAAGUGUCCUGAGCAGUAGUGCUGGGCUAGCAGGACUCCGGUGAACCGGGCUGUAGCGGACUACUAUGGCUCGAGGAACACUAGACUACGUUUCCCCAUAAGAAAGGCUGCCAAGGAUAAACAACUAGAUUGUCGGAUCCCACUCAUACCAAGCAUUUCAAUCAUACACACAAUAUGCCCGAUAUGAGUACAUACAACAUGGCAUCACAAGAAAACUCUACAACUCAAAUACUUUAUUUAAAGGCUCCAGAGAGCCAUACAUAACAUGUUCAUACAGAUAGGGGUCACAUGACCCGACACUCAAGUCAUACAAUCAUACAAGCACAAGCGGAAGCAACUAGUCUGAGUACAGACACUAGAAAGAAAGAAGGCUUCUCGAAGCCUGUCUAUCUACAUAGGUCUCUCCAUGGCCAGGAUCACCACCUGGGUGGCUAGUCACUCGUCGACGUCAAGGUCUACGUAGAACCCAUCGGAGGGGCGGUGUUGUCAUCUGAAAACCGUAAUUAAGCAAACAUGAGUACAAAGGUACUCAGCAAGUCUUACAACAUAACCUACUAUAAAUGCUCAUUCUCAAGAAGGUGGUGGGGUUAUUGCAGCAAGCCAGCUUUGACUCUUGGCUAAGCUAUCCUACGGAACUCCACUAGUAAAAUAGUUUUCGCACACGAGUCCACUACUCACCAACAUAAUACUCCACCGGGGAUCCUCUCUCGUCAUCCUACGAGAGGGCCAUCCUCGGUACUCACACUUAUCUUGAGUCUUUUAGUAAUAACCAUUAACUUGUCUAUGAACUGUAUAGGCAACCAGGUAGUCCUUUACCGCGGACGCGGCUAUUCGAAUAGUUUUAUACCCUGCAGGGGUGUACUUCCUCAUACACGCUUUCACCACUUACCGCCGUUUACACGACAUGUACUCGGCAACCUUCAAGCCUUGGCCCAACGAGGGUGUCGGCCACGGCCUACCUAAACACUCAAAUCUCUAGUCCAGGUGCAUCGCCUAUCCAAGUUCCAUCCGCAGGGAGUCCGGCCGAGGUUUCCACAUACGGCCCCGAACGAUGUGAACAGGGUUCCCGAGACACCAAACAGGUGACUCGGUACACCGUGCCACGGUGUAUCUACCGCAACAUAGCCCACCCCUAGGGUCAGUGCUACGCACGGCCGCCAACACAUAACCUACAAACACCAGAAACUAUUUGCAACUCCUGGACAGAGUACUAGGGUAUUUAAGAAGCCGAGAGGGUCAAUUAAGGAUCCCAAUGCAUGGUAGUAGCUGAAUCUUAAAAUCACACAUACAGAUCUCAGUUCUUAGGGACGGCCUCAAUAAAACAACCCACCAUGUACUCCUACAUGGCCUCUCAUCGAUACCUUUACCAAAUCAUGUUCAUCACAUCCCUCACAUUACCGAUAUAACCAUUUCACUCUAGCCCAUCACCCAGAUGGACCAGACCUGACACAACUCUAAGCAUAGCAGGCAUAGCAAGGUAGGAAACACAUACCUGGCUCAAUCAACUCCUACACAUGCUAGUGGGUUUCAUCUAGUUACUGUGGCAAUGACAGGUCAUGCAGAGGAAAAGGGUUCAACUACCGUAGCACACAACAAUUUGAAUCGCGUUGUCUUAAUGCAGUAAACAAGAGCAGAAGCGAGAACAUGGGUUUGUAUCAGAAUGAUCAAUGGUUGUUUGCCUGUUGUAGUGGUAGUAGGGUACUGCCCUUCAGACGGAUACUCGGGGUUAUCCUCGGAGGCAGAACCUACCACGAAAGAUACACCGAACAUAAUCAACACAUGACAAUAUGCAACGGUAUGAUGCAUGCUAUGACAUGGCAAAAUGAAUGUGUCUUGGCCUAAUGCAAGCUGAAACAGGAUGGAAUGAACUCAUUUGAAUCAAAGAUUCAAAUGUUAGCUCAUUUAACAUGGCCUUAUUAGUGCAUUAUCUUAUUCUGCUUAAAUAGCAAGGUUAACUUGUUUUGUCAUGCAUGAAACCAUUACAGAUGGACAGAUUGAAUUUUUUUGAUCAUUUUUCAUAUAUAAAUCUUUGCAUUUGGAGCUAUGGUUGAUUUUCUAAGAUUUUUAGAAGUUUUGGCUAUUUACUGGAAUUUCCUAUUAAAGAAUAAAUCCAGUAAUUGAAUUAAUGCGUCAGCAUGACAUAGGUGUGAUGUCAGCGGGUCAACUGGGUUGGCCAGGUCAAACCUGACUGGCGGGCCCUGUCUGUCAGUGACUCAGCUAAUUAACAGAGUUAAAUUAACUCUAAUUAACUAAAAGUGGGGCCUGGGCCCACAUGUCAGUGACUGAACUAAUUAAAUUUAGUUAAAACAAAUCCUAAACUAAUCAGCAGGCCGGCCCCACCUGUCAUAGACUAACCUGGGCCCACACGGGGGUCAAACAGGGUAAACUCGCCGGCGUCUAGCCGCCGGCGAGGCCAGACGCGGCGGAGCAGUGCGGGAUUUGCACUCUGGCGACCAAAUGGGCGGCGGAGACUAUCUACGUGAUGCGGGGAGGAAGCCGCCUUUGGAAAUAUGCCCUAGAGGCAAUAAUAAAUUGAUUAUUACUAUAUUUCCUUGUUCAUGAUAAUCGUUUAUUAUCCAUGCUAGAAUUGUAUUGAUAGGAAACUCAGAUACAUGUGUGGAUACAUAGACAACACCAUGUCCCUAGUAAGCCUCUAGUUGACUAGCUCGUUGAUCAAUAGAUGGUUACAGUUUCCUGACCAUGGACAUUGGAUGUCAUUGAUAACGGGAUCACAUCAUUAGGAGAAUGAUGUGAUGGACAAGAACCAAUCCUAAGCCUAGCACAAGAUCAUGUAGUUCGUAUGCUAAAGCUUUUCUAAUGUCAAGUAUCAUUUCCUUAGACCAUGAGAUUGUGCAACUCCCGGAUACCGUGGGAGUGCUUUGAGUGUGCGAAACGUCACAACGUAACUGGGUGGCUAUAAAGGUACACUACAGGUAUCUCCAAAAGUGUCUAUUGGGUUGGCACGAAUCGAGACUGGGAUUUGUCACUCCGUGUAAACGGAGAGGUAUCUCUGGGCCCACUCGGUAGGACAUCAUCAUAAUGUGCACAAUGUGACCAAGGAGUUGAUCACGGGAUGAUGUGUUACGGAACGAGUAAAGAGACUUGCCGGUAACAAGAUUGAACAAGGUAUCGGCAUACCGACGAUCGAAUCUCGGGCAAGUAUCGUACCGAUGGACAAAGGGAAUUGCAUACGGGGUUGAUUAAGUCCUUGACAUCGUGGUUCAUCCGAUGAGAUCAUCGUGGAACAUGUGGGAGCCAACAUGGGUAUCCAGAUCCCGCUGUUGGUUAUUGAUCGGAGAGUCAUCUCGGUCAUGUCUGCAUGUCUCCUGAACCCGUAGGGUCUACACACUUAAGGUUCGAUGACGCUAGGGUUAUAAAGGAAGUUUGUAUGUGGUUACCGAAUGUUGUUCGGAGUCCCGGAUGAGAUCCCGAACGUCAUGAAGAGUUCCGGAAUGGUCCGGAGGUAAAGAUUUAUAUAUGGGAAGUCCUGUUUUGGUCACCGGAAAAGUUUCGGGUUUUAUCGGUAACGUACCGGGACCACCGGGAGGGUCCCGGGGGUCCACCAAGUGGGGCCACAAGCCCCGGAGGGCUGCAUGGGCCAAGUGUGGGAGGGGACCAGCCCCAGGUGGGCUGGUGCGGCCCCCCACCAAGGCCCAAGGCGCAAGGAAGAGGGGAAGGGGGCAAACCCUAGGGCAGAUGGGCCCUAAGGCCCACCCUGGUGCGCCUCCCCCUCUCCCCUCCCCUUGGCCGCCCCUAGAUGGGAUCUAGGGGGCUGCCGCCACCCCUAGGGAGGGAACCCUAGGUGGGGGCGCAACCCAUCCCCUCCCCCUAUAUAUAGUUGAGGUUUGGGCUGCCCAAUACACAUGAGUUCCUCUCUUUCUUGGCACAGCCCUAUCCCUCUCUUUCUCCUCAUAUCUCGCAGUGCUUGGUGAAGCCCUGCUGGAUCACCAUGCUCCGCCAUCACUACCACGCCGUUGUGCUGCUGUUGGAUGGAGUCUUCCUCAACCUCUCCCUCUCUCCUUGCUGGAUCAAGGCAUGGGAGACAUCGUCGGGCUGUACGUGUGUUGAACGCGGAGGUGCCGUCCGUUCGGCACUAGGAUCUCCGGUGAUUUGGAUCACAACGAGUACGACUCCUUCAACCCCGUUCUCUUGAACGCUUCCACUUAGCGAUCUACAAGGGUAUGUAGAUGCACUCUCCUUCCCCUCGUUGCUGGUUUCUCCAUAGAUAGAUCUUGGUGACACGUAGGAAACUUUUGAAUUUCUGCUACGUUCCCCAAUAGUGGCAUCAUGAGCUAGGUCUAUUGCGUAGAUUCUAUGCACGAGUAGAACACAAAGUAGUUGUGGGCGUUGAUUUUGUUCAAUAUGCUUACCGUUACUAGUCCAAUCUUGUUUCGACGGUAUUGUGGGAUGAAGCGGCCCGGACCGACCUUACACGUACUCUUACGUGAGACAGGUUCCACCGACUGACAUGCACUAGUUGCAUAAGGUGACUAGCGGGUGCCAGUCUCUCCCACUUUAGUCAGAACGGAUUCGAUGAAAAGGGUCGUUAUGAAGGGUAAAUAGCAAUUGGCAUAUCACGUUGUAUUUUUGCGUAGGUAAGAAACGUUCUUGCUAGAAACCCAUAGCAGCCACGUAAAACAUGCAAACAACAAUUAGAGGACGUCUAACUUGUUUUUGCAGGGUAUGCUAUGUGAUGUGAUAUGGCCAAGAAGAAUGUGAUGAAUGAUAUGUGAUGUAUGAGAUUGACCAUGUUCUUGUAAUAGGAAUCAUGACUUGCAUGUCGAUGAGUAUGACAACCGGCAGGAGCCAUAGGAGUUGUCUUUAUUUAUUGUAUGACCUACGUGUCAUUGAACAACGCCAUGUAAUUACUUUACUUUAUUGCUAACUGGUAGCCAUAGUGGUAGAAGUAAUAAGUUGGCGAGACAACUUCAUGGAGACACAAUGAUGGAGAUCAUGGUGUCAUGCCGGUGACGAUGAUGAUCAUGGAGCCCCGAAGAUGGAGAUCAAAAGGAGCAAUAUGAUAUUGGCCAUAUCAUGUCACUAUUUGAUUGCAUGUGAUGUUUAUAAUGUUUAUACAUCUUAUUUGCUUAGAAUGACGGUAGUAAAUAAGAUGAUCCCUCAUUAAAAUUUCAAGAAAGUGUUCCCCCUAACUGUGCACCGUUGCGAAAGUUCGUCCUUUUGAAGCACCACGUGAUGAUCGGGUGUGAUAGAUUCUUACGUUCGAAUACAACGGGUGUUGACGAGCCUAGCAUGUACAGACAUGGCCUCGGAACACAUGCAAAACACUUAGGUUGACUUGACGAGCCUAGCAUGUACAGACAUGGCCUCGGAACACAAGAGACCGAAAGGUCGAGCAUGAGUCGUAUGGUAGAUACGAUCAACAUGAAGAUGUUCACCGAUGUUGACUAGUCCGUCUCACGUGAUGAUCGGACACGGCCUAGUUGACUCGGAUCAUGUAAUCACUUAGAUGACUAGAGGGAUGUCUAUCUGAGUGGGAGUUCAUAAGAUGAACUUAAUUAUCCUGAACAUAGUCAAAAGGACUUUGCAAAUUAUGUCGUAGCUCACGCUAUAGUUCUACUGUUUAGAUAUGUUCCUAGAGAAAAUUUAGUUGAAAGUUGAUAGUAGCAAUUAUGCGGACUAGGUCCGUAAACUGAGGAUUGUCCUCAUUGCUUCAUAGAAGGUUUAUGUCCUUAAUGCACCGCUCAGUGUGCUGAACCUCGAACGUCGUCUGUGGAUGUUGCGAACAUCUGACAUACACAUUUUGAUAACUACGUGAUAGUUCAGUUAAACGGUUUAGAGUUGAGGCACCGAAGACGUUUUGAAACGUCACGAAACAUAUGAGAUGUUUCGAGGGCUGAAAUUGGGAUUUCAGGAUCGUGCCCACAUCAAGAGGUAUAAGACCUCCGACGAUUUUUCUUAGCCUGCAAACUAAGGGAGAAAAGCUCAACUGUUGAGCUUGUGCUCAGAUUGUCUGAGUACAACAAUCAUUUGAAUCGAGUGGGAGUUGAUCUUCCAGAUGAGAUAGUGAUGUUUCUCCGAAGUCAUUACCACCAAGCUGCUAGAGCUUCGUGAUGAACUAUAAUAUAUCAGGGACAUAUAUGAUGAUCCUUGAGAUAUUCGCGAUGUUUGACACCACAAAAGUAGAAAUCAAGAAGGAGCAUCAAUUGUUGAUGGUUGGUGAAACCACUAGUUUCAAGAAGGGCAAGGGCAAGAAGGGAUACUUCAUGAAAUGGCAAUUCAGCUGCUGCUCUAGUGAAGAAACCCAAGGUUGAACCCAAACCCGAGACUAAGUGCUUCUGUAAUAAGGGAAACAACCACUGGAGCAGAAUUACCCUAGAUACUUGGUAGAUGAGAAGGCUGGCAAAGUCGAUAGAAGUAUAUUGGAUAUACAUUGUGUUAAUGUGUACUUUACUAGUACUCCUAGUAGCACCAUGGUAUUAGAUACCGGUUCGGAUGCUAAAUGUUAGUAAACUCGAAAUAAAAGGCUGCAGAGUAAACGGAGACUAGCCAAAGGUGAGCUGGCAAAAUGUGUUGGAAGUUUUUCCAAGCUUGAUGUCAUCAAGCAUCGCACGCUCCCUCUACCAUCGAGAUCGGUGUUUGCGUUGAGCAUAGACAUGAUUGGAUUAUGUCUAUCGCAAUACGGUUAUUCAUUUAAGGAGAAUAAUGGUUACUCUGUUUAUUUGAAUAAUACCUUCAAUGGUCUUGCACCUAAAAUGAAUGGUUUAUUGAAUCUCGAUCGUAGUGAUACACAUGUUCAUGCCAGAAGAUAUAAGAUAGUAAUGAUAGUACCACCUACUUGUGGCACUGCCAUGUAAGUCAUAUCGGUAUAAAACGCAUGAAGAAGCUCCAUGUUGAUGGAUCUUUGGGCUCACUCGUUUUUGAAAAGUUUGAGACAUGCGAACCAUGUCUAUUGGUGUAUAUGCAUGAAGAAACUCCAUGCAAAUGGACCGUUUGGACUCACUCGAUUUUGAAUCACUUGAGACAUGCAAAUCAUACCACAUGGGCAAGAUGACUGAAAGCCUCGUUUUCAGUAAAAUGGAACUAGAAAGAAACUUGUUGGAAGUAAUACAUUUUGAUGUGUGCAGUCCAAUGAGUGCUGAGGCAUGUAGUGGAUUUCAUUAUGUUCUUACUUCACAGAUGAUUUGAGUAGAUACUGAGUAUAUUUACUUGAUGAAACAUAAGUCUGAAUUAUUGAAAGGUUCAAGUAAUUUCAGAGUGAAGUUGAACAUCGUCGUGACAAGAGGAUAAAAUGUCUAUGAUAUGAUCGUAGAGAUGAAUAUCUGAAUUACGAGUUUGGCACAAAAUUAAGACAUUAUGGAAAUUGUUUCACAACUAAUACAGUCUGGAACACCACAGUGUGAUGGUGUGUCCGAAUAUCAUAACUGCACCCUAUUGGAUAUGAUGCAUACCAUGAUGUCUCUUAUCAAAUUACCACGAUAGUUUAUGGGUUAGGCAUUAGAGACAACCACAUUCACUUUAAAUAGGGCACCACGUAAUUCCGAUGAGAUGACACCGUAUGAACUAUGGUUUAGAGAAACCUAAGCUGUCAUUUCUUAAAAGUUUGGGGCUGCGACGCUUAUGUGAAAAAGUUUUAGGCUGAUAAGCUCGAACCCAAAGCGGAUAAAUGCAUCUUCAUAGGACACCCAAAAUAGUUGGGUAUACCUCCUGUCUCAGAUCCGAAAGCAAUAAGGGAUUGUUUCUAGAAUCGAGUCCUUUCUCGAGGAAAGGUUUCUCUCGAAAGAAUUGAGUGUGAUGAUGGUGGAGAUUUGAUGAGGUUAUUGAACUGUCUCUUCAACUAGUGUGUGGCAGGGCACAGGGAGUUGUUCCUGUGGCACCUACACCAAUUGAAGUGGAAGCUUAUGAUAGUGAUCAUGAAACUUCAGAUCAAGUCACUACCAAACCUCGUGGGAUGACAAGGAUGCGUACUACUUCAGAGUGGUACGUAAUCCUAUCUUGGAAGUCAUGUUGCUAGACAACAAUGAACCUACAAGCUAUGGAGAAGCAAUGGUGGGCCUGGAUUCCAAAAUGGCUCGAAGCCAUAUAAUCCGAGAGAGGAUCCAUCUAUGAAAACAAAGUGUAGACUUUGGAAGAACUACUUGAUGGUCGUAAGGCUGUUAGGUACAUAGGGAUUUUAAAAGGAAGACGGACAAUGAUAGUAAGUAUCACCAUUAAGAAAGCUUGACUUGUCGUUAAGAUGUUUUCCGACAAGUUCAAGGAGUUGACUACGAUGAGACUUUCUCACUCGUAGCGAUGCUAAGAGUCUGUUGGAAUUAUAUUAGCGAUUACUGCAUUAUUUAUGAAAUCUUGCAGAUAGGAUAUCAAAACAUUGUUUCCUCGAUGUUUUUUUGAGGAAAGGUUGUAUGUGAUACAACCAGAAGGUUUUGUCAAUCCUGAAAGAUGCUAACAAGUAUGCAAAGCUCCAGCAAUCCUUCUAAGGACUGGAGUAAGCAUCUCGGAGUUGGAAUGUAUGCUUUGAUGAGAUGAUCAAAGUUUUGGGUGUAUACAAAGUUUAUGAGAAACUUGUAUUUCCAAAGAAGUGAGUGGGAGCACUAUAGAAUUUCUGAUGAGUAUAUGUUGUUAACAUAUUGUUGAUCGGAAAUGAUGUAGAAUUUCUGGAAAGCAUGCAGAGUUAUUUGAAAAGUGUUUUUCAAUGGAAAGCCUGGAUUAAGCUACUUGAACAUUGAGCAUGAAGAUCUAUAAGGAUAGAUCAAAACGCUUAAUGGUAAUUUCAAAUGAGCACAUACCUUGACAUGAUCUUGAAGGUGUUCAAGAUGGAUCAGUCAAAGAAGGAGUUCUUGCCUGAGUUGUAAGGUAUGAAGUUAAGACUUAAAGCUCGACCACGGAAGAAGAAAGAGGAAGGACGAAGGUCGUCCCCUAUGCUUUUGUCAUAGGCUCUCUACAGUAUGCUAUGUUGUGUGCCGCACUUGAAGUGUGCCUUGCCAUGAGUCAGUCAAGGGGUACAAGAGUGAUCCAAGAAUGGAUCACAAGACAACGGUCAAAGUUAUCCUUAGUAACUAGUGGACUAAGGAAUUUUCUCGAUUAUGGAGGUGGUAAAAGAGUUCGUCGUAAAGGGUUACGCCGAUGCAAACUUUGACACUAAUCUAGAUUAUUCUGAGUAGUAGACUGGAUUCGUAUAGUAGAACAGUUAUUUGGAAUAGCUCCAAAUAGAACGUGGUAGCUGCAUCUAGGAGAUGACAUAGAGAUUUGUAAAGCACACACGGAUCUGAAAGAUUCAGACCCGUUGACUAUAACAUCUCUCACAAGCAUAACAUGAUCAAACCCAGAACUCAUCGAGUGUUAAUCACAUGGUAAUGUGAACUAGAUUAUUGACUCUAGUAAACUCUUUGGGUGUUAGUCACAUGGGGAUGUGACCUUGAGUGUUUAUCACAUAUCGAUGUGAACUGGAUUAUUGACUCUAGUGCAAGUGGGAGACUGUUGGAAAUAUGCCCUAGAGGAAAUAAUAAAUUUAUUAUUAUUAUAUUUCCUUGUUCAUGAUAAUCGUUUAUUAUCCAUGCUAGAAUUGUAUUGAUAGGAAACUCAGAUACAUGUGUGGAUACAUAGACAACACCAUGUCCCUAGUAAGCCUCUAGUUGACUAGCUCGUUGAUCAAUAGAUGGUUACAGUUUCCUAACCAUGGACAUUGGAUGUCAUUGAUAACGGGAUCACAUCAUUAGGAGAAUGAUGUGAUGGACAAGACCCAAUCCUAAGCCUAGCACAAGAUCAUGUAGUUCGUAUGCUAAAGCUUUUCUAAUGUCAAGUAUCAUUUCCUUAGACCAUGAGAUUGUGCAACUCUCGGAUACCGUAGGAGUGCUUUGGGUGUGCCAAAUGUCACAACGUAACUGGGUGGCUAUGAAGGUACACUACAAGUAUCUCCAAAAGUGUCUGUUGGGUUGGCACGAAUCGAGACUGGGAUUUGUCACUCCGUGUAAACGGAGAGGUAUCUCUGGGCCCACUCGAUAGGACAUCAUCAUAAUGUGCACAAUGUGACCAAGGAGUUGAUCACGGGAUGAUGUGUUACGGAACGAGUAAAGAGACUUGCCGGUAACGAGAUUGAACAAGGUAUCGGCAUACCGACGAUCGAAUCUCGGGCAAGUAUCGUACCGAUGGACAAAGGGAAUUGCAUACGGGAUUAAUUAAGUCCUUGACAUCGUGGUUCAUCCGAUGAGAUCAUCGUGGAACAUGUGGGAGCCAACAUGGGUAUCCAGAUCCCGCUGUUGGUUAUUGACCGGAGAGUCAUCUCGGUCAUGUUUGCAUGUCUCCCGAACCCGUAGGGUCUACACACUUAAGGUUCGAUGACGCUAGGGUUAUAAAGGAAGUUUGUAUGUGGUUACCGAAUGUUGUUCGGAGUCCCGGAUGAGAUCCCGGACGUCAUGAGGAGUUCCGGAAUGGUCCGGAGGUAAAGAUUUAUAUAUAGGAAGUCCUGUUUUGGUCACCGGAAAAGUUUCGGGUUUUAUUGGUAACGUACCGGGACCACCGACAGGGUCCCGGGGGUCCACCAAGUGGGGCCACAAGCCCCGGAGGGCUGCAUGGGCCAAGUGUGGGAGGGGACCAGCCCCAGGUGGGCUGGUGCGCCCCCCCACCAAGGCCCAAGGCGCAAGGAAGAGGGGAAGGGGGCAAACCCUAGGGCAGAUGGGCCCUAAGGCCCACCCUAGUGCGCCUCCCCCUCUCCCCUCCCCUUGGCCGCCCCUAGAUGGGAUCUAGGGGGCUGCCGCCACCCCUAGGGAGGGAACCCUAGGUGGGGGCGCAGCCCCUCCCCUCCCCCUAUAUAUAGUUGAGGUUUGGGCUGCCCAAUACACAUGAGUUCCUCUCUUUCUUGGCGCAGCCCUAUCCCUCUCUUUCUCCUCAUAUCUCGUAGUGCUUGGCGAAGCCCUGCUGGAUCACCAUGCUCCUCCAUCACCACCACGCCAUUGUGCUACUGCUGGAUGGAGUCUUCCUCAACCUCUCCCUCUCUCCUUGCUGGAUCAAGGCAUGGGAGACGUCAUCGGGCUGUACGUGUGUUGAACGCGGAGGUGCCGUCCGUUCGGCACUAGGAUCUCCGGUGAUUUGGAUCACGAUGAGUACGACUCCUUCAACCCCGCACUACUAGGAAAAGGCCUACUAAUGGCGCACCAGUUUUGCCUACUAAUGGCGCAUCACUGGUGCGCCAUUACUAGCACGCCAUUAGUAAUUUUUACUAAUGGCGCACCACUGGUGCGCCAUUAGUAUCUGGUAUACUAAUGGCGCACCACUGGUGCGCCAUUAGUAUAGGCCACAGGUGCACCAUUAGUAUACCAGAUACUAAUGGCGCACCGCGUGGUGCGCCAUUAGUAUACCAUUCGGUGCUCCACUGGUAUUCCCUCCAGGUGCGCCACUAAUAACCUUAUAGGUGCGCCACUAGUAAUAAAGGAAGGUGCGCCACUAAUAAGGGCUUAAAUGCGCCACUACUAAUGUAUUUGGAAAACAAAAAAAAAUCUAAAUUUACAGAAAAAAACCUAUAAGGAAAAAUAAUUUAAAAACAAAAAAUGAAAUAGAAUCAUAAUUUUUAUUAUAGUAAGAAUAUUACAAUGUCUUUACAAGUUUCCAAUAAAAGGGAAAUUGCAAGGAAAUAAAAAAAAUCCUAAAGCUAAUCUUCUAGUAAUCUUCUCUUCUUUUUCUUCACUUUAUCCCUGCAAAAUGUAACAAAAUAAACACAAACACAAACAAACUAUUUAUAACAUGUCAAUACUGUCAUUUUUUCAGACCAAGUAACUAACAACUUCAGUGAGACAGGCACAGUGCAGUGUGAAUUUCAAUUGGCUAAAUCAUAUAUAGAAAUCAGUAUCUUCUCUAUGAACCUGAAACUGAGAUGACUGGACUAAUUUUGCACAUUUGAUUUAUGAAUUUAUUCUUCUUCGACAACCAACUAAACUUCGGAUCACCUACUAAGCAUCUGUACAUACUACAUAGGCUGAUUAAUCCAACAGCCACAAUGCAAAUAUUGACUAUUUCCAUUCAACUUCUUCACUUACUCAUUAUUAUCUAAUGAAACCAUUCGUAACUAAUGAAGCAGAUUGGCUAAAGUUAUUAUCAAGUCCUAAGUCCUAAUUGAAGCAGAUCUGCUAGGGUUCUUCUCGCUAGCCCCUCAUGGCCAACCGUUUCGGAACAGGCAGGCAGAGCUGCUUGGCCGGUGGCUAGGGAGUCGCUGGUGAUGUUGGGCAUCUCACACGAGCACCUGGCUAUUUGAGGAAACCGAAAUAGUAGCAUAAACAAGAUUGAUUCCGAGGAAAUGAUAGAACCUAUUCUAUCAAAGUGCUACUCCCCCCGUUCCAUAAUUCCAGUCGUGGUUUUUUAACUAAAACCAUGAAGAGAACUAUGGAAUGGAGGGAGUAGAAAACAAUAGCAUGCUUAAAAUUCUACCAUACACAGCAGCAACAGACAUUACACAAGCAUUUAUUUAUUUAUUGCAUUUGGCACAAGUUAAAAAUUCUCACAAGCAGAGGCGGUCCUAUCAGACAAAAAGAACAUGGACCGCUCAUUACAAAGCACUUCUACUGCAGUAUCAUGGAGUAGGAAAAGGGGCUUAAGCAGCAAAGAAGUAUAAUAAGAGAAAAAAACACUAUGGCGGCUGGAACUAGAAGAGCACCAUCACAGGUUCGAAACAUCACCAUGGAGUCGAUGGCCGGCAUAGCCCAUGGCAGGGCUGGAUGGGCAGCAUAAUAACACAAUAAAAGUUUGAUGUAUACUUAUUCGUUUGAAAAGAUGCAAGCUUAUUUACACCCUAGGACUGUUGAUUAGGGUCUGGAUGGUAUUUUUGUUCCUUGCGUAAGUAAGAGAAGGACUAGCAUCCAUAGUAGAAAGAAGGGUAAACAUACAUAAAGGAAAGUUUUUAUAGCGUCACGACCGAAAGAGGCUACGUGCGGCUGGGUGAAAUGGACAAGGUUUCAUGUAUGCAAUAUAUUAUAGAAAAAUAAGUGUUGACAGAAAAUGAAAGAUUUCCUGUCAAACAAACAGAGCUUCAUUUUGUAACAUUUCUGACCCACAUGAUAAUUGUACAACAUAGUAGAGGAGACCACUGUACAUACAUGUGUUGAAUGAAGCAGACUAAGAAAUAUUGGGUGGGUAUAAAGAAUACAAUAGUACGGUAGCUGAUGUAAACAAGUGCAGAGUUGCAUCCACAGAAUAGGUAACAAAUUAAAUAGCCCUGGUGCCAACAGUAGAGUUCGUGUAUCCAAUCCAUCCUUUGUUUAACACAGCAGCUCCAACUCUUGUGUAACAAAUUAAGUUUGGCAUGGGCACACAUAAAGCACUGACAUUUUCAUGGCUCGAUGGCCGUGGGCUAAGGGAGCAGAGGAGGAGGUGCGGCUCACCUCACAUGGCGGCGGAACCGAGGGAUGAAGGUGCGGCGCACCGGAGCAGGCAGAGGUGCCUUGUGUUGGCCAAACACGUGGCCAGCAGCAGAGAAGCGCUUCUCUUGCUCGACGGAUGUUGGGUGUGUGUGAGGCGUGCUCCUGCCUGCCUGCCUGCGUGAGGAACGGGAGGACCAUUAGAGAAGAGAAGGGAAGGGAAGAAGAGCAGGUAGAGGAUGGCAAGGGGAGAGGAGGGAAUCAAAAUCAAAGAUGAGAAGAUGACCUUGAGGAGGAGCAGGGGAAGAGCGGAGCAGCAGAAACAGAGGCCUUCCUCUCCCGGUGGUGAGGACCGAGGCGACCUCCGUCACGGCCUAGCCAGGUCGACGACUCUGGCGACCGUGGCUGCCAGAUCCGGUGUCACCAUGGCCGGCCUCCUCCUGUGGUGCCUGCUAGGUCGCCAUGGCCGCGGGCUCCUUGUCCGUGGCGGCUGGAUCUGGGGCCUUGGGGUGGCGGGGAGCUCCUCCUCCUGCAGCUCGGCGGCCUCCACACCCCGGAGCAACGCCGUCGCCGGAGGACGUGGUCACCUGCUCUCCUCUGGAUCCGGUGAGGAGGGUUGGGGAAGGAGCUCACCACGGCUCCAUGCCCUGGAUCUGGUGUGAGGGAGGGGGAAGGGAGCUCGCCGUGGUCAGGAGGGAGAGGAAGAGGCGGGCGGCCGGGGCUUCCCGAUCUAAAUCAAAGUCGAGGGAGGUGGGUGGGUGUGUCAGGAGGAAGGUGAGGGGGAGAGAACGUGACAAGAUGGAGGGGAUAAGGGGUGAUAGCAAUGGCGCACUGGUAGGGGUGCGCCAUACGUAUAGAUAGCAAUGGCGCAUCUCUUACUGGUGCGCCAUUACUAGUUUAAACUAGUAAUGGUGCACGGUGGAACAGUGCGCUAUUAGUAGUUUUGCAAAAAAAAGUAAUAAAAAUAUAAUAAAAAAACAACAUUAGUGGCGCACUUUUCGACAGGUGCGCCAUUACUAGUUACAACUAGUAAUGGCGCACUGUGUCUGGAUGCGCCAUUAGUAUGUUUGGACAGGCGCACUAGUUCAAAAAAAAUUGAUACUAAUGGCGCACCCUGGGCCAGGUGCGCCAUUAGUAGUUUCAACUCUAAUGGCGUAUCAGAAGGUGGUGCGCCAUUAGUAUAUACCCUUGUAGAGGACUUAGGACUUGAUAAUAACUUUAGCCAAUCUGCUUCAUUAGUUACGAAUGGUUUCAUUAGAUAAUAAUGAGUAAGUGAAGAAGUUGAAUGGAAAUAGUCAAUAUUUGCAUUGUGGCUGUUGGAUUAAUCAGCCUAUGUAGUAUGUACAGAUGCUUAGAAGGUGAUCCGAAGUUGGAGAGGUCGGGGAUGAGCUGAUGCGGCGGGGGUGGUGAAGGGGAUCUCUGGUGGCCGGAGUUGAGGACGAGCUCGGUGCAGCGUCUCCGAGGCGAGCAAGCGCUCGGGCGCGGCCUACUCGAUGUAGUCGAUGGCGGCGGAGCUCGUGGACACGAUGGCGCGGCGCGAGGACGACGGAAGGCACGGCUACGACGACGGUGCGGCGACAGAAGUGUCGGCCAUGGUGGGGAACGGCGAAGGGAUAGAGACAGGGGGGAAAUGGCGUGUCCAGGGGCUUCGGGGUGCGACGUGGAGGCGUCCAGGCGUCUAGGGGCGCGGGCGGCAAGCAGGUGACGCCGUGGUGAGCUCGGGCACGCCGGAGUCACCUCCCUGCCUGCGUGGCGGGGAAGAAGCAGCUGGCUGGCGCGAGCCAGCACAGUGCUGGGCCGCCUGGUGGGCCGGCGGGUGAGAUAGCUGGGCCGCGCCAGGUAAGCUUCUCUCUCUCUCUCUCUUUCUUAUUUGUUUUCUUUUUCUAUUUUUCUGCAACUGUUGGGCUUUAUUAAAAAUACCUAGACAUCUUUAAAAAUCCUGAAAAUAAUCAGGGGCUCUGUUUAGAUUAUUCCCAACAGCCCACACUUAUUUCUAGAAUUAUUUGAGCAUUUAAAUUAUUUUAUAGCAUUUAAAUGCCCAAAUUCAAAUACUUAUGAUUUAAUUCAAGAAAAUCCAGAAUGUCCUAGAAAAGAGUGCACCAUUUUUGCCAGGGGUUUUAGCCCAAUCCAGAAAUGAUGAACAUUUUGUGAAAGGCAUUUUGGGUUCAUUGAAAAUAAUUUUAGUAAACCCUAGUUGUUUCCAGGGGGUGCUGGGGGUUCUGUCAUCCCCAUUUCAAAUUUAAAAGGAAUUUAAACAUGAUGCACACUCUAAUGCUUGAACUAGCUAGGGUGUGACACUAAGCAACCCGGCAACGACAUAGAUGUGUACCUAAGGCCAUUAGUUGAAGAACUCUUACAACUGUGGAAUGGAACAGGUGUACGUGCGUGGGAUGAGCACAUGGGGAAAGAAUUUGACCUAAAGGCGUUGUUGUUCGUGACCAUCAAUGAUUGGCCUGCUCUCACUAACCUUUUAGGACAGACAAACAAGGGAUACCGCGCAUGCACGCACUGUUUGGACGAUGCCGACAGUAUAUAUUUGGCUAAAUGUAAGAAGAAUGUGUACCUGGGACAUCAUCGAUUUCUUCCGAGCAGGCAUCCCGUAAGAAAGAAAGGCAAGCAUUUCAAAGGUGAGGCGGAUCACCGGACGAAGCCUCGCCACCGUACUGGUGCUGAUGUACAUGAUAUGGUCAACGAUUUGAAGGUGGUCUUUGGAAAGGGUCCUGGUGGACAACCUAUUCCGAAUGACGCUGACGGACGCGCACCCAUGUGGAAGAAGAAAUCUAUAUUUUGGGACCUGCCCUAUUGGAAAGACCUAGAGGUCCGCUCCGCAAUCGACGUGAUGCACGUGACGAAAAUCUUUGUGUGACCCUGCUUGGCUUCUUGGGCGUGUAUGGGAAGACAAAAGAUACACCUGAGGCACGGGAGGACCAACAAUGUAUGCACGGAAAAGAUGGCAUACAUCAGGGUCAUGCAAGCUACGCUCUUACCAAAGAAGAGAAGGAAAUCUUCUUUGAAUGCCUGCUCAGUAUUAAGGUACCGUCUGGCUUCUCGUCUAAUAUAAAGGGAAUAAUAAACAUGGCAGACAAAAGUUCCAGAACCUAAAGUCUCAUGACUGCCACGUGAUUAUGGCGCAACUGCUUCCGGUUGCAUUGAGGGGGCUUCUACCAGAAAACGUUCGAUUAGCCAUUGUGAAGCUAUGUGCAUUUCUCAAUGCAAUCUCUCAGAAGGUAAUCGAUCCAGAAAUAAUACCAAGGUUAGAGAAUUAUUUGGUGCAAUGUCUUGUCAGUUUCGAGUUGGUGUUCCCACCAUCCUUCUUCAACAUCAUGACGCACGUCCUAGUUCACCUAUGCGAAGAGAUUAACGUUUUGGGUCAUGUAUUUCUACACAAUAUGUUCCCCUUUGAGAGGUUCAUGGGAGUCUUAAAGAAAUAUGUUCAUAACCGUGCUAGGCCAGAAGGAAGCAUCUCCAAGGCCAUGAAAAUGAGGAGGUCAUUGAGUUUUGUAUUGACUUUAUUCCUGACCUUAAGCCGAUUGGUGUUCCUGAAUCGCGGCAUAAGGGCAGACUGGAUGGAAAAGGCACGCUAGGAGGGGAACAAAUAAUAUGUAUGUACGGACAUUCUCUCACUGAAGCACACUACACAGUUCUACAGAAUUCCGCCUUGGUGGCUCCAUAUAUGGAUGAACACAAGAAUUUGCUACGCUCCAAACACCCGGAGCGGUCUGAUGACUGGAUUACACGUGAACAAACCAGAAGUUUCGCCAGCUGGUUGCAGACACGUACCAUGCAUGACACCUCUAUUGAAGAUGACCUGUACUUGCUGUCCCAGUUACCAUCUUCGAAUAUAAUGACUUUCAAAGGGUACCAGAUAAAUGGUAAUACAUUUUACACGAUCGCCCAAGAUAAGAAGAGCACCAACCAAAACAGUGGUGUCUACUUUGAUGCAGAAACCAAGACGGGAAAGGAAACAUAUUAUGGUUAUAUACCGGACAUAUGGGAACUUGACUAUCGACGUGGUUUAAAGGUCCCUUUGUUUCGGUGCAAAUGGGUCAAUAUGACACGAGGCGGGGUAACGGAAGACCCGCAGUACGGAAUGACAACAGUGGAUCUCAACAAUCUUGCGUAUGCAGACGAACCAUUCGUCCUAGCCAAUGAUGUGGCACAGGUUUUCUAUGUGAAGGACAUGUCUACCAAGCCAAGAAAAAGAAAAGAUAAGGAAGCGAAUGCAUCGUACGAUGAGCCAAAGCGGCACAUAGUUCUUUCUAGGAAGAGAAACAUCGUGGGAGUGGAUGACAAGACAGACAUGUCAGAAGAUUAUGAAAAGUUUGAUGAAAUUGCUCCAUUCACAGUGAAUAUUGACCCGAGCAUCCCGUUAAAUGAUGAAGAUUUUCCAUGGUUACGGCGCAAAGGGACGCACGCGAAGAAAAAGUUUCACACCCAAAGAUCUGGGAUGUGAUCGGCUUCACUAUCAUCACUUUCUUCUGUGUUUCACACCCAGGAGGGAAUCUCUGUAAUAGUUAGGGUAGUUAUGUGUUUUGGCAUUUGAAACGCGAAGAAAUUUUAUGUGCAAACAAAUUCUUUCAUGCCUUUACUGAUUUUUAAAGUUAAGUUAUUCACAAACUAGUGAUUCACACUAAUUUCAAAUAAUUCAAAAUUUAAACUAUUCAAAUUUGAAAACUACAGGCACUAACAGAAAGUUUGUAAUUUUUUGUACCUAAAGCAAAAAUUGAAGGAAAUAUGCCCUAGAGGCAAUAAUAAAGUUAUUAUUUAUUUCCUUAUAUCAUGAUAAAUGUUUAUUAUUCAUGCUAGAAUUGUAUUAACCGGAAACAUAAUACAUGUGUGAAUACAUAGACAAACAGAGUGUCACUAGUAUGCCUCUACUUGACUAGCUCGUUAAUCAAAGAUGGUUAUGUUUCCUAACCAUGGACAAAGAGUUGUUAUUUGAUUAACGGGAUCACAUCAUUAGGUGAAUGAUCUGAUUGACAUGACCCAUUCCAUUAGCUUAGCACCCGAUCGUUUAGUAUGUUGCUAUUGCUUUCUUCAUGACUUAUACAUGUUCCUAUGACUAUGAGAUUAUGCAACUCCCGUUUGCCGGAGGAACACUUUGUGUGCUACCAAACGUCACAACAUAACUGGGUGAUUAUAAAGGUGCUCUACAGGUGUCUCCAAAGGUACAUGUUGGGUUGGCGUAUUUCGAGAUUAGGAUUUGUCACUCCGAUCGUCGGAGAGGUAUCUCUGGGCCCUCUAAUGCACAUCACUUAAGCCUUGCAAGCAUUGCAGCUAAUGAGUUAGUUGCGGGAUGAUGUAUUACGGAACGAGUAAAGAGACUUGCCGGUAAUGAGAUUGAACUAGGUAUUGGAUACCGACGAUCGAAUCUCGGGCAAGUAACAUACCGAUGACAAAGGGAACAACGUAUGUUGUUAUGCGGUCUGACCGAUAAAAGAUCUUCGUAGAAUAUGUAGGAACCAAUAUGGGCAUCAAGGUCCCGCUAUUGGUUAUUGACCGGAGACGUGUCUCGGUCAUGUCUACAUUGUUCUCGAACCCGUAGGGUCCGCACGCUUAAGGUUUCGAUGACAGUUAUAUUAUGAGUUUAUGAGUUUUGAUGUACCAAAGGAGUUCGGAGUCCCGGCUGAGAUUGGGGACAUGACGAGGAGUCUCGAAAUGGUCGAGACGUAAAAAUCGAUAUAUUGGACGACUAUAUUCGGACAUCGGAAAGGUUCCGAGUGAUUCGAGUAUUUUUCGGAGUACCGGAGAGUUACGGGAAUUCGCCGGGAGAAGUAUUGGGCCUUAUUGGGCCAUACGGGAAAGAGAGAGGGGCUGCCUAGGGUAGGCCGCGCGCCCCCCAAGGCCUAGUCCGAAUUGGACUAGGGGGAGGGGCUGCGCCCCUUCCUUGUUUCCUACUCCUACUACAUGGAAGGACUCCUACUUGGACUAGGAAAGGGGGAAUCCUACUCCCGGUGAGAGUAGGACUUCUCUAGGCGCGCCAUAGAGAGGGCCGGCCCUCCCCUCCUGCACUCCUUGAUAUACGGGGGCAGGGGGCACCCCAUAGACACACAAGUUGAUCCACGUGAUCAUAUUCUUAGCCGUGUGCGGUGCCCCCUUCCACUAUAGUCCUCGAUAAUAUUGUAGCAGUGCUUAGGCGAAGCCCUGCGACAGUAGUACAUCAAGAUCGUCACCACGCCGUCGUGCUGACGGAACUCUUGCCCGACACUUUGCUGGAUCGGAGUCCGGGGAUCGUCAUCGAGCUGAACGUGUGCUAGAACUCGGAGGUGCCGUAGUUUCAGUGCUUGAUCGUCGGGCCGUGAAGACGUACGACUACAUCAACCGCGUUGUCAUAACGCUUUUGCUAUCGGUCUACAAGGGUACGUAGAUCACACUCUCCCCUCUCGUUGCUAUGCAUCACCAUGAUCUUGCGUGUGCGUAGGAAAUUUUUUGAAAUUACUACGUUCCCCAACAGUGGCAUCCGAGCCUAGGUUUUAUGCGUUGAUGUAAUAUGCACGAGUAGAACACAAGUGAGUUGUGGGCGAUAUAAGUCAUACUGCUUACCAGCAUGUCACAGUUUGGUUCGGCGGUAUUGUUGGAUGAAGCGGCCCGGACCGACAUUACGCGUACGCUUAUGCGAGACUGGUUCUACCGACGUGCUUUGCACACAGGUGGCUGGCGGGUGUCAGUUUCUCCAACUUUAGUUGAACCGAGUGUGGCUACGCCCGGUCCUUGCGAAGGUUAAAACAACACCAACUUGACAAACUAUCGUUGUGGUUUUUGAUGCGUAGGUAAGAACGGUUCUUGCUAAGCCCGUAGCAGCCACGUAAAACUUGCAACAACAAA
rnacentral:lncRNA from 1 species